rnacentral:lncRNA from 1 species
CUUGUACCAUUAUGAAAUUUUAUGUUCAUGAUAUUGAAUUUGGUUGCUUUUCAAUAUACAGCAACGAGCUUGUUCAAGAUGCUUCUCAAAUACAGGCCCGAGGAUAAAGCUCAAAAGAAAGAGAGGCUUCUGAAAAGAGCACAGGCUGAGGCUGAAGGAAAAACACCUGAGGUUAAGAAGCCGAUCAUUGUGAAAUAUGGUCUCAACCAUGUUACAUAUUUAAUUGAGCAGGUUUGGACUUCUUGACUCCAGUGCACGUGUUAGUGUAUUAUUAUGAAAGAACUAAUGAACAAAGCUAUUAUUGCAGAACAAAGCUCAACUUGUUAUCAUUGCCCAUGAUGUGGACCCCAUUGAGUUGGUGGUAUGGCUUCCUGCAUUGUGCAGGAAAAUGGAAAUCCCUUACUGCAUCGUGAAGGGAAAGGCUCGAUUGGGAACUGUAAGUGGCCUAAGGUCUUUGGCUACAUGAUUUUCGGUAGUAUUUGCUUAGAGCCCAUUAUAAUGUUCUGUAUUAUGCCAUCUUGCAGAUAGUCCAUAAGAAGACGGCUUCUGUAUUGUGCUUAACCUCAGUUAAGAAUGAAGACAAGAUGGACUUCAGCAGGAUCUUGGAAGCUAUUAAGGUAGUGUGUUAUUCAUAUUCUGUAAAUCAUGUUUCCUUACGUCCUAUGUUGAGUUAUUCUUGAUAUGUUUGGCAUAAAUUAAAAUUUGAUGGACAAAUCCCUUGUUUUCUUUUUCUGCUGUUGCAACAGGCCAACUUCAAUGAUAAAUACGAUGAGACCAGGAAGAAGUGGGGUGGUGGAGUUAUGGGCUCAAAAUCCCUGGCCAAGACAAAGGCCAAAGAGAGACUCAUGGCCAAGGAGGCUGCACAGAGGAUGACUUAGGCUCUUAGUCUAGCCUUUUUCUAUCAAGGAUAGAAUCUUUUUACCUUCCUUUGUUGCUCCAAUUCAUGCUAGACAUUUUUGUUUCCAUGUGAUAUUGGAUAGACGAAAUGCUUUAUCAUGACUAGUAAAUGACAAUGUUUGGUUUUGUCAGGUGUUUAUGUACUUUCAAGUUUUUCGUAGAAUGAAAUGCAACAUUUUUAACGUGUUGUAUUGUUCUUCCUCUAGAAAUUUUGCAAAUUUGAGGCUCCCUUAUCGUUGUGGAAUUCAGGGUAUAGAGUGUGUGGUACCACCGUCAAUGCAUGGCAUAGAAAUUCAAGGUAUAGAGCUUUUGCUCCAAUUGGUCGACCAAACUUCUAACAUAUUUGAAAUUUAUAUGCUACAGCAGAUUGUACUACGGUAACAUCACUUUUGCUAGAUUGUUUUCUGUUGUUAUUUAUAACUUUGUCACUUUUCUUAUAUCAACAAAUAUAUCAAGUAAUUAAUUUUUAAACUAUUUGUAAGUGAAUAUUUUUUCAACAACUUGAUAUAUUUGUUGCGGGGAUCAAAGUAAGAUAAAAUUGUUUCGUUUUAAGAAAUUUUAUGUUAUUUUUGGGAUGUAAUUUUACCCUCUCAAAGUUACGAAAAUCAUUUCAUCAAAAUGACAAUUUACAAAACGUACAGUAUAUAAGUCACACAUUAAAGGUUCAAGGUUACCUAAUAAUGGAUAUCGAAUCAAAAUCAACAUAAAUUUCAAGUCUACAUUGUGGGCCCAUUUUGGUGUGUGGGUUUUGAACAGCAUAAUCGAAAAUCCAUAGUUGAGAAGUAUUAGGUUCAUGACCAAAUGUACAUUGUAAAGGUGAGUAAUAAUGGUAAGUAUUUGUUUUGUGCGAACUAAUGAUUCAACAUGUAAUUUGGCAUGUCUCCAAAUAAAAGUUGGGAGUUUUAUUGCAUAAAUAAUGGUCUAUUACUAAGUUCUAUAAAUUAGAUAAAUCAUUUUGUUAAAUCAUUUUGUGUAUGGACACGUGCAAUUGAAUAUUCAUUAACAAUCUCAAUUGUCAUACAAUAAUCUUUGAAUUGUUUGUGAUUAAAUUCACCAGUAUUAUUAAGACGAUUUAUCUUGAUUGAGUAAUCAAAAAAUUGAGCUCAUAAUUUUAUGAUUUUUGGCAAAUAGUUUCGUAAAAAUUGCAUUCCUAGUGGAAAAUAAACAAACAUGUGACCUCUCAUAGAAAAUUUAAUCAAUACCAUAAAAAAUAAAAUGGUCUACAUGGUGGGUGUAUUGAUCUACAUAUAUCUCUAUGAAAUCUCACCAAAAAGUUAGAUAUUCAACAUUAACUUUUGUAGUUUGAAUGUCUGAUACUUGCCUUACAAACAACCAGUACAUAUAUAAUCAUAGGUAAAAGAAUUUUCUAGUUCUUUAGAGGAUGUGCAUGUGAGUUGUUAUUGUUCAGCACAUUAUUAUUGCUUCUGAACGUUCAAGUCAAUCAUGCCAAAGUAUAAAACUUUUUGGGUCAACGAAUUUCUAGUUCGUUAUAACAUUUGAUUCAAUUAUUUUUAUAAUAUAAUACAUAUCAAAUGUGAGUGCAUUUAAUUUUUUCUUUUAUCUAUUUUUGGCCAGAUACGAAAGAACUUGUGGAAAGAUAUCCAAUACUAUUUUUUUUUUUUUUUUUUUUUUUUUUUUUUUUUUUUUUUUUCCUUUUUUGGUAAUUUUUUUAAAAAAUAAAGAAAACAAAUUCUAAUUUUUUUUUUUGUAUUGCUUCUAUGUGAUAUCCAUUUUGGUGAAUAUCUUUAAAAACUAAGUAAUUUUUUUAAUUUGCUUGAAUAGAGUGCGUCAUCUCUGUAUAAUUUUGUAUUAUUUAGUAAGAUAAUACAAGCUUUUUUGAAUUUUUCAACGAUAUUUGAUGUAUUUGGUAUUUCAUUAACAUUAUAUUUUGCUAAUAUUAAUUUCAAGAAGUACUUUUUUCUUUAAGAAUUGUGUGCGUAGUUGCACUAUCUGCUUGAUAAAUGUCUUAAUAAUCCAUCUUAAAUUUUAUUAGUGUUUCAAAAUUAUUGUUUUUUCAGAAGUAAUAAUGAAAUAAUUUUUUUUUUAAAUAUUGAGACAUUGAAUAUUAUGCUCUUUAGGAGUGAUAAAUUAAUAUUCUUCUUGUAAUAAAAUAAAAUAAAAAUUUAUUUUUUCUUCAAUGAGUUGUUUAAUUCAUGCUUCUUCAGGAGCAUAACAAGAUAUACUCUUAAAAAGUAAUAAAUACAAUAUUCUUUUGAAAAUAUCAAUAUUAACAAUUUCGUGCUAAAUAAUACAAUAUUUUUCUAGAAUAUUUAUCGAAUAUAAAGUCGUUCUUCUUUAAGAGUAAUGAUACAACAUUUAAGAAUUGGAAUAGGUUUGGAUAACUUUGAUUCAAAUUCUUAAAACAAAAAAAAAUAAAUAAUAAUAAUAAAAAAAAAAUUGUUCUCCAAAGAUUUAGGAUUUCCAGUCAAAUUAAAAUUUGCUACUGCUCGCAUAGCGAUUUCUUACAAAUGAAUCGCUUGAUUAUCAUUUUAACCAUUGAUUUUGAGAACAAUGAGAUAUGGACAUAUUGUUCAAAUUUCAUGACGAUCUAAACAUGGUUUUUUAACAUAUCAACAUUGAAUUAGAAUUGCCGCAUGUUGUCCAGAUUCUGCAAAGUUUAUGCGCUAUUGAUUUCGAAGUUCUUUCUAUUUUGGGUUAGCCCAUUCGAAACAUGAUAUUAAAUGCAUGGGCCACCACUUCUUCGAGAGUAAUAUGUCAAUAUUUUUCUAAAAUAUUGAAAAUUAUAAUUAAUGCUUUUCAAGAGUAAGUACUAUUUUUCUGAAAUAUUAAUUGUACUAUUGUAGUACUUUAGGAACAACAAGAAAAUAAUUGUAACAGAUCGAUCUACAAGUACUAAAUUAAUAAGUUAUUCUACUAAAUUAAUAAGUUAUACUAUGUAUUAUAAAAAGUAACUAUGUGAAAAUUAAUCAAAUGAUAAACAAAAAAUAAGAUUGAUGAAACACGUCUAACAUGCAGUGAAAACUAUAUAUAUUCGGCCCCUCAGGUCAUAUUUUAGUGGUGCAAAAGAUAAGUGUGAUGUAUACUCAACCUUGCUGGUAGCCGGAGUGUGAGGAUUCGAUUUUUAAAAUAUGGAUUGAGAUUCUUUAUGGGGAACCAGUGAAUAAGCAGCUCUUGUUCCUUAAUCUGUUGGGACACAUCCCGCGAUUAACCCCUCUCACGAUACUCCAAAGGCGGGACAGUGGGGAUCCUUAAAGUUGGGAUUCAACAUUUAAAAAAAAAAUGUAUUCGUGGAGCUAAAGUCAUACGAUUAAAAUAACGUAUUAAUUAAAUGGUCAACGUGUGAAUGCAAUGAAUGGGUAACAUGUAUUUGCAAUAUAUAUAUUAACUAAAUAAACGUGUAAUGGCAAUGGAAUGAAAGUCCAUAACAAUCAUGAACACAAAUAAUUAAAUCAAACAAUUACAUGUGAAUGGCUGGAUGCCACGUAUAUUUUAAGUCCAAAUAACUUUGUAGUGUGGUCGCACACAGAAUUUUCCUUGGCAGAAGAAUUCCAGAUACUCAAAUGGGGAGUGGGUCCAAUGUGAGUAAAAUAAUCCUAAAAUUAACCCACCCACACAUGCUAAGUGUAUUAGGUAAAAGGUCUGUAAACGAAUUUUCUAUAUGUGAAGGGUAGCUCUUUCAAAUAAGUACAAUCAUGUGACAUCGUCAGAAAAAUAAGAUGAGAUUUAAAUAAGAACUACCGAAGCAAAAUGAAAGUGUAUCGUAUAGAUAAAAUUGAUGACAGAAUGAUACGUAUAUUCUGCAAUGAAAAAAAUAGAGUUUAUUGACAAAAAAUUGACGGCCUUAUUAGAUACUAAUUAGUAUGACCAAACAAAGAGUAUAAAAAUUAAAGGUUAGAAAUAAAACAUGUACAACAAAGAUACCGCAUCUGUCAAUGAAAUGAGAUUAGGUAUAAAUUUAUCGUCUAACUAAUUCAUUUUGAUUUUCAGGUACUUGUGUUGAAAACGUAUUAUAAACUAGACAAAAAAGAGAAUAAAGUAAAUAAAUCAAUAGACUUGUGUGUUCUUUAUUGAUAACCUAUGUUUCAUAUUUAUAGUAUUCAAAAUGAGAGUUGCAAUUAUAGUGAAAUCUACUCUUCUAGACUAGAUAAGAUUUAUCAACGUAUCAUGUAAUACUAAAUAAUCAUCCAUAAUGAUCACAUGAUUUUACAGUAAUUUGUAAAUUUUGAAUUUUGAAUUCUAAUGAUAUAACUGGCAUAAUUUCUUCCUUUGCUUGUUAAGCUAAUGUUUUUUCAAAGUUUGAAUUUAGACUUUUAGUUAAUGAGCCUAUCAGUCCUCUAUGGGCUUUUCUUCAAUUGGGCCCAACUUCUAAAUUCAUACAGACCUCACCUUCGAACACUAGAGACUUGGUGCUUAUUUGAUAUGGAUUUUAUUAAUUGAUUUUUUGAACGUUAUAGAUAAAGUGGUUCUUAUGAGCAUGUUUGGACCCAAUUUUUUCACUCAAAAAAUUGAUUUUUUGACUGUUAUUUCACUAUUUCAGUCGUUAUAUUUGACUUCUUCUCUCACAAAUGGACCCCACUUUUCUCUCAACGGUCAAAAAAUUAAUUUUCAAAAUCACUCCCAAACAGACUCUUAUAUGUGAGAGAAGAAUUUAAAAAUGACGGUUGGAAUAGUAAAAUAACUGUAAAAAAAUUAAUGUUAAUUGGAUUAAAAUCUCUAUCUAACAUGUUCUUAAUAGAUCGGGUAAACGUUUAGCCCCCGUUUGACCCCAUUAUUUGGAUUUAUAACUGGAGAAUAAUGUUUUUUUUUUUUUUUGAAAAAUAGAUGGUUGUGAAAGAAUGAAAAAUUUUCGAUUUGUGUAAAAUAUUAUUUUAUUAAAAAUUGUGUAGUUAAAAAUAAGAGAAAAUUUUUUUAAAAUUAAAUUGAUGAGUUUUAAAGGGGCCAAACUGGGCUGUUAAUGAAACUAUGUUAGGUCAACUAAAUCAUCCAUGGUAAUAUGGAAGAUAUGGAUGAACGACGUAAAUUUUUAAAAGUACAUCUGACACAUGUUUAAAUAUAAAUAUUUAAAAUUUACAUUUCAAUUUUUUACGUUCCAUGAAUACUGUAGAAGUAUAAUUAUAAACUAUCAAAUCCCCUAACUCCUUAAAAUUAGAAAUAUAAUUAACGAAUAAAACACUCUCAUCAAUUUAAAUCCCAAUGAAUAAUGUCAAUCCUCCAAAUUCAUUAUCAAAUUGCUCUUUGUACCAAACAAACAUCAAAUCAAAACGGACUUCUCUUUUCUUCAAUCAUCCACCUUCCAACAACCUUUUCUCAAUUGUUCUUAUAGAAACCUUCAUCUAUCUCAUUCAUUAUAUGUUUCGAUAUGUUCAAUCAACUCUCGAAUCAUGUUAUGUAUAUUCAACCUAAAUUAGAAACCCUAAAUGUCGCACUAUUUAAAAAUGGUUUGAUAGAAUAUCCAUAGAAAUCUUUGUUUUAUAGAAAGCUUUGAUAGAAUCUCAUUAAAACGAUUUUAAAUUUUUACUAUCACUUUUAUAUUCUCGUUCCAUUAUAUCCCGAUUUGCGAUUACUCACUACAUUUAUAGCCAUUAAUAGCUUGCCAUCAUCUCAUACGAAAAAGUUCCACCAGGAACUAGGCCAAUCGUGAAUCUAAAACAUUGGUAGAGAUUUUUGAACUGAAAAUGAAAAAAUGAACUCCCCUAAUCGACACAUUACUCGAUCAAUAAGAUGUAUGUCAGAUGGACAUUGUAGUGAUAAUGGGUUGAUGUCAACAAUUCGUUUGGAGGCUAGAGUUGCAGAUAUGAAGAUCCCCAAAAUAACAAUGGUGUUAAGAGGAAUAUAGAAACCGAUCGAUGUUCUCGACUUUAGUUUUAAGAAAAAAAAGUUGGUUCAAAAGCAUCAACUACUGAGAUAAUAGACAUUAUGUUUAGUAUUAUCUUUUUUUCUAUGAAACAUGUUUUGAAGUUUAUUUUUGACAAAACAAAAAGUUUGUUUAUCUUGGUGAAUCAGUUUUUUUCAAUUUUAUUUCAUGUAUUGAAGUCUGUUUUAGACAAAACAUAUAUCACUCUUUUAUUAUUAUUAUUAUUAUUAUUAUUAUUAUUAUUAUUAUUAUUAUUAUUAUUAUUAUUAUUAUUAUUAUUGUAAUGUGAAACACUCCUUACAGAUGGUAUUUAUACGAUGGCUAUUGAUAAUUGUUUCCAUGGUUUUUUUGAAAUUGCAUUUGAAAUGGAGAUGAAAUUAAUUUCAGACAAUGGUUCCAAAAUAUAAAUGAAAGUAGGUUUAGCAUAAAUCUGGCGAAGUCGCCACAAUUUUCACACUUCUGGCGUGUUUUAUUACAAGCAUGAAAUUUGCGCGAAAAAAAUAAUAAUUUGUAAGCUAUUGAAUUGUCUAAAACUUAUUUGAAUGAAAAUUGAAAAUUAAUAUAUGUUUGAUUGACUUAAUUUUUAACUUAGAGCGUGUUGUGCUUUUCAUAAAGUUGAAUUUUUGGAAAAUUUAAAUUGCCUAGAAAAUAAAAACCUAUCCCUAAUAAAGAAAAUAUUUUUCUUAUUGUCGAUAAAAACAUGGUCGUGUGAUCAAAUUUUAAAAAAUAUUUUUCAUAGGAAAAAGUCAAUUAAAUAUAUCAAAAGCAGAAUCUUGGGUGAAAAAAAAAAAAUUUCAUGAAAAAUAAGGUCAACCAAACACACUUAACGUGUUGGAUUAAAGAUCCACUGAUUCUCUCCAAAGUUUGCUCUUUUUAUUUAUUUAUUUUUGUUCUUUUUAAGUAGGACAUAUAUAGUGAACCACUGGGCAACUUGAGGUGGUUUUAUUUUAUUUUUUUCAAGUGGUGUAAAAUUUUUUCCAAAUUCUUUUUAACAAAGAAAACAAACUCCGGAAUACGUGAAAUAUAAAUAGGAGAGAUUCGGAUUUACUUUGAUUUAACUGUAUCUACUUGUUCCUCAACUAAUAUAUUUUUCUAUCUAUUAUCAUGAUCGAUAACUUCUCAUAGAUAGGUCCCUCGAUAUUGAUUGAUAACUGAUCCCAUGAUCAAGAUCUUGCACAUGUUUUCCUCAAUGUGGAUAACAUGCAACAAGUUGGUAAUGGGCAUCCAACCUAUAAGCCACAUUUUUUACCCUAUUAAGGAUUUUUGUGGAUCAAUUUGAUUUUCUUGCCGAACCUCGUGAUGUUAUCAUUAGAAAGACUUUAUCUCCAAUUUAAAAUUCCAAAUCUUCCCUUCUCAUGUUCGCACAAAUCUUUCAUCUAUCUUGCAUUGCUUUUAUCCUAAUACGAACAUUAUCAACAACUUCAACUAUCCUUUUAGCGGUCUCCGAUCCCAAAAACUCUCUUUUUUGGUUAAAUGUAUCAUUGGGCCGACUAUCUUGAAAAAUUCUUUAAUAAAUUUCUAAUUGCAUCCUGCCAAUCUCAAAAAGCUUGAACUUCAUUGACAUUCAUUGGUAUAUUCAAGUUACAAGUUGUGACACCCCGAACUUAAGUUUCGAGUGUCACGUACUAAAUAUAAAAAACUGCUACCUUUGCUAUAUGUAAAUACUCUUAAAUGAAAGCAUUACAUGUUAGAAACUUAUUUUCAACCUGGUAAAAUAUCUCUCAUAAAAUUUUAAUGGCCAACAGGAGCGCAUGGCGACAAAAUUAUACUUUACAUUUACGGACUCUGCUCUGCCAUGGUUAGUUGGGGCAGCAAGUUCAACUAUUUUUAUAAAAUUCAUCCCAACUCCAUUUUCUAUGAAAUUUAUGACAUUAGAAAGAUAUUUUCAAGUAGUUUUCUAGAUUAAAAUAUGAAAAAUUUUCAAAAUCAUAUGAUAUGGGCUUUUUACUGAAAACAGUGAGAUAUUGCACAAAAAUUUCAGAUUGACCCUUCAACGUUUAAAAAUUCAUAUCUCAGGUUAAAGUUAUCCAAAUUGAGUGAUUCUUAUGCCCAUAUUAAGACAACUCAAUGAGGAACGCAGCAAUAUUUUCAAUGUCUCAAAUAGACAUUUAUGGAGUCAGAAAUAACGUUUUGAAGUUGACCCAAAAACUGUUCCGUUUCUGCCUUUUGUCACUUGCAAGGAGAAGUUUUUAAAAAAAUGCUCUUAACACAACAUAGAAGAUAUAAUUGAAUAAUUUACUUCCGGUACCAUAUUACCUCAUGUCUUAUACAUGUUUUUAUACAAUACCAUAAGAAAACAUAUGGAAAGCAGUCGAACAAAACAUGCAAAAAAAAAUUUCGAUGCAAAACAAUCUUGUCCCUAACCCAUCAUCGAUUAUACCGACUGACUUCCACCAAUUUCGCAAUUAUGGAUCUGAAAAUUUAGUAUAGAAUACUAUGAGUAUAAGGAAUACUCAGUAAGAUAUCAUGCUUGGAUUUUAACAUGUUAAUCCUACACAAAAGAAUGCAAUCAAACACAUACUUGCACAUUCCGGCUUGCCGGUGCCCUUUGGACUUGUCCUAAGGUAUAAGUAGAUAUUUAACUUUUGUCCACCACAUUCAUAUUAUGGUUUUUCAUGCAUACCUUAAGCAUAAAUAUUACCAUGAAAUCCUACCACUUAAGCAUAGAAAGUAUCUUACUGUAAAACUUGAAGAAAAUUCGGUUGAAAGAUGAAUUGAGAGUGCUAGGCUUGUCUCCCUUUUUUUUCUCACGUUGAAUGCCCUUUCAUACAAGUGAAAAUCUGUUUUUUUCUUGCAAGGGAAAAUAAUGGCAGCAACAUUUAUAUUUAAAGGUAAGAAAAUGAUUAAUUAAAGGUGACUCUUCAACCAUUUUAUCUACGUGGGCUGCAUGGAUGCAUUUCUUACUUCAAUCAAACACCUAUGAAUUCAUUAACCACCUCAUGCUUAAUUUAAAACAAUUCAUGCAUUGAUUAAACACCUCAUGCCUGCUUGAUACAUGCAAUACACGGCCAAGUGGAAGGAAAGAAAAAAAAAUACUUAACCUUGGUAAUUAGGUGCAAAAUCGGACAUUUAUCCCAAACCCCUAAUUAACAAAUUAUUUGGAAAACUUUUAAUAAAUCAACCAAUGCAAAAUUUGGCAGCCAUUAAUAAUUUUGGCCAUACUAAAUUUUGAAAAGUCAAAUUACUAUCCUAAAAAUUAAAUGAGCAAAUUAAACGAGUGAUAAGAGUGUAAAAUACCAUAUUUUCCCCUCUUAACUAUUGCAUUCAUGUGAUUAUAUUAUGCCAAAAUGCACUCAUUACUCUUAUAUUUUGGUUUAGGUUACAUUUUGGUGAAAAAUAUUAAAUUCGGAAGAAACAAGUGAAAAAUGACCAAAGUAGAAGAGAACGAAAGUUCGAGGACUAAAGUGCAAAUGAUCCAAACUUGUGUCCAAGAUUAUGAUGAAGAUUCGAAAGUGUUAGAGGUCCAGUGGAUGAGGAACGAAGUCAAAGGGAUGAAAUAACAUCAAAGUUUGAUCAAUACAUCAAUUUCCAAUCGAAAACCAACACACCAGUUUUUAGUCUCAUGUUGGGACCCAUUUUUGACAUGGAAGAUGAUCGAAUUGGGAGAUGACUUCUGAAUAAAAAUUGUGGCCCUUUGAGUUAGCUAUCCAAUGCAACUCAAAUCACCUCAAUUGGACAUCAGGAAAGAAAGUUACAAUUAAAAUACUGAAAGCUGUCUGGCGGAACCAUGCGGCCGCAUGCCUUUCUACUAUGCGGUCGCACACACCUAUACCGAGAAUUGAAGAGGCUGAAAGUGCAUAACCAUGCGACCGCAAUGACAAUAACCAUGCGGUCGCAUAGUUUUUUUUUGGCGGCCGAAUCUCAGUUUCCUUAUACGAUUAAAUCUCUUAUGGUAACCUAAUUUUCAUGGGAUAUAAAUGCCCAAAACCACCCAGAACGAAGGCAGACGCCCCCAGACCUAUUUCUUUCAUCUUGGUGCUCAAAAAACUCCAUGGAAAACUAAGGAACUCGGUGAAACAACGAAGGAACUCAUUGGAUUUGGAGAUUUCACGUCAUAAUUUCAUGUAAUUCGAACUCUCUUUGCUUAAUAAUUUCUAGAUUUGGAUUUUCUCGUUAUGAAUUAGUAUUGAAAUUUGUUUAACUUUUAAUAAAUUUCUCAUGGAUUCAGUCAUACUUUUUCCAUUGUUAAAUUAAACUAUUUGUUGAAUUUCAAUUUAAAUUACUUAUUGUUGAGAUUAUUUUAACUUUUAUCAAAUCCUUCAUAGAUCUAGCCAUGCUCUUUCUAUCGAAUGAUUGAAAUAAUUGUUGAAUUUUAAUCUUAAUAUCACUUUAUUGGCGGAUUGAUUACUGCCUUAUGCCUGACGUAUAUGGUCGAUUUUUGAUCUUGUUCCAAUAAAAAUGUGCGAAUGUGUUAUAGAAAAUCUAGAUUCUAGAAACAUAAUUGGAAUAAAAUUGGACUUCACUGUUAAAUCUUCCAAUUAGAGAGUUGAGAAGAAAACCUCUAAUUGAGUAAAAAUACAUGAAUUAUUGAUGUUGAUUGAUCCAAUCCAAUGGGGGAACUCCGACGCUUUACUAAUUCGCAUAUUGAUAAUUAAUUUUUAUUUCAAGUGACAAAUCAUUCCCACAUUUAAUUACGAAGACCCUAGUUUGUUUGAUCUUUUGAGAAUUUUUUCAUCUCCCUGUGGAUACGACACUCCAAAGCUGUACUACAAUCACCGCGUUAUUCUUUGGGCAUAAUCAACGAGCAUAGAAUUUCGGAGUAUUACAUCCCUCCUCCCUUAAAAAAUUUCAUCCUCGAAAUUACCUUAAACUUAGUUGAAAAGUUCUGGAUACUUGGUCUUGAUUUCCUCUUCUCUUUCCCAAGUUGAUUCUUCGACAUUAUGGUUUCUCCAUUGAACUCUCACUAACGAAAUUUCUUUUGUUCUCAAUUGUUGGAUUCUGCGAUCCAAUAUUGCUACUGGUUUUUCCUUAUAAUUCAUGUUUUGUUUGAUAUCCAAUGGUUGAUAACUAACUACAUGACUUUGAUCUGUCACAUAUUGUCGAAGCAUUGACACGUGGAACACAUCAUGAAUUGUCGACAAAUCUGGUGGUAGAGCAAUUCGAUAGGCUGCAUUUCCAACUUUUUGCAAAAUUUCAAAAGGACCUACGAAUCUUGGUUGAAGUUUUCCCUUCGUUCCAAAGCGAAGAACUCCCUUCAUCGGUGCCACUUUUAAGAAAACCUUAUCACCCACAUCAAAUGCCAAAUCUUUUCUCCUUUUAUCAGCAUAACUUUUCUGUCGGUCCUGGGCUGCCUUGAUUCUAACUCUUAUUUUAUCAACCGUUCGACUAGUUUCCUCAAUUAUUUCGGGUCCUAAAACUCUUCGUUUACCUACUUUAUCCCAAUAAAGAGGAGCUCUCUACCAUAGAGAGCUUCAUAAGGUGCCAUCUUUAUCGUAGCCUGAUAGCUAUUAUUAUAGGCAAACUCUACCAGUAGUACAUAACUUUCCCAACUGCCUCCUAAAUCAAGGACGCAGGCACGCAGCAUAUCCUCUAGAGUCUGUAUAGUCCUCUCCGAUUGUCCAUCGGUUUGAGGAUGAAAAGCUGUGCUGAAGUUUAACUUGGUUCCCAUGGCUCCUUGCAAACUUUUCCAAAAUUUUGAGGUAAAUCUUGGAUCUCUAUCCUAUACAAUUGAGGCUGGGAUUCCAUGCAAACGGAUGACCUCUUUGAUGUACAAUCGCGCAUAUUGAUCCAUACUAAAAUUCAUUCUUACCGGUAGGAAAUGAGCUGACUUUGUUAACCGAUCCACUAUAACCCAUAAAGCAUCAUUUCCCCUAACUGAUUUUGGAAAACCCAUAACAAAAUCCAUAGUUAUAUGCUCCCAUUUCCAUUGUGGAAUUGUUAAUGGUUCCAACAAUCCAGAUGGCCUUUGAUGUUCAGCUUUCACUUGUUGACAAGUCAUACACUUCCUAACAAAAAGACCUAUGCACCGUUUCAUAUUUCUCCACCAAAACAUACUCCUUAGAUCAUGAUAUAUUUUUGUUCCUCCUGGAUGAGCAGUAUAUGGAGUUAAGUGUGCUUCUUCAAGAAUUUCUUUCCUCAAUCCCUCAUCUUUCGGCACACACAACCUUCCCUUAAAAAGUAAGGCUUUAUCACUGUCUAAUUCAAAAUCCUUUCGCUUGCUAAUACCAACUUCGGAUUUAAUCUUUUGCAAGAAAGAAUCAUCAUCCUGUGCUACUCUUAUUCGAUCUCUAAGUGUUGGUCGAAUCAUUAGAGUCGUCAUCUUGGUGAUAGUUUGGGUUGGUGGAGCAAUUACUUCUAGAUGUAUGUUUUCAAAAUCCUUUAACAAUUGGUCCUGCAUAGUAAUUAAUACUGCUAAUUGUCCAACCGCCUUUCUGCUAAGAGCAUCUGCUACUACAUUAGCUUUACCAGGAUGGUAAAGGAUAGUGCAAUCGUAAUCCUUCACUAGCUCUAGCCAUCUCCUCUGCCUCAUAUUUAAUUCCUUUUGGGUGAAAAAGUACUUCAAACUCUUAUGAUCCGUAUAAAUGUCACACUUACUUCCAUAUAAGUAAUGACGAGCCCGAGCCGAGAAGGGGGCUCGAUCCCACGAGCUGUUUUGACGAUCCAAAAAAUUGAAUUUUUUUAAAAAAAGGUGCAAAAAAUGUGCAAAAAAAAAAAAAAAAGAAAAAAAAAGCUCACGAGCGGCUCCACUAGCUCGUGGCUCGUGAGCUCACGAGCUCGUGGGCUCCGAGCCGAGCUCGCCCACGAGCAACGAGCCGAGCUCGAGCUCGGCUCGUUAAAAACUCGCCACUAGCCCGAGCCGAGCUCGUGGAUUAAAGGGUCGAGCCGACUGGCCUCGGCCCAUUGCCAUCCCUAACAAUACUAUUACACAUAAAAUAAAAUCUUUUUCUUCUUUUUCAAUCACAUAUUCUCUAGAAAAAAUACUAUUCCAGAAAUUAUAAUAUCAAAUAAUAGGGGCAUAAUUGUAAUUCAUAAAAUAUGAGAUCUUAAUUCUCAAUAAAAUACACAUAUAAGUCUAUUGAAUUCUUUACUUUCCUCUACUUUCACUCUAAUUUAUAAUAUGAACUUUAAUUUUUUUUAUAAAUUUUUAAUAAUUAUUAUGAUAAUUUUAUUUUAUUUUUUCUAAACUUCAAACAUAGUUUGCAUAAAUUUUACGAGUAUGGAAACAUAACAAGCUACCAAAAAAUAAAAUAAAAUAAAAAUCCACUAAAUCAACUAAUAAAUUAAAAUUAUAAUCAUUUUUGGAUAAUUUUUGGAUAAUUUUAGUGAGGCCUUGGUAUCUUGUUUGGGCCAGGAUGUCCACUAAAGAGUUAGGCUUUCAGGUUGAUGUGUUAUUUGGGCCAAAUAAAACUGGGCUUUAUUUUAGAAGGUUUGCAUUUCAGGAAGUAUAUAACCCUAACCUAGCAUGAUCUCUAGGGUUUGACACGUUCUAAAUCCCUCUGAUCUGAUCUGGGAGAAAUGGUGCCGCUUAACCACCCAUUUGUACUUUGUUGCAAUUUUCAAUAUCUGUUACUUACAUAUCGAACUGACUUUAUUUUGCUUCUUUCGUGUAAAAAUGAAUGUUAUAGGCUCCAAAGAAGGGCGCGAAAUUGCCGGCGGGAGUGGCUAAAAAGAAAGCGGAAAAGGUAGUGAAUCCUCUAUUCGAGAAGCGGCCAAAGCAAUUUGGUAUUGGUGGAGCGUUGCCGCCGAAGAAGGAUCUCCACCGAUUUGUGAAAUGGCCUCAAGUGGUGAGGAUUCAACGCAAGAAGAUGAUUUUGAAGCAACGCCUUAAGGUCCCGCCGCCAAUUCAUCAGUUCUCUAAAACCCUCGACAAGAACUUGGGUCUGUUUUUAUACCCUUUCCUCUGUAUAUAUUCGUUUUUUUUUUUUCAUCUACUCUCCGUAUUAUGAGUUCUGACUGUUAUUCUUGUUUGCUAAAUGUGAUCUUGGUAAUUUUUAUAUUUUGCUUUUGAUUGUUUCUUAUGCUUGUGAAAAUUAGAUGAAGGCCACCUACAAUGUAGGAAGCUGGGCGUGUAGUAGUAUGCUAUUUUUUUUUUUCUUUUUUUUUUAUGAUGGACGAUACUGUUGCGUUAUUUGCUUGUUACGAAUGGCGUGUCUUGUUAUGCUUUCACGAAAUGUUUCUUUGGUUUGUAUUAUUAUUUGUGAUUUGAGAUGAGAUACCCCAGAUCAUGUCAUUGUCAAUUCAUUUGAAAAUUUCAGCAUGGUACAAUGAUGCUAUUGAUGGAAUCAUGUUUGGUUAAUUUAUGCUUAUGCAAAUGUUAUAAUUCUAAAAUUGAGUGCUCAGACUGGAUUCUAUCUUUAUUAUCCUUUCUGAAAUAUAUACCGUUGGUUAUCUGGUUAAUAGUAAAGAGAAUUGUUUUUAGGACUGGAUAAGUCUGGAAAAUAUAGAAUUUAUAUAGAUACACGUGGAUCUCUGAUCAUAAAUUGCUUAAGCAGUAUUUAUCAAUUUUGUAACUGAUAAUCUUUUAUAUCUUUUAGACAAAUUCAUAUCUAUGUAAUAAUAGAGGAGCCAAUCUAGGCCAUGAAAUUAACAUUUACGUUGUAGUUUGGCUUUAUGGUCUUGGAAUUGCUGUCCCAACUAUGAUCUAUGCUGGUUAUAAAGGGCCUCUUUCCGUUGCCUUUUUGUAAAAUUUUAUUGUUGUUUGGCUUUAAAAUGAAAUUAAAUUGUGCUUACCAUUGUCAAAUUUUAUGUUCAUGAUAUUGAAUUUGGUUGCAGUAUUUAUCAAGCUUGUAGCUGAUAAUCAUCUAUAUCUUUUAGUCAAAUUCAUAUCUAUAUACUAAUAGAGGAGCCGAUCUAGGCCAUGAAAGCAACAUUUACAUUGUAGUUGGGCUUUGUGGCAUUGUAAUCACUGACCCAACUAUGAUCUACCCUGGUUAUUAAAGAGCCUCUUUCCAUUACCUUUUUGUAAAAAUUUUUAUUGUUGAUUGGCUUAAAAAUGAAAUUGAAUUGUGCUUGUACCAUUGUGAAAUUUUAUCUUCAUGAUAUUGAAUUUGGUUGCUUUUCAAUAUGCAGCAACAAGCUUGUUCAAGAUGCUUCUCAAAUACAGGCCUGAGGAUAAAGCUCAAAAGAAGGAGAGGCUACUAAAAAGAGCACAGGCUGAGGCGGAAGGAAAAACACCUGAGAUUAAGAAACCAAUCAUUGUGAAAUAUGGUCUCAACCAUGUUACCUAUCUAAUUGAGCAGGUUUGGACUUCUUGACUCCAGUGCAUGUGUUAGUGUAUUAUUACGAAAGAACUAAUGAACCAAGCUAUUAUUGCAGAACAAAGCUCAACUAGUUAUCAUUGCCCAUGAUGUGGACCCCAUUGAGUUGGUGGUAUGGCUUCCUGCAUUGUGCAGGAAAAUGGAAAUCCCUUACUGCAUCGUGAAGGGAAAGGCUCGAUUGGGAACUGUAAGUGGCCUAAGGUCUUUGGCUACGUGAUUUUCGGUAAUAUUUGCUUAGAGCCCAUUAUAAUGUUCUGUAUUAUGCCAUCUUGCAGAUAGUCCAUAAGAAGACGGCAUCUGUAUUGUGCUUAACCUCAGUUAAGAAUGAAGACAAGAUGGACUUCAGCAGGAUCUUGGAAGCUAUUAAGGUAGUGUGCUAUUUAUAUUCUGUAAAUCAUGUUUUCUUUAAGUCCUAUGUUGAGUUAUUCUUGAUAUGUUUGGCAUAAAUUAAAAUUUGAUGGACAAAAUACCUUGUUUUCUUUUUCUGCUGUUGCAACAGGCCAACUUCAACGAUAAAUACGAUGAGACCAGGAAGAAGUGGGGUGGUGGAGUUAUGGGCUCAAAAUCCCUGGCCAAGACAAAGGCCAAAGAGAGACUCAUGGCCAAGGAGGCUGCACAGAGGAUGACUUAGGCUCUUAGUCUUGCAUUUUUCUAUCAAGGAUGGAACCAUAUGAGCGAACCUUUUUUACCUUCCUUUGUUGCUACAAUUCAUGCUAGACAUUUUUGUUUCCAUGUGAUAUUUGAUAGACGAAAUGCUUUAUCGUGUCUAGUAUAUGACGAUGUUUGGUUUUGUCAGGUGUUUAUGUACUUCAAGUUUUUCGUAGAAUGAAAUGCAACAUUUUUAACGUGUUGUGUUGUUCUUCCUCUAGAAAUUUUGCAAAUUUGAGCCUCCCUUAUCGAUGUAGAAUUCUGGGUAUUGAGUGUGUGUGGCACGAACGUCAAUGCAUGGCAUCGAAAUUCAUUUCACCGCCAUGAAAUAUCGAGUAAAAUAGCUAUAAACUCCAUUUGGAUUUCAGGUUGUUCUAUCCUCAAGUUGCUGAUUGAAGUUCUUGAAAGCAACAUAGCUCGAAGGGGAUCCAUGGUAGAUUUCUAGAUAAUUUCAGUCAAUUAUGAAGAAUUACGCUACGUUAAUUUUUUUAUGACAUCUUCUAUGGGACAAAAAUAAAAAAUAUGGAUUUCGGAAGGAAACGGCAUCCAAGGUUUAAUGUAUAUUGUAGUGUAUCGAUGCACCACUGGCUUCUAUUUUGAGUUGACGGGUGAAAAGGGUAUCCAGCCAAUGGAUGCUGCGCGGUUGCCGGUAUAUUCCUUGUCAAACAAUCAAGUUUGGUCAAAACAAUAUUCAAGUACAUAUGUAUGUUGCCUGUUGUUUUACAAAUGAUUGUCUUUCUAUAGCGUGUCAUUUACUUCCUGACUCCAAUUGCUAAUGGCAAAAUUUUUUGUUAAUUCAAUGGUUGCGGCUUUGAACGGGACGGGGGGUUCUUUGCUUAAUCGGGUACAUGGGGUAUCGUGGUGAACAUGAUUCUUGUUCUGUUUAAAGUUUUUGAUCACACAAGAAGAGAUCAUCAUCUUUUCUAAAUGGAAUAUGAAUGGUUCUACAAAUUGGAAAAAGGAAUAAUUUUCACUAGUUAAAGACAUGAAUAGAAGAAUAAAGGCAAGAAAAAAAUGAACAAAAAUAAAUAAAUAAAUAAAUGGGAUGAUAAUAGGGAAGGAGACCCCACCCCCGCGUUAACUAGAGAUGGGGGCUGGGCAAGGACCCAAUUGGACUCGAGACAAGAAUGACUGCCCCGACCCCAAUUCACCGGCGCCAUCUCUAACGUACAGAGUGCCAAUAGAUGGUUAAUAUGGCGUUCAAGAGAUGCAUGAAAAUAUAAUCUUUGCACAGGACAAAUCAUUUCAAAUUUUGCGGAUUGGAUAAGUCUGCAAAAUCACGAAUAUUGCUAGCUAGUUAGGCUGGGCCUAUCCCUUUUUAAAAUUUAUAUUUGAAACUUUGAUAUAUUUGCAAUUCAUAUUGCCAAUUUUUUUUUUAAUUUAUAAAUAUAAAUAUUACUUUUACAAAUUACAAGUAGAAUUUACUAGUAAAAAUACAAUUUUUAAUGAAUAAAGCCCGCUAGACUUGUCCUUAUUAUGUCUAUAUAAUAAUUAAUUAUUUUUAGAUAUUCUUCUAUAAACUUAAAAUUGAUAAUAUAUCAUAUUGUUGCUAUUGAAGUAGCACAACUUUAUAAUUAAUAUAAAACAUUAAUCGUAAAUAUAUUUAUUAUAAAUAAUUUGUUGUUGCUCCUAAAGUAUCACAACAUUUUAAUUAAUAUUUUUGAAAAAUAUUACUUGCUCUUGAAGAACAUAAAUUAUAAUUUUCAACAUUUCUGAAAAAUAUUGACAUAUUGCUUUUGAAGAAGUAAUAGUAAAAUAUAAAGUGCUCCCAAAAUAGCACAUGUUUCGAUGAACAUAUUAUUUUAGUGUUUAUUUUUGAAAGAAAACACAUAACUUAUGUCAUGUUAAUAUUAUUACUUGAUUAACUAUUACGUAGUGUAUAAUUAUAUUUUUUGAAACUAAUUGUAUUUUCUUUUGCCUUAUCGUGUAGUUAAUUAAAUGACAAAUAUUACAAAAUUUGAGUUUGCUGCACUUGACAUAUCUAGCAAAAACUAUCUUUCAUGUGUGCUUGAUACUAAUAUUCACCUUGUCUUAAAAGAUUUGGAAGAAGCAAUAAAAGGAAACAAGACCCUACAGAAUUAUGCAAAAGCACCCAUCUUUUUUUGUCAUCAUUUUCAUUAUGGAUUAAAAAUUAAAUAUCUCAUCGAGAAAGAUCCACAAAUUCGUUAAAAAAAUUAACUGAAAGAUUUGAUCAUCGGAGGAUUAUAAUCCUUUUUAAAGCCUACUACGAGUGGAUGUACCUUCGUUUGCAAUAAUUCAAAAUUGUUAGUAAGUAUAAUUCAGAAUAUGUUCAAAAUUAACUACGUGGAGAAAAAAUCACAGAUGAAUAUAUGUUGGAGAAACCUUUUUCCACCUUUCAUGCAUCGAAUGUGCUUCUACAACAUCAAUAUCGUGAGCCUGGUUUUUAAAAUUUAUAUCUUGAAUGUUUUUUGCUGAAUAGAAUAAUAAUCUGCUGAUGAAAAAUUAUGAGUUACGUUCAACUAGUUCUGUACCAUUGCCUAAAGCAAAUGGUACUGCAUUACUUGAAGCAAAUGCAACAUCAAGAUAAUGACGUAGAUGUGGACACGGAUUUGGACGUGGAUGCGGACAUGGAUGUGGAAUAAACCAUGGACGAAAUAAUAAAUAAAGUUUUUAACAAUAAGGUAAAAAUUUCAAAAGGUAUAAAAUAAACAAAAGUAGCAUAUUCAGAAAUGUACACAAAGAAAGUGGCUUUAUAUUUUGAAAUGAAGAGGCAUUGGACAUGUACCUGUCGUACGGUAAAAUAUCUUGUAGAUCUCUACCAAAAAUCAUUUAAGGGAAAUGGAAAAGUGAAGAUAAAUUUUGUUGAUUAUGAUGGUCCAAUUGAUGUGGCUAUGUCUCCGAUUCUUUACUGAUAAGAAUAUUGGCCAUUUGAUUAGAGUUGUGUAAUGGAAGAUAUAGAUUAGCUUAUUUUCUAUAUCUCUAGUAUUUACCUUUAUUUUAGAAAUUUAAUUUGAAAUAUGUUUUCACUUUUUGCAGCAAAAUUUGAAACUUUAUUAUACUUCAUUAAUUUUGUUUACCCUUUUAAAUUUAAAUUCAAGCCUUUCUAAAAAUAUAUUUAGUUUGGACUUAACAUUAGAAGAAAAUAAUGUUAAUAUGAUAUUAGGUACAUCGAAUAUCAUCGAAGGCUUCGGAAGAGCUUAUAUUAUUUUACCAAAUAAUACAAAAUUAUAUAUUAAUGAAACCCUUUUUCUAGCAAAUCUAGAAGAAAUUCGAUUAGUUUUAAAGACCACUCGAUAUUGAAAAUAUGGUUUCUGAAGAACCACAAGAAUCCGAAAAUAAUGAGAUUUCAAUAAAUUAUAUGUUAUCUCAUAAAUUAUGGGAAUGGAAUAAUGUUGUUAUAGACUAUAUUUUCAUUUUUAAUAUGACUCUUGAUAUUACGCUAAAUGAAGAUUCUGAACCACAGUUAGUUAAAGACUAUCAAAAUAUAAAUGAUUGGCCAAAAUGAAAAAAAAGUCAUACUGGCAGAAUUGAAUCCUUUUUGGACACAAAAAUAAAAUCCAUUACUUGAUAUCUUUAAUCUGUUAUCAUCUUGAGUGAUGUUCAUUGCUAUGCUGGCUUCUAGUGGCUCAACGUGCUCAGCUCCUUCUAUGACUCUAGAAUGCCAGACAUGCAACUUCACCAUCAAAGUAUGGCAGAAUGCAUGCAAAAGCCUCCACUUCAGUAAUCACUAUCCUGUCUUUAAUAGUCAUCGAUUAAAAAUUACAUGUAAUUCCACUAUAUUUGUAAUCAACAUGGUGGGUUCACACAUAUUUGUAAUCACUUAGAAAAAAUACAAAUCAAUUGAAUUGCAUAUCAAAACUUACUUGUAAUUCCACUAUGUGACGUGUUGGUCAUAUAGGCAACAUUCUGAAAAAAAAAAAUUAGCAUGCUUGAAUUAUGUUAACACGAAACAAAAAGGUAGUCUUUGAUUUCGUGAGCAUCACGGAAUGUUAGCGUGUAUAAUGACAACAAAUCUAAGAAAAACAAGAAACUUGGAAUAACGGGGUGUCUAUUUGUAAAUUAACGAGAAAAUUCUUUUCAAUGUUCUAUAUAUGCAUACUAAGUGCGAUUAAUUCCACAACAGGAUUGCUUCGUACAAAAUAUGUGUGACAAGACAAAUAUGUAUAGUCGUCUACACAAGAAUACUGCAUAAAAUUGAUAUGAUUAUUCUUCAUUGCGUUAUAUCAGGUUACCCAAGGAACAAGCUUCUAGGUACCACUUAUUUUAUGAAUAUUCUAUGUUGUAAUAGAAAUGCAUAAAAAAUCAUUAAAAUGAAACGAUUUAGUAAAGUUAAUAGUAUGAUUGUCUGAGGUAUAGGUUGCAUCAUUAUUUUCUUCUUCUUUGAUGAGGAGUCACCAGCAACGUAGUCUAUCUGCCACUUCUUGCUAUUGUUCAUGUAGGUUGUCCUAUUCGUAUCUUCUUUGACAUUUUUUAGGUCUUGAAAAUCAUUUGAAUGUUCACUUUAUUCCUUCAAACCUAAAAAUACAGCUAUGGAGCGUGUUAUGUGGCGUGUAGGAGUACAUACAAUUUCAUUUUUCAGCUCCAUAAUCUCCAUGGAUUUUUAACCUUCACCUAUGUGACUACCCUCGAUUGAAACCAGUAAUAAUCUCCAUUUUGGGGUUGCCAAGUGAUAAGAAUAAUUUGUAGACUUAUUUAGCCUUUAAUCUAGAGUAUCGAUUGGUUAUUUUGAUGAAUCAUAGCCUUCUUCUUUUUUUUUUUUUUUUUUUUUUUUUUUUUUUUUUUGUUGUAGGAGUACAUACAAUUUCAUUUUUCAGCUCCAUAAUCUCCAUGGAUUUUUAACCUUCACCUAUGUGACUACCCUCGAUUGAAACCAGUAAUAAUCUCCAUUUUGGGGUUGCCAAGUGAUAAGAAUAAUUUGUAGACUUAUUUAGCCUUUAAUCUAGAGUAUCGAUUGGUUAUUUUGAUGAAUCAUAGCCUUCUUCUUUUUUUUUUUUUUUUUGUAUUGUGUUUAUUAGGUACAAAUCGACGAAAAUGAUUGAAUUGGAGAAAAAAGGCGGAAAAGGGACUCAAUUGCAAGGAAUCCAAAGUUCAGGGACUCAAAUGCACAUAAUCAAAAGAUGGAUUAGACAUAAGAACAAAGAUUCAAAAUUGCUAGGGGCAAUUAGAUGAGAAUAGAAGAUAAUUGGAUGAGAAAGGAUGAAAAAGCACCAAAAAGCAUACAUGAAAAAGUUUAGGGAGCAAUUUGCACAAUUGGCCCCAAAAUGUGAGGGCAUGCGUACGCGAGAUUCCAUUAUAGGCUGACUAAAGCGCACAAUUUAUACCAUGCUUAAGCAUUGUUUUCCGACUGAGAAAGAUUUAUUUUUCAUUUUCUUGCUUCAACUUUUUAUGGUAUGAUAAUUUUACACAUUUUUAACUUAGAAUGUACAUUGAAGCUAUAAUUACUUAGGUUCUACCACUGCAGGGCCCAAUCAUACUCAAAAGAAGAGUUUGAUCCUGGCUCAGAACAAAAUAUGAUACAAUAAGAUAGAAACAAAGACAUGGAAUAAGUUACCUACUUUUAACGGUCAAAGCGAGCCGCUAGGGACGAAGAGCUCAGCGAACGGUGAGGCUUUUGAACAGGAAAGCAUGGACUAGCCUUUUACGGCUCCCAUGUCCAUUUCCUUUUCUGACGAUCACCUUCCGAAUUCAAGUUGAUUCUAUUUCGCCUCUUCAUCAGAUAAAGUCGAUCAAACAAUUCCAUUGAAGUGAUGGAAAACAAGAGGUUUAGGGAUAAUAAACACAAGGAAUUGAAGAUUUAAGGCGCAAAUAGAAGGAAAAUUGCAAGUAACUGCUUUCUCAAACUUCUACAUCUAUUCUUUGAAUAGGGUGAUGUCUUUUCUUAACUUCUUGUGCAAUUUAGAUGCAAUUAUAUUAGGCUAAUCUUCUCUUGUUUAUUGGAUGGAUGAUGAAACUAUUUGAGUUAUAUUUCUAAUUUAAGACUUAUCGUAUUUUAAUUGUUUCUCAUUUUUGUGAUUAAGUAUGCAUGAAUAUUGUGUUAUUUGAUUGCUUAGCUAUCAAUUAGAUAACAUGUUACUUAUUCCUAGUGUUGAAAGACCCACAACAAGUAGAACACUGCAUAUUUGACACGCGGACAUUAGGUAUUAGGAAUAAUAUUUAGAGCGUGUGCAAUCAUGUGUGAUAAUUGGUGAUUAUAUGUUGCUUUGCAUUUGAAUUUGGACUAGGAAUGGGAUCUGGGCUUGCUAAGAAUAAGUUUAAUAUAUCUUGAAAAAGAAUAUUAGGUGUUAUUUUGAUGAAUCAUAGCCUUUUUUUUUUUUUUUUUUUUUUUUGUAUUGUGUUUAUUAGGUACAAAUCGACGAAAAUGAUUGAAUUGGAGAAAAAAGGCGGAAAAGGGACUCAAUUGCAAGGAAUCCAAAGUUCAGGGACUCAAAUGCACAUAAUCAAAAGAUGGAUUAGACAUAAGAACAAAGAUUCAAAAUUGCUAGGGGCAAUUAGAUGAGAAUAGAAGAUAAUUGGAUGAGAAAGGAUGAAAAAGCACCAAAAAGCAUACAUGAAAAAGUUUAGGGAGCAAUUUGCACAAUUGGCCCCAAAAUGUGAGGGCAUGCGUACGCGAGAUUCCAUUAUAGGCUGACUAAAGCGCACAAUUUAUACCAUGCUUAAGCAUUGUUUUCCGACUGAGAAAGAUUUAUUUUUCAUUUUCUUGCUUCAACUUUUUAUGGUAUGAUAAUUUUACACAUUUUUAACUUAGAAUGUACAUUGAAGCUAUAAUUACUUAGGUUCUACCACUGCAGGGCCCAAUCAUACUCAAAAGAAGAGUUUGAUCCUGGCUCAGAACAAAAUAUGAUACAAUAAGAUAGAAACAAAGACAUGGAAUAAGUUACCUACUUUUAACGGUCAAAGCGAGCCGCUAGGGACGAAGAGCUCAGCGAACGGUGAGGCUUUUGAACAGGAAAGCAUGGACUAGCCUUUUACGGCUCCCAUGUCCAUUUCCUUUUCUGACGAUCACCUUCCGAAUUCAAGUUGAUUCUAUUUCGCCUCUUCAUCAGAUAAAGUCGAUCAAACAAUUCCAUUGAAGUGAUGGAAAACAAGAGGUUUAGGGAUAAUAAACACAAGGAAUUGAAGAUUUAAGGCGCAAAUAGAAGGAAAAUUGCAAGUAACUGCUUUCUCAAACUUCUACAUCUAUUCUUUGAAUAGGGUGAUGUCUUUUCUUAACUUCUUGUGCAAUUUAGAUGCAAUUAUAUUAGGCUAAUCUUCUCUUGUUUAUUGGAUGGAUGAUGAAACUAUUUGAGUUAUAUUUCUAAUUUAAGACUUAUCGUAUUUUAAUUGUUUCUCAUUUUUGUGAUUAAGUAUGCAUGAAUAUUGUGUUAUUUGAUUGCUUAGCUAUCAAUUAGAUAACAUGUUACUUAUUCCUAGUGUUGAAAGACCCACAACAAGUAGAACACUGCAUAUUUGACACGCGGACAUUAGGUAUUAGGAAUAAUAUUUAGAGCGUGUGCAAUCAUGUGUGAUAAUUGGUGAUUAUAUGUUGCUUUGCAUUUGAAUUUGGACUAGGAAUGGGAUCUGGGCUUGCUAAGAAUAAGUUUAAUAUAUCUUGAAAAAGAAUAUUAGGUUAUGGAUUAUUGAUUAUCACAAACACUUGAAUAACCCUAACUUACAUAAAUUGAGAAUUGGAAUAGAAACCAAUAGGUGAAUUUUGAAAUCUAAUACAUUCAUCUCAUUAUUUGAUAAGAACAAUUUUUUAUAGUAUUCUUAGCUUAGUUUAGAAUAAUUAUAAAACAACCAAGUGUUUUGUGUCACGUGGAUUGAAUUUGUUUGAAAUUGGUACUCUAUAAUUAAUUCUUAUUCCUCAUGUGACGAUAACUCAAUUCACCAUAUUAUUACUUGUCAACAAUCUUGUACACUUACGAGUUUUGUUUGAACAAGAUUUUGGCAUAGUUGUUGGGGAAUAAUAUGUUUAAUUCUAGUUUAUUAGUUAAUAUUGGAUUCAAUUGUUCUUUUUGUUUUUUAGUUAUCCAUCCCAAUAUUGAUAUCUCUUUUAUUUGUUGUUUUUUCCAGGUGCUAUUUGAUUACGUAUGCAGGAUUAUGACAUUAGUAAAAGUAGAAAAGUUGGUGUAAUAUUUAAUCCUAAUAUGGAUGAUGAGGAUAUGCUUGAAGAAGACAUAAAUUGUGAGAUUUGUCAUGGGAUGCAUUAUAUUGGGCAAUGCUUGUAUACAUACACUAAUCUCUUUAUGUCUAAGCUUUUAUGGUUUAAUAAUAUUUAAGAUAUUGAAAACAAGCAAUUGGCAAAUCUAAUGAAGGCUACAUGCACGAAGUUGAUUAUGUAUCUCCACGUGGAAGAUGACAUCGUUCUUAAGAGAGUUAGUCCUCCCUUGUUGAAAGAUGAGGCACUUGCAAACUAUUAUAAUGAACUUUCCAUGUCAGGUGAGAGCAAAAUACUCAUGGUAGAUUUCAUAUUCUUAGAUGAAUUUAAAAGGUAGAGAUAUAAUCCACUUGAAAAGGUUGAAACGAAAGAAUUUUCAUUGCUUGUGAAUUUAGAUUGUGAAUCAGCCAUUCAACACAAGAAAAUAUCAAUUAUUGAAGAAGAGCAUCAAGAUGAUGAAAGAUUAAUUACAAAGAAACCAAGUGAAGAAGAGACAAUUAAUGAAGAUGAAAUUAACACACAUUCUUUCGAUUUCAUUGAUUGCUUCACAUUUGAAUUUGUGAUUAAAACCAAAGAGGAGAAAAAAGUCUACAUAGUUGAUUUCGUAUCGGAUGGAAUCGGCAAGUGAUAUCACCUAGGAGGAAGCAAUGUUAAAAUUUGGAGAAUCAUCAGAAAGUGAAGCAAAAUCAAAAGAAGCAAAUUGAGCAAGGCAUCAAAAGCAUUAUUCAGAAUUCCUUGAUGCAAAAUAACAAAGUCAAGCUAAUGAUAAUAAACAAGUGCUUAAUAGGAGACAAUCCAACUUUUUCCCCUUUUUAUUUACUAUGCUUUCUAGAUAUAGGAUAGGGAGUCUAUUUUUAUUUAGGUGUCAUAAUCCAUACAAAGAAAAGAAAAUGAACAGUAACUUCGCGACCGCAUCUCGCGAUUGUAACGUGUCUAUGUCCGUUGUUUCAUUUUCCCUUAAUCCCUUAAAUUUUUUUUAUUGGUCAUGAGAUGUUUUGGCUUAGUAUCAACUUUUCUAUGUUAUUUCGUCACUAAUUUUUGAACUUUAUUCAUUUUACAGGUACAUGACAUUGAGGAACACUCAAACUAAUAUUGGCAAAGGAGAUAACGCGACCAAGCAUACCAUCUAGCUCUUGCACUUCUUUUCAUUUUAGUCAUCCCUUCGACUUAACUAGGAAAGUUUUUAGCUUUCCCUCUUCACCUUUAUUUGUGCAUACUUAGUAAUAAAUUUUCAUACAUUGAGGACAAUGUACGUCUUAAGUUGGGUGGUAGGGUGUUAUCGUUGAUUAUGUGUGUUUUUAUUUAUUUAAGCUUUUCCGUGUUUGUUGUGUUAUUUUAGUUAAUUUUUUUAUUGAUUUAAUGUGUUUAUGUUGGUUAGAAGGCCUUGCCAUUUAAAACCAUGUGUUAGAGUAUAAAUUGUGGAAAAGUUGCAUGUUGGGGUUGAUUUACACUUAUUCAUGUAAAAUUUGAUAUUUCUGCGCAUGUAAUUCAUGCCUUACAUCAUGAGUAAGUGUUUUGGUUCAAAAUUUUGAAUAGUUGAAUAAAGAAAAAAAAUAGUAGAUCUUAGAUGUUUAACCCAAACAACCACUAUAGUUUACAUCCUUAAAUCAAUUCUAGGAUAGUUUGGAGUGGUUGAGAUGUUGUAGGGAGAUGCAAAGAUGAAUGGGGAUUCCAUGUGAGUUAAACUUUAUGUGGGUUUUCUAAGGCUUACAAGAUGAAGAUUGGGUAAAUAUCUUAAGUUAAAUGUUGAUUUUCGAGAAUGAGUAUUUAACGAUGAAUAUUACACUAAUCAUGAUCGCCUCAUUUUAAAAAUUCUCUUCGAAGACUUUUUGACUCCAGUGAUUAAUUCUACAAGGGUUUUAAAACCUAAUGACCUUUGGUGUUUGACUUGUGGGUCAUAGGCUAAAAGCUCAUUACAAAGGUCAUUUAGAAGAUUAAUGAAGAGAAGCUCGCAUAUAAAAUGAAAAAAAGAAAUUUGAUGAAAAAGAAUAAAAGGCAGGUGCAUAAAACAGAAGACGCGCACUACAUGUCAUGAUUAAGCCUCAAACAUUUGUUUUAAAGAAUUAGACUUUUGACAAGGGAUUUCAGUUUAGUUGAUUCUUGGAGGUUGAAGCAAUAAAAUAAUUUAGGAGAAUAUUUAUUUGUUGAUGUGUUAAGCCGAAAUUAGUUAAUUAAACCAAACUAGAGAGGGUGAAGAUUAGGAUUAGAAAAAUUCAACUUUGGGUCUUACUUAAAAAAAAAAGAAUGAAGAGAAUAAAAUUUGGGAGUGUGUAUCUCAUGAGUGAAGAAAGGAAACAUUUAACUUUUGAGGGUCAAUACUUGAACCAAUCAUAAACUUAUAAUGUUUUGCAUGAAUCUUCACACAGAUGUCAAUUCUACAUUGGGUAGAAGGAAGUUGAUUAUAAUAUUGUGACUUUGAAGCUUCUUUAUAUUUUUGAUAAAUAAAUUUCAAUCUUAAAUUAAAAAAUGCUCUACCAUAUUUAUGCACGGUUUAUACCAUGCUCACGCAUAGCUUUCCAGAUGAGAGAGAUUUUCUUUCCUUUUUCUUGUUUCGAUUCUUUAUGGUAUGAUAUUUUAUAUAUUUUUAACCUACAAAGAGUUGUCCAGAAUGUACUUUGAAGUUAUUACCACAUAUUCUAUCAUUGAAGUGAUGCCAAACAAGAGAUUUAGAGAGAAUUAACACAAGGAAUUGAAGAUUCAAGAUGUAAAUUGAAGGAAAAGUGCAAGAAAUUGAUUUCUCAAGCUUCUACAUCUAUUUUUUAAACUGGGUGAUGUCUUUUCCUAACUUCUUGUGCAAUUUAGAUACAAUUAUGUUAGGCUAAACUUCUCUUGUGUAUUGGAUGGAUGAUGAAACCUUCAGAGUUAUAUUGCUAAUUCAAGACUUAUCGUAUUUUAAUUAUUUCUCGUGUUUGUGAUUAAGUAUGCACGAAUAUUGUGUUAUUUGAUUGCUUGGCUAUCAACUUGAUAACUUGUUACUUAUUCGUAGUGCUGGAAGACUCACAAUAAAUAGAAUGCUGCAUAUUUGACAGGCUAAUACUAGGUACUAGGAAUAAUAUUUAGGGCGUGUCUAAUCAUGUGAUUGAAUGCUUGCUUUGCAUAUAAAUUGGGACUUAGAAUAUGGUCAGGUCAUGGUAAAGAUAGGUUUACUAUAUCUUGAAAAAUAAUAUUAGAUAUUAGUGGAUUAUUGAUUAUUAUGAACACUUAAGUAAAACUAACUUACAUAAGUCGGGAAUUGGAAUAGAAACCAACAGGUUAAUUUUGAAAUCCAAUACAUUCAAUUCAUUAUUUGAUAAGAAUAGUUUUUUACAGUAUUCUUAUUUUAGUUUAGAAUAAUUAUAAAACAACCAACUAUUUUGUGUCAUGUAGAUUAACUAUUAUUCUUCAAGGGACGAUAACUCAACUCAUCAAAUUAUUACUUGACAACGAUCUCGUACACUUGCAAAUUUUUUCCUAACACCAAGCAAUAAGAUGUACCUUCUUUUUACUGGUUCAUGAUUGAACCCAUGGAUGAAUGGCUAUUGGGAAUAGCCACGAUUGGUGAAUAUUCAACCGACUGCCUUGAGGUGUUGGAACCCAAAGUUGUAUGUCAACUGGGGGAUGUUGUUAUUCAACAAAAAUGCUUGAUUAUAUUCUGUUUUUACCCAAAUCUAUAUGCUAAGCUUUUCUCGAGUUGUGUUUUUCUACUCCUUUAAAAUUUUAUAUGAUAAAAACACCAAAAUCUUCUGCAUUUAAUGACAAAGAUCAUUGAUUUGAUAUACAAAAUAUGGAUUUCACAAUAUGAUGUUUGGAGGUGAGUGAUCUUUAGAAUGAUAUGUGAUUUUCUGGAUUAACAAAAACGGGCUUUUGAUUCUAGUCAACGAAGGUUCUUCUGAAUUGGGGAUUUUCUAUGGUAGAGACUGUAAUUUGGGGCUUUUGGGCAUUAACGAUAUAAAUUGGUUUGGGCUUGUUUGGUAGAGUGAUAUAAGUUGUCUAAAUAAUUAGUUUAAGAAAGAGUAAAUUUAACCAAUGCUCACUGAAUUUUAAAUUUGUUACUACUUACUCACUCAUCUUUCACGCAUUACUGAAUACUCACUAAUCUUUCCAUAUAGUUAUCCAUCCACCUCUCAUUUCUUCAAAUAAUUGGGCGAUUUUUGCGGCAACUUUUUGACAACUUCCGACCACCAAGACCAUUGAAUUUUGAUACCGUUGGAAAGCCCACGAUCUCCUCUUCAAUUACCACCCAAAAUCACCCUAUAACUCCAAGGGAUUCGACCGAAAAAUUGCCUCAAAAGUCGCCCAAAAAACCUGAAAAUUUGCCCAGAUUUUCAGAUUUUUUGGAUGACUUUUGCGGCAAUUUUUCGACAAUUCCGACCACCAAAACUGCCAAAUUUUGAUACCGUUGAAAAGCCCACAAUAUCCUCUUCAAUUAUCACCCAAAAUUUCCCCCUAACUCCAAAGGAUUCGGUGGGAAUAAACCUACAAAAUUAGUAUCUCGAAAAUGCAAAAAUCUGGACAGAAUUCGGGAUGCUGAUUUUGUGGGUUUAUUCCGUUGAAAAGCCCACAAUGUCCUCUUCAAUUUUUAGAUUUUUUGGUGACUUUUGUGGCAAUUUUCCUAUCGAAUCCCUUGGAGUUAUGGGGAGAUUUUGGGUGAUAAUUGAAGAGGAUAUCAUGAGCUUUCCACCAGUAUCAAAAUCCCAAGGUCUUGGUGGUUGGAAGUUGUCGAAAAGUUGCCGCAAAAAUCGCCAAUUAUUUGAAAAGAUGAGUGUUGGAUGUGUAACUAUAUGGAAAGAUGAGUGAGUAUUCAGUAACGCGUGAAAGAUGAGUAAGUAAGUAGUAACAAGUUUAAAGUUCAGUGAGCAUUGGUUAAAUUUACUCGUUUAAGAAAUAAGUUGUUUAUUGAGUUUCGUUUUUUUACUUUAUGAAAUGCAGUAAUAUUAGUAUAAAAAAUGAAAAUUGAUUAUAUGAAUAAUUAUUUUAAAAUGGAUAAUACAUAUAAUUUCCUCAAAACAUAUUAGCCUAUGUCCAUACCAUAGCAUCUUGUGUCCAAAGUUAAAUAAUAGCCCAAGCAUAAAAUAAAUUUAAAACCUAAAAUAUAAAAUUAAAGGAAAAUUUUAUAUCUAAGAGAUUAAGUAUGAUUCAUUUCAAAACUAACAAAUAAGGAUCAUGUUACACUACCACAAAGUUUGACACAUUGGUUGAUACAACACACUUACAUCAGAGGUCGGCAUUAUUUUAUUCACGCGGGACCCACGCCUCGACUGUGAGUCUUGUCAAUCAAUGUGUCAAAUUUGGCUUAAUCCAAGAAAUAAUGUUUCAAAUUGCAAAAAUUAGAUAUUAAUUAAUUUUUAUCCAUGAAAUAAUUAAUCAAAGGUAUAUUUUAUUAAUUCAAUAUAUUAAAGUCACGAUUCUAUACUAUUUGGUCACAAAUUAUCGAAUUAAUUGGUGAAAAAUUAUUUCUUGAUCACAGGUCAAAAACUUUAGAGGUCACAAGUCACGACUCAAAUUUUUAUGUUGCAUAUCAUUUAUUGAUUACAAUUUAUCGGUUACAUAUUAUUUAUUGAUCACAAAAUAUCUAAUUAUUAGUCACAAUCUCAAUAAUUGGUCAUUUCUUACUUAUUGGUAACAAAUUAACCAAUUUAUUGAUCACAAUAAACCAAAUAAUUGGUUACAAACACCCUACCCCAAUGUGCCCUCCCAACCAUAACCACCACACCACCACCAAAUCUACCACCAUCGCUAGCACAUCCACUUGUACCACCAACAACAUCAAGAUAUGGAAACCACCACCACCACUCCAACAUCUAAAACCAAAACAACACUCCAUUGCACAUCCACCAACCACAUAUACCAUCACCAUCACGACUUAUACCACCACCACCGUACAUCCCCAAGAUUCGAACUAAGCAAAUUGGAGGAAAAAACCAACCCAAAACUCCAAAACCAUCGGUAUUAUACCCUACCCCUCUACCCAUUUGCACCACCACCAUCACCGCACACUCCUAAAACUCCGAAUAUGUAGGUUGGAGUAAAAAACCAACCCAAAAUGUACAUACUGCUGUAGCAACCCACAUCUACCACCAUCGCUAGCAUCAUUGUGCACACAUCAUACAGAUCACACUCAUAGAUCUCGCAUAGAUCAUCGUUGCACACACCAUCAUAGAUCACAUGCCACCACAUACGACUAAUCAGGGCAUCAAACACCAUAAAUCAUCACACCACCACAUGUUACAGAAAGACAUUAAAUGGGAGAUUAGUGUUUCUAAGGUCUUCGAUAGCAUCUUAGCAAAUAGGGUAGUCUAUGGUGGCGAUGGCGGUUCAUGUAUGAGUGAUAUGAUAGAGAGAGAUGGGAGAAAGAGAUGGAGAUGGAGAGAAAGAAAGAGAAAAUGAUUUUGGAGUUUGAUGGGUUAGGGUAUGAAUAUAAUUAAUUGAUAAUAUUAUCAGGAAUAUUAAAAUUUUCUAUAGUUUAAUUUUUGAAAAAAAAAGUGUAAAUCUGUUUUUGGUUUAAAUUUUUUUUUUUAAAUCUUAAUUUUGAAUUGGAAAGUUUAAAAUUCAUUGGCCCAAACCCAAAAUGGAAGAUUCCAAACCUAAUAUACAUAUCCCUCUCACUCUGAAGACUAUGACCUUUGCAUUCCACUCGAAUGAAUUAGUACAUGCCAUCUACCCACAAUGGCCUUUGACCAUGUUAAAAAGAGAUAAACAGGUAAAAAUGUUUAAAACUUGGAAAAGCCAAAAAUACCCUCAAAGAGAAAGAGAAAAGAUUAAAAAACUGGAAAAAAAGACACAGUGAUUUUGAAGAUUUGUCGACCCACACCGACCACCUAGAAUUAGAUCCACGUUGAUCAUUACUGGAGAUUGCCAUUUCUCAAUGAGGUUAGCUUUGUUCCACUUUUUUAAAUCAAGUAUUUUUGUGUCUAUGUUAUCAAUUGAUAUAUUUUCUUAUAGCUAGUUCAUCUUUCUAUGUAACCAAUCUUCUCAUUUACGAUCAACAUCUUGUGGAGUUCUUCUUGAACAAAUAUAUUUCUAUGGAAAAAUAGAAUGUCUUGUAAAUGUCUUUGUAUAAGAUUUUCAGGGUGUACUAUGCUUAAACAACAGUAGAUUUGUGGUUUUUAGGAUUGGAAAUCGUUGAAAAUUUACAAUCUCUGCCCUUUGCCUUCUGGAAUCCAGACGAGCCAGUUGAAUUCCGUACAGCUUUCCUCGAAAGUUUAUUUUAGUUUUUUUUAUAUAAUUUCUUUUCUUUUUCUAUGAUACAAUUGCUGGUUAAUUUUCUUUUUAUUUAAAUUUUUUUUCUAUUUAAUUAAUUUAAUUUUUAUUCUAGCUCUUCUUUUCUAAUUUAAAAUGUAUAAUUCUAAUUAUUCAUCUUUUCAAUUUCUUUUUUUAACAAUAUAAUUUUUUUUGUAAUUUCUUUUUAAAAUUUAAUUUAAUUUUGUCUAUUUAUUUUGAUUUUUUAUAAUAUCAACUAUAAUUUAAUGAAUGUCUUUUUCAUAUUUUUUAAUUUUGUUGAUUUUUUUCUUUGUUAAUUUAAUUUAAUUUGUUUAUUUUAAUUUAUUUCUAUGUUUUAUAAAUGUAAUUACUAUUUAAUUAUUGUCUUUACAAUUUCAAAAAUCAUAAAAUUUUCCCUCAUUUUAUUUUCCUUUUCUAAAAUUAGUUUUUUUUUUUGUUUGUUAAUUCUUUGUGUUUAAUUUUUAUUUACUUUCAUUUCGUUUAUUCUAUUAUUUGUUAAUUUUUACGUAUAGUAGUAUAUAAAUCGAUUCUUUUUAUUUUCUAAUAUUACGUUUUAUUCCAUAUUUCUAGUUAAGGUUUUAACAUUUGAAAUUUUGCAGGAUGAAUUAGCAUAUCGAUGGUAGGAUGAGACAUAUUUACGAGAAAGUUACUUUGAACUGUAACUCUGGCAUUUUUACAACGGUAAUUAGAGUUGCUCGUUGAUAAGCAUGCAGGUAUCUUGUGCCAUUCCUGCCUGUAGCCCCCCAUCCAUUGAGAGAUGUACAGUUUUCACGGUAGCUCUUUGAUGCAUUACUAUGUCGGUUGCUUAAGCUAGUCGAUGAUGAUUCACUCCAUUUUGAUCUAAGGCAGGCCAGUUAGCUAGAUUCUCUCUAUUUGAGUUUACCCUCACUACUGAACUGAAGUGUUCGGGAAAAGAAGCAGUGAGGGCCCGUAUUCCCAAAAAACCAAAGGUUGCUGAAUGAAUAUUUUCUAGGACAAACGAUUGUAGUUCAGCCACAGUUAGAAGAUGCAUUAAGACCUGCAACCACGAGUUUGGACAAAUCGAAGUUAGGCUUGGUGCUUAUCUUUGAGAGAUUAAUGAGGUGUCGACAUAAAAACACAUUGAUUAACAUCUUUCAUUCUGAAGUUGUUGAAGAUAUUAAUGGUUCGACAACUAUCCAUGGAAACAGAGAUGUUAUAAGGAUACACUAUGCGUCUUCAGGAGUGAGCAUUUGAUGCCCAAGGCAAAUAAGCUCGAGCGUCAGUACGAUGCAUAUGAAUUGUUGUUGGCAUUACAGGUAAGUGGGCGAGAAGAAUCGAGACACUCUACCAUUGUAUACAUCAUUGGUGAGAACAUAAUAAGCUAAGUGCUAAACAAUUAUCAACUCCCCUAACAAGCCUAAGGUGAAUAUUAUACCUUUGCGCCUGGAUUGGCUUUCACAAUUGACCUAGUUGGAUCUUCUUCGUGCCCAGAUGGCUUCAUUGGCCUUUUUUUCAACAACCACGAAUCUGUCUGAAUAUAUAUGCAAAUGAGUUUUUUCUUCUCUUUUUUUGUUUAAAAAACUUAUAGAUUUGUUUAAGAAAUGUAAAAAAUUUAUUUGCUUAUGUCAAAAUAAGGUUCAACGAUUAAGACAAUGUACUAAUUUAAUGAAAACAAAAUUAAAUUUAUGUAAAUAAACUUAUUGAUUCGUAGUGAUGGCUAUAAACAAUAUUUUCUUGUUGAGCGUUUGAUAAAUUUAUGUGAUUUUAAGGUUGAAGUAGAUAAAAAAAGAAAGAAUUUUUAUGUGUUGAAGUAAACAGAUAAAGAAAUUGACUUGGUUUUGAAACUUUAAGUGGGAAAUGUUUGAAUUUUUACUUUGUAAUUUAAUUAUUAUAAUCUUUUAGACAACACCAUGUUUUUGUAAUUGUAUAACAUACGUAAGGCUGUAUUUGUCUUUUAAUCAUUAAAAGCCCAUUGUGGUGAAUGAUAAAAAAGGUUGGCUCAUGUGGAAAAUGGUUAUGUUGACAUGGCUGAUUUUAGAAGUGCCUCGAUAAAAUCAAAUCUUUGCUCCAAGCAAUAUCAUCAAAAAGUCCUUGUAGUACCCCCAAUGUAUCUUCGAUAUUGUUGAGGAUGGAUUUGUUCACAAUGAAAUAUUUUCCUUUAAUUUUCAUCAUGUCGAUUUAAGCUUGAGUUAUAAUAGCUCUAGUCACUGAAUCGUCAUAAGUCCCAAGCCCGAAAAUUGAAGCAUUUAUAACUUGGGAUGUCUAGUGCAAUAAAUGUUGGUCAACUUAAUAAGAAGUUUAAAUGCGAUGGAGAACUAAAUACGUCCUUAACUAAAUGAUACAAUCAUUUUUGUAUAUCCACACUUUCGGUUUCACUUUCUCACGUACAAAGUGAUACCAAACUCGAAUGUUUAUUGUUUUUGAGUAAAAGCUGGAUUUUUUAACUAAAUGCAAGGUGCUCUAACUAUCACAAAAUAGAGUAGUAUUCUCUUGUUUGUGUCCGAGUUCCUUCAAUAACAUUUGCAACUAGGUUGCCUCUUUACUAGCUUGUGUAACUGCAAGAUAUUUUGCCUACGUUGUAGAAGUAGCCACGAUAGAUAAUAGCUUUAAAACUGAACUUAUAGCUCCGCUAGCAAGAGCAUAUUCAGUGGUGAAUUUUCUUUUGUCAAGAUUACCUACAUAAUCUAAAUUAACAUAGCGAAAAUAAAGUUCGAUCCUCCAUAACACAAUGCAACAUUGGUGGUACCCUUGAGAUAUCUCAAGAUCCUCUUCAUAGUAUUCCAAUGCUCUUUAUCAGGAUUAGUCAUGUAUCUAAUAAUCACUCUUGAUGCUUUGUACAAAAACAUUAUGCUACCCAUUGCUGAUUCAUAUGGUAACUAAGACAUUUCCAUCAGUUCUGCUUCAUUUUUAGGACUCGUACUUGACAAUAACUUGAAACUAAUAGAAAGAGGGAUAGAAAUUGAUUUACAUGUUGGAAUAUUUCUAAUGUGGGCUUUCCAUUUGAUUGUAAAAUUUACGAGUUAGAUGUAUGACUUACAAUGAUAUUUGUGAUUGGGCCAAAUUUAUUAAGUGACUGAUUGGGCUUUUUACACCUUACAAGUUGUAUUUAAUAUGAUGUGGUAAUUUUAAAUAACUGGGCCAAAAAUAAACGCUUGCCCUAUAGAUGGCUAAUACUUUGUGAAGAGUAAGGAGGGAAAGAUCUAACUACUAUUAUUCAUAUCAAGAAUGACUUUCGCAAGUAUAAAUUCGAUUUAUUAAUUUAUUAGUUUGUGAUUCAUAAUUCUUUGCAUGAUUACAAUUAAUUUCUACAAUUGGCGUCAAAGCUUACAUGCUAAGAUCAUAUUUCUUUAUAAAAAUAAAAUAGCGUUCUUUCUCAAUUUUUGCCUUCAAAUAUUAACACAUUAUUCUAGUUAAUAGUUGUCAUCGUGUUUAGUUAUUUUAUCCAAUAAUAAUAAUAAUAAUAAUAAUAAUAAAUAAAUGGAUAGCAUAAUUAACCCAACAACAUCUACUACAUCCCCUGUUUCUCUCUUACACCCAAUCUUGCAUGUGUGUGUCUCUCUCUCUCAAAAAUAUGCACAUGGAGACCUUUUUAUCUUUCUAUACAUAUGUAUAUGUAUGUACAGCUCACUAUAGGUAAGCGUGAGCCCAAAGUCAAAGGAAGACAGCCGUAUGUUUUGUAUUUUUGGAGUGCCUUCUAUUUUUGAUUUGGAUUUUGACAUGAUUAUGAAAUGCUGCCACCAAAUCCCAGUUCUGUAAUUUUUUCUUAUUGUUGUAAAAAUUGAGAAUUGAUGUUGUUGGAGGAGAAAGAAAUGGUGGAUUUGGGGCCUGUUUCGGUCGGUUGUGGUAGUUUUGGGAAAGGGGCCUCUCUUGCAAUUUGUGAGAUUAGAGGCCCCUGUCUGCAAUUAAGAGAUUGGACUUAAGCUUGCAAUAUUAAAAGGAGGGCCUACUUGUAAUUUGAAAUUUUUGGAGGAUCUAGUUUUAAUUUUAAAUUUAGGGUUAAGAUGUGAUUUUCAACAGGGGCUUUUAAUUUAAACUUUUAAAAUUUUGACCCAAUUAAAAUUUUAUUUAAAAUUGACCCGAUUGACAUUAUAUUAAAUAAAUAAAUAAUAAUAAAACUAAUUGAUGACUUUUACAUUCUUGUCAAAAUCCCAAGGGCAGGUUCUUACGCGUUAUUCACCCGUUUUGUGUGUUUAAAUGUUGCUAUUGUUUAUAUAUAUAUAUAUAUAUAUAUAUAUAUAUUGAAAUUUGUUGCCUAUUUUGUCUUCCAAUCACAUAAAUUUUCCCGUUAUCGAUUAAUGAUUAUGAAUUGUUGCAUAAUUAUUGUUUUGUGAUUGAACUUUUUAUAAGCAUUGAGACGAUCCUUAUUUUCCCACAAAGAAAAUAUUUUGAAAUAAAAAUGGGUGGUAGUUGUCAAAGUGGCACACUCAUUAUUAUUUAUUCCAUUUUCUCUUGCCCAAAAGUGUUAUUAUAUGUGAUAUUUUUGGAAAAUGGCAUAAGGCGAUUAACGAGCUUAUUUUGGUAUAGAAGUUUCAUUCUGCCCAAAGGUAUUGGAAAUUCGGAAACCAAUGUGAUCUUGUUAACUAGCUAUAUGAUGUACUUUGAGAGUACCUUAUAACGCGUUAUAUUGUCAACCCAAAGAUGACUUUGUGAUGAUGCAUUUAUGCUCUUACUAUUAUAAGAUUCAUAUGUUUUUUAUUUUAAUUACAGAUUGUCUAAUUAAUAGCCCAUGUUAAUUAUUUAAAUAUUUUAUCAUCCAUUUGAUUGCAUUCAUUAUGUUUGGAUGAUAUUGAGUAUGAUAUUUUAUGUUUCCACAGUUUAUAAUGCCCUAUCUCCUUCGAGUCAAUUGUCUUCUAUUGAAACCUUAACUGGGAGUAAUUAUAUGAGAUGGAAACGAGAUGUAGAAAUAGCACUUGGUCUUUUAAACUUAGACUUUGCGAUAGAGAAAAAAGUUUGAGAACCCAUAGAUAAGAGCACUAUUGAAUAUGUAGCUGAAUAUGAAAAUUGGAAAAGACCUACGAACUUUGUUUGAAAUCAUUAAGCGCUCUAUAUCCUAUUCCAUUAUGGGUGCUAUCUCAAAUAAUGAAAAUGCCAAAGGUUUUAUGGAUGCCAAAUGAGAAAAAUUAUCAAGUUUGAUAAAGUCGAAACUGAGGAUCUGAUGGAUAAAUUGAUGAAUACGAAAUAUUAUGGUACAAGUGGUGUUAAGGGUCACAUUAUGAAGAUGAUAAAUAUAUCAUCUAAGCUAAAGGCUCUUAAAAGUCCAUUGAUCUUAGUUUGUUUUGAGUUUUCUUUAGUAAACGUGCCUUUAAAUUUUUGAUGGUUAGACUCUGGAGCUAGUAUUCAUAUUGUGAAAAUGGAGUUCAAGUGAAGGUUGAGUCAUAGGAAUAGUAAAGUUGACUUUUGAGUCUGGUUUCUCUCUUGUUUUGAAAAAUACAGUUUUUGUACCAACAAUAAGACGGAAUUUAAUUUCUAUAUCGAAACUCAAUGCUUGUGGUUUUACCUUUAACUUUGGUAAUGGAAUGGUUUAGUUAUUUUAUGAUUCUCGUUUGAUUGGGAAUGGCCUAUAUGUGAUGGUUUAUAUAAAAUUGUCUUUAGCUCCUUUUGAUGAAGUCUCUUGUGUUACAAAUGUAUCAAAGAAAAGGGCUUUAAUUCGUGAAUCAUCAUCUACGUUGUGGCAUAAACGGUUGGGUCACAUUUCAAGGGAUAGAAUGGAAAUAUUGGUAAGAGUUGAGAUACUUCCUCCUCUAGACUUAUCUAACUUUGACACUUGUGUGGAUUGUAUAAGAGGAAAAUUAACUAAGUCUACAAAGAAUGGUUCAACUAGGAGUAAUGGUAUUUUGGACUUGAUACAUACUGAUAUUAUUGGACCUUUGCCUUCCACCAUAUUUGGAAACAAAUAUUUCAUAACCUUUAUUGAUGACUUCUCAUGAUAUGGAUAUGUUUGCCUGAUUAAUGAUAAAUCCCAUGUACUUGAAAAAUUCAAGAUUUUUAAAAUGGAAGUAGAGAAAAGAUGUGGAAAAGGUAUAAAAUUUGUAAGAUCUGACCGUGGUGGUGAGUACUAUGAGAAAUAUGAUGAGCCUGGUCAAAAUAUGGGUGAUUUUACAAAGUUUUUAUAAGAGGUGGAAUAGUGUCCGAAUACACCAUGCCAGGGACACCUGAGCAGAAUGGUGUUUUUGAAAGAUAUAAUCGAAUUCUAAAAGAUAUGGUCAGAAGUAUGAUGAGUGAAACAAAUUUGCCUGAAUAUUGUGGGGGUGAAGCCUUGAAAACUACUAUGUAUAUUUUGAAUAGAGUUCCAUGUAAAGCUAUUGUAAAGACACCUUUUGAAUUAUGGACAGGACGUAAGCCAAGUUUGGCUCAUUUUAAGGUUUGGGGAUGUACAGCUGAGGCCAGGAUUUUAAUCCAUUUGAGAAGAAAUUAGACACAAAAUCAACUCCUGGUUCUUUCUUUGGGUACCUAGAGAAAUCAAAAGGAUAUAAGUUUCUGGAGAAUGAUUUUGGUGAUAACGGGAGUUCUACAUUGAGAGAACCUUUUGUUGAACCAACUCAAGUUGUUGUUUCAGUUCCUAUUAUACGAGAAAGUGUUGGUUCUCAACCAAUUGAAGUUGUUAAUGGAGAAUCGAUGAACUUCUAAUUCCUCUAACAAUGAUUGAAUCGGUUCCUGAGCCACAAGUUAAGAGAUCACAAAAGGAAAGGAGAUAUGCAUUGCCUAGUGAUUAUAUUAUAUAUUUAUUGGAGAGUGAUUUUAAUAUUGGGCAUAUUGUUGAUCCUGUAACUUAUAAUCAAACUUUGACAAGUCCUGAGGUAAAUAAACGGAUAAAUGUUAUGGAAGAUUAAAUGAAUUCUAUGGAAAAUAAUAAAGUUUGGGAACUUCCUCCAGAUGCUAAAGUUAUAGAUAACAAGUGGAUCUUUAAAAGUAAAUUGGAUUCAAAAGGGAAUGUUGUAAGAAAAAAGGCAAGAUUGGUUGCAAAAGAUUUCACUUAGCGUGAAGGCAUCGAUUAUGUUGAAACCUUCUCACAUGUCUCGUCCAAAGAUUCUUUUCGAAUUAUUAUGGCACUUGUAGCACGCUAUAAUUUGAAGUUUCAUCAAAUGGAUGUUAAAACAUCAUUUUUGAAUGUAGAUCUUUCUAAAAAGGUUUACAUGAGACAACCUGAAAGUUUUGUUGUAAAAGAAAAAAAAACCUGGUAUGCAAGUUAAAUAAAUCUUUAUAUGGCCUUAAGUAAGCAUCUCAACAGUGGUAUCUGAAGUUUGACGACGUUGUAACUUCUUUUAGUUUUGUCGAAAAUACAGUUGAUCAAUACAUUUAUCACAAAACCAGUGGGAGAAAUUUUAUUUUUCUUGUCCUGUAUGUUGAUGACAUUUUGCUUGCUAACAGUAACUUAGGGUUGCUUCUGAGACAAAGAAAAUGUUGUCUGCCAAUUUUGAGAUAAAAGAUCUUGGAGAAGCCUCUUAUGUGCUUGGCAUUGAAAUACAUUGUAAUAGAAAUUGUGCCUUAUUGGGACUUUCUCAAAAGUCCUAUAUACGACGUGUUCUAGAAAGGUUCAAUAUAUAGAACUGUACACCUGGUGAUGUACUUAUCAUUAAAGGAGAUAAGUUUAAUAAACUCAAUGUCCAAGGAAUGAGCUAGAAAGGGAAUCUAUGAAAAUGAUUCCAAAUAUUAGUGCUAUGGGGAGUUGAUGUAUGCUCGAGUUUGCACUAGACCGAGUAUAGCCUACGCAGUCAAUGUCCUCAGAGUUUUCAGUCGAAUUUAGGACAAGAGCAUUGGAAAGUAGUUUAGAAAGUUAUGAGAUACUUAAAAAAAACUGAAGGUUAUAUGCUUACAUUCCAGCGUUCAAAUCACCUUGAAGUGAUAGGCUAUUUGAAUUCUAAUUUUGUUGGAUGUCAAGAUAAUUUGAAAUCAGACUCAGGUCAUAUUUUCACGUUAGCUGAUGGUGCUAUCUCUUGAAAAAAGUGUUAAACAUACUCUAGUGGCAUCUUUUACUAUGCAAGCUAAAUUUGUGGCAUGUUAUGGGGCUACAGUCCAAGUCAUUUGGUUAAGAAAUUUCAUCCCUCGCUUGGAAGUCGUUGAGUCCAUCUCAAGACCAAUUACCAUCUACUGUGAUAAAAGUGCAGCAGUGUUCUUUUCAAAGAAUAAUAGAAGUUUUGAUGGGUCAAAGUAUAUUGACAUAAAAUAUUUGGUAGUUAGAGAUAGAGUCAAGGAAGGGCAGACGAAAAUAGAGCAUAUCAAUACAGUGGCAAUGAUUGUAGAUCCUUUGACUAAGGGACUCGUUCCAAAAGUCCUUAAGACACAUGUUACUAAUAUGGGCAUUGUGAAAACAUUUGAUAUUUUUGGUUAGUGGGAGUUAUAUAAAUGUAAAGAACUACGUUUUGGACAUAAUUCCUUUGUGGAGUACGUAGGCAACCCAUCUGUUUUUGGAUAUAGCCUCUUCUUGAUAAUAAAAUAUUUAUUCUCCUAUCUAUGAAUUAUUUUGUCCAUGCAUUUGACUUAUGUAUUUUAUUAUGAUAUUAUUGUAAUAUUGAGAUAUGACAAAUAAAGACAUAAGAUGAGUCUCCUUUGAAAACAUGUGGCUUUAUUUUGAUUUGAAGCAUUACUAGGACCGAUAUGAAUUAGCACAUUUUUUAAUCACAUUUGGUGUUAAAUUCAUACCACAUACUACCACAUUGGUUGGACGAAAAUCCAUGUUGAUAAGGAUUUCCAAUGGAGCAACAACCGAUGAGCUCAGGUUGCGCCACAAUAGAUUAUACCUUAACAUUUUCAACAGACUGAAAAAUAAAUCUUAUUACUAAAUUAGCGGAGAUAUCUACCUAAUGCAUGAAAAGAACUGAUAAAACCUUGCAAGUUCAGGGAGCUGCCAUUAAUAACUUAGAAAAUCAGAUGGGAUUAAUAGCUAAAGCACUUUUUGAAAGAUAACUAGGAGCAUUACCUAGUGACACAAAGACAAAUCCCAAGCAACAGGUAAUGGCAGUGAAGGUUGUGGAACUUUCAUUCAUUUAGGAGAUUUUUGGAAUUGGUUAAGCAUAAAACCAUGGUAAACUGACUUCUGUGUCGAAUUUAUCCAAAUAUUUGGACUUGAUCUAAUAGUCAAAUUAUGAAAAUAAAUAGACUAACUUGUUCUACUCGUCAAGUAGAUUGGUGUGGUAUGAUCGGAAUCUAAAAAUCAAUUCAGGAUGAACGAGAAAUUAUGGUCGAAUAUUGGAUGAAAAAAGAGGAAAAUUGGGUGAGUAUUUACCCCACUCCACCACUAGCCUAUCGCUCGAGUGGUGAGCAGGCGAUAUGAUUGUCGCUCAAGCGUCAGCCUUUCUAUUUUUAUGCGCGAGCAACACAUAGGUGAUAGACGAGCGACAACAAAGGCUAUGACUCUUGGCAAAGGUUGUUGAGUUUUGAGAGUACAUUGUAUGGUAGUUGUUAAAUUAAUUAUUUCAUAUUAUAUUUUUUAAGUGGUGACGAAAAGAUUAAAAAGCUUAUCGACCUUCACAGCAUAUAGCUUGUUUUGAGUGAGUGAAAAAAAAACUUUUCAAAAAUAAAAAAGUAUUUAUUAAAUUUAUAUUAGAUCAGAAAGUUACUUAUUGCAUAAAGUUGAUUUGAUAGCAUGAUUUUCAGAAUAAAAUGAAUUUUUAUAAUCAAUUCUUGUUAAAAUUAAAAUUUAGUUCAAUUGAAUCAUUUCAUUGGCAUGUUAUAUAAGUACUACAUGUUUCAGCAUAUCUAAAAUUAUUUUUAAAAAUCACCAUAAAGUACCCAGGUACUUCUACUCGUUCUGCACUGGUGUGAAUGUGUUUCCACAGUGUAUAAUUAGUUAUGGUGAUUUUACCAGUUCUGCAAUAUUGUGAAUAUGUUUUUCAUAGUGUAUAACCAGAUUAUAGCUUUUGAGCGGCUUUGUGCACUUGUGAUCGGAAUUACAGUAUUUUAGAAUUAAAUAACUCUCCUAUAUACACUAUGAUUAAUCGAUACAUGAAUAUAGUUAUUCUGGGUACCUUUUUGGUAUGACUUUUCAAUAUUAUAUAGCUUAUCAGAUUUUAAACUACAGAAUUUAAUUUAUUCAAUUUACAAAAUAAAGAUUUCGAUUUACAGUACUGUGAAAUGAUAUUAUUACUCAUAGUAUGGAUGUCAGAUUUCUUAUAUACAUCGUACCUUACAGAUGUUUAUUUAGAAUAAAAAGUAGAAAAAUUUAUGGAUCAUUACACAUUUUUCUUAAAAGUAUUAUCAGAUUCAGACUUUCUUAAAGUUGUAAUAGCAUAUAUAAGAGUUUUUAUAAAGUUUGCAUAAAUGGGAGAAGCAUACUUAUUUCCAAAAUAUCCACUCACUAAGUCAUAGGCUCAUAUUUUGUCACCCUUUUUUCUAAUCAGAUAGAAGCUAAGUUGAGUAGUGUUGAGCCUGUCGAUCUACUGAGUUAGCCACACAUUGCCAUUUGUUGUAUAACUCACUUUAUUAGUUUAUAUAGUCUAUAUUUAUUUUGGGGUACAUGCAUCUUUUGUUAGAAAAGUUAAUUUAUAAUUUAUGUAUUAUUAUGGGCUGUUGCAUAUUUUGUAUCUCAAGUGCAUUGGGGGAUUUUGGUUUGUAAAGAAUAGUAAAUAUCUAAAUCCCUACAAUUUAUUUUGACUAGUUUGUUAUUAGAAAGGUAGGAGUUCCCCAUUUUUACAUGAUAUGAAUAUUUAUUGGGAAAAUUCCUUGUUUGUCGGGUGGUAUUAGUUCAUAUUUUAGAGAAAAUUUAUUUAAUUUUUUUUUAGAAAGAAAUUAUCAUUGUCAAAGUAGGUCAAAUUUGCCUUGGUGGUGGUGGGUCCAACAUUUACUUUGCAUUUACCAUCUACGUACUUCAUAUUUCAAGUCCACUAAGGUGAUUUGGGAGUGGAUGUGUCAAUAUAGAUAGUUACAGAUGCUGUACAAUCAGUUAUUGGAAAUUAUAGGACACUACUUCAAAGUUGAUCUUUGAGCUAUUGCAGAAUUUUUUACUUGUCCAAUUCAACUAGAUCCAAACUAUAAUCAAGGUGCAGAGCAUCAUAGGCCAAAUCUAAAAAAGCAUCUAUUGUUCCAAAAUUACAUCGGCACGAUUGACGAAACACACGUGAGAGCCAUGUUGCUGCAUGAUCAACGAAUAAACUUUAUAGGCCGUAAAGGAAUACCAACACAAAAUGUGCUAGUAGCAUGUGAUUUUAAUUUAUGUUUCACACUUAUGUUGGCCGGUAGAACGGGCAAUACUUAAGACACCCGCAUCUUGGUUCUUGCUAUAAACAACCCAAAUAUUCAUUUCCUGGUACCUACUAUGGGAAAGUUUUAUCUAAUUAACUCGUGAUAGGUUUAAUUACAACACUCAUUAUGUAGAAACAUAAUUGAACAUACAUUCGGGGUUUGGAAACAAAGAUGGAAAAUAUUGGAUCAUAUGCCAAGCUACAAUUUCAAAGCGCAAACUUUUGUUGUAAUAGCAACAAUGGGCAUUCACAACUUCCUUUGAUUGGCGAGAGUUAUCAACGAUACCUUUACGAGAGUGGAGACGGAUCCAGAUGCUAUAGAUGCAGAGCUGUCAAAUGAACAUGACAAAAUCCUACUGAAAUGAAUGCACCUGGAAUUUUGCGCACUGAGUGGGACCGUUUAUAGGAUUAUAUGGCACAACAAGAAUGAUAAUGCGUGUGUAUGUAAAUGACAAAUAUUUCAAUUUCGUCGUGUUAACAUGGUUGUAACAGUGUUGAAUUUAUUGUAGUUAUUUAUCUUCACUACGAUUGGCGUUUAUAUGUUUUGGACAAGGAUAAAAUUCUUUGGACAACCCUGUCCAAACAAGGGCCAACGUGGCAGCCCCCUAUUGGGGGGUUGUUUGCUGACAUCUCCUUUGAACAAAAAUAUGGGUCUGUUUGAUUCAUUUGUGGCCGAAUUUGAUUUCCAUGUACUCCGUAAUUUGCAUGUGGGAGUGGCCUCACUAACAAGUACUCUCCUUUUAAUAUUUUGACAAUUCAAUGGGCACAAAUUUCAUAACUCAUGUUGAAUGGUAAAAAUUAUGUUGCUAGAUCAGACAAAAAAAUAAAGUUUCCACACAGUUGCAUAGAGGAGUAAAAUAGGCUUUGGGAGAUAUUAAAGUCAUGUACUCUAAUCAAAUUGGCAAACACGCAUCUUUAUAUCAAACCCAGUUAGGAACGACAGAAGGAGACAACUUGCAAUGACAAGAAAGAUGGAUGAUCUCCGUCUCCCUGCAGUCAAGAAAGAUUAAAAAAAGAUUGAAAAAAGAAAAGAAAAAGAGGAUAACUCCUUAUGCGAACCACGUAGUAGCGUUGACUACAAAAUCCACAACGAGAUUGUUCUAAAAAACCCAGAAAAGCCUAAUUAAAGGUUUAGAGUUUGAAUCCCAAAUUAAUGAACCAAAAAACCUAGCAAGAGCGUUGCUAGAAGGACCCCUUGAUUACACAAUCCAAGACCAGCACUCGAAUUGUAGAAGGCCACAAGAAUUAUGAUUCUUGACAAGUUCAAAUUGUUCGACAAAGAACGGAAGAAGAAAACAAUAUGCCGUUCAAUUUAAUUCACUCAAUAAUAAUAUCUUGUAAGGUUUACAAUGAAAGAGAGAGAUCAUAUUUAUACUAAGUUCAAAAUCCUAGAAAUCGAGGAAAAAAAGGGAAAUAAUAAUAUCAAAGAUUACAAGAAUGUUGCUAAAAAUAAAAACCUAACAAAAUAUGAAAAAUCGCGAAAAAAGGAAAUUUUCUACCAAAAUUUGAUCUAUGGGGUCGCAUAGAAGAACCAGGUCAGCCUCUUCAAUUCCCUGCCCAUGUGUAUGCGAUCACAUUGAGGUUUUGACUAUGCGGUCGCAUAGUUGCCAGAAAUGCCUCCAUCUUCGUUUGCUCGUAUCAUGUUGAUCCAGUUAGUUUCAGCUCUCGACCCGAACAUGAAAGUUACCUCGUUUUGCUUCUCGAACACGUCCCAUCAAUAGUUGAUUGAACUAGCAACCCCAUCGCUUGUUUUACUUGCUUUGACCUCGAUAACAUCAUCGAUCUGCCUUCGAUUAUCAAUGGGUCUCGUUUCGUACUCGCCUUUUUCGGGCUCAACUCCUGGAUCACAUCAACUCCUCUCUUGAUGUCAAAAUGAUUCAGCAAGAAGAGGAAUGCCCUAUGUUACAUAGAGAGUCAACACUUCAUGUUCUUGUUUGGAUUAGAUGGAGUUGUAGAAACUUUUGCAACUUUAUGUUUGGAUUCAUUUUGAGUCUAAUGCUAUGGAUCUUUAAAUCUUUUGUAAUGUUUCACUUCAUUGCCCAAGAAUGCCCGGAGUAGUUGUAAUCGAAAUUUUGAUCAAAAUAUUUAUUUAAUUGAUAAAAAAAGACAGUGAGGCCGGUGAUUUGACAGGAAAAUCAAUUUUCACCUACUAAAAUUGUGCCCAAAUAGAUGCAUAAUAUUAUUCAUAGACAAAAUAGAAUAUCCCAAGCUAGACUCCAUGGUUGAUAUAUAAGGUUAUACUCCCGUACCAAUCUUCUUUACUAGCUUGACUAUACAAAAUUCAAUCCAUAUAAUCAACUCUAAUUUUAUUAAAAACAAGACACAAUAUGUUGUCAUAGAUGUGAGAGUAUCUAAGAUUGUCGAAAAAAUAUCAAGAGAAGGCAUAGGGGACUUUUCAAUUGAAGAAAUGAAAGCAUAUGAACCACUAGAACUACUAGACGAGUAUUUGUUGUAGGGGUGUUAAAAAGACUCGACGGUUCGGACGGCCCGCAGCUUGGGAAAAGCCUGAGCCGACUCUGCUCAUCGCUCGGAGCAACCGAGCUGAGGCUCGGGCAGAGCCCCAUUUUGGGGACAUUAGUCGAGCCCGAGCUGGCCCGCGAGCCUUUUAAUUAAAAAAGGGUAUAAAAGGCAGCAAAUUCUACCUUUAAAAAGGUAGCCAAUUGCGGAGAAUUGGUUGCCUUGAAAGGCAGGCAAGAAAAAAAAUAAGUCGACGCGGUUCAGCUCAGGAAAAGCCCGAGCCGAAAGCUCGACUUGAGCCGAAAUUUUUUGGUUGAGCAAAAGCUCGGCUCAGGCUCAUAAAAAAGCUCGACAAUUUUAACUGAGCCAAGCUCGAGCAGAAAAUUUUAGGCUCGAGCUCGACUCGGCUCGUAGGCAUCCCUAAUUUGUUAUGAACGUGGAUUAUUGUAAAAGACAAGUAACCUAAAAAAAAAAAAUCAAAACAAAAAAAAAGAAGAAAAAUAAAAAAUUGUAUUGUAUUCAUAAAAGCCCUCGUGUUUCGGUAGUAAGGAAACCAACAGAAAGCAAAAGUUACAUCAUUUAACCCAUGUUAAUUUGGCUCCCAUUUUCCAAAAUUCAGUUCUUCUCAAAUUCAUAUUUAACCACACAUUUCAUGAAGUUCUCUACCUUAAUUAAUUUUUUAACCAUACAUUGCAUAAUUGCAAAUUAACAAUAACCUAACAUUUGAUAUUUUGAGAAUAAAUUUUGUAAAUGGUAGGAAUUUUUUUGACUCCACAUACAAAAUUCUUUUAUUGAGAUUGUAGUUAAAUAAUAUUUGAAGAAAAAUGAAAUCAAACGGGCUAGAUUUGAAUUCGAGUCAUCAAAAUUAAUUUUCUUUUCCUUCCCCUUCAUCUGGUUUGACAAAAUAAUCUGACUAGACGACAACAAUGAGCGGUGUGUUUGAUUGGUUUUAAUUUUUAUGGAAAAUAUUAUUUUUUAAUCCAAAUUCCUACUUUCGGGAUGUUUGAUUAACAUUUUAGUCCAUAUAAAAAUUAAUCAAAAGUUGGCCAUUAUCAUGUUUUUCUCAAAAACAAGAAAAACAUUUUCUUUAUAAAGGGAUAUCUUUUAUUUUCUAAACAAUUCGCACUUCCCAAUAAUUCAACUUUAUAGAAAAAGUACUAUAUGUUUCAGAUUAAAAAUUAAGUCAGUCAAACAUACUUUAUCGACAAUUUCCAUAUAAAUAAGUUCUGAACUUUUUUUAUAUACAAAUUUUAUGCUUGCAAUCAAACACAUCCUUAAUGCUCGAAAAUAAUAGAGUACAAGUCAAAAAACAUAACAACACGAGACAAUCUAAGAAACCGAUGGAGAGUCUUGAGACGCCCAAAAUUCAGGAAAUAGUACAGUAGACUGUACACAAAAUAUGAGAUAUUCUAGGACUAAUAACAGCCUGUCCUUGAAAUAUAUUCAACUAAUGAAAAAUUGUUCCAUCUUUAUCAUUCUCAUUAAGUCCUUGUUUGAGCCCUAUUACUCAAACACUCAUAUUUAAUAAAACUCAUUUUUAACUACACGUUCUUUCAAUAAAAUAACUUGUACAUAAACACAAAUUUUCAUUACUUCUAGCCACACAUCCUCCAAAAAAAUCAAUAUUACAAAAUCUAUUUUUGUGAAUAAUGGGGCUUAAACUAGGGCUAAAUAGCUGCUACUACGUUAGUUGUACUGAUAACGGGAAUAAACUAGGCCCCCUUUUGGCUUUCGAUGUUUCAAAUUUUAAUGGAUGGAAUAAUACUAUAUUAUUUUAUGGAAGAUUGUGUGAUUGAAAAUAUGAGAGAAAAAUCAGAUUUAAUUUAAAGGGAGCCAUAGGAGGCCUAGAUCUCAUCAUUAUUAUAUCUUGUAUAGCUGGAUCUGAAUGAGCUCGUCACUUACUAUUGAUGGGUUUAGGAUGCCCAAUUUUGUAAGAAAAAUGUUGCAAGUACAAGAAAUCUACAACAGAUUUCCAACAGGGGACAUGAUAACUAUCUCCCUGUUGAAAAUCUGUUACAGAUUUCCAUACGUGUGUAGUACAUCUAAAUUUGUAAAGACUAACGUGAGAUACUAAGGUGGUGUGUAAUCUCAGGCAAAUGUUUCAACCUCAACCUUCGACGAAGUGCAGUUUGGUAUGUGUGUCAUAUUUAUUAUGCUCUACUUUCAACCACUCCAUUUGCUCCAAGGAAAACCAUGCCUACCUCAUCCAUGUUAUAUCUAUUAGAAGCUUCACAGGAACGUCAAGCUCAUUGGACAACCGUAAUCCUAUCCUGUCAGCUCUUUCUUUUGCAUUUCAGUUAUCUAAUAUCUGAAAUAAUAACAGUAUUGACUUUUUACGGAUGAAUUUGCUAAUCCAUACUAACAGAUUGAAAUACAAUACACUUGCAUAGAACCUAUUUAUAGUUCAUAUAUUCAAGUUACAGUUAUUGAUUGCCACUACCCAAAACGAAAAAAACUUCAUAGGGCAGUCCCACCAUCCGAGGUGGCCUCAUCUUAUUAGGUGAGAGUAAGCCAUCCGAUGAGGUGGUGGCUCCCAAUUCGGCGGUAACACGACAUAGGAUGGUGUGACCGUCCAACCAAAGUUUUUCUCUGAUGGAUAGCCAAUCUAUCUGUAUAAAAUAACGCUAAUUUUCAUUUCAUUUCAAAAGUUCUCUAGCACUUUUAGACUCCAUGAGAAAGAGAUAUCUUCUGGAAAAUACAAGAGAUGCAAUUGUUAUUCCUCAUUAUUUUAAAAAUUAGUAAUUCUAGAUUUACCUUAAUUACAAUUUAACAAAAAUCUUGAAGAUAAUUUUGAAAGAUUCAGAUUUUAGAGAAAGAAAAACUUAGGAAUGAGGAUUGAUGCUAUAUGAUAUAAAUAAUAGACUUUGAUGGCCAAUCAACUAAAGGAAACUUCUGCUAUGUUAGGUACCUUCUACUAUGAUAGAACGACCGUUGCUAUACUAGUUUGAUUAUCCCUAUGGUAGAGCGACUAUGACUAUGCUAUUUCUAACUGUCACUAUGAUAGAGCGACUACCACUAUGCUACCUUGAUUGCCUUUAUGAUAGAAUGACUACUGCUAUGCUAUCCUGAUGUUGCUAUGGUAGAGCAACUACCAUUAACUAAAUUGACUACCAUUAUGAUAGACAGAUUAUGCUAUGCUAGUCCGACUGCUGCUAUUGUAGAAAGACUACCAUGGUGACAGUGAUAGAUCAAUCAUCAUGACUAGACGACUUACGCUAUGUUUGACAAACUCUCACUAUGAUAGAUCAAUCAUCAUGACCCUUAAAUGUCUAAACAUCUUUUUUAGUUGAUAGAUAACUGCUUGAUGGUUAUUAAUGAUCCCACUAACCGUCUGGUGGGUGGAAAUCAUCCACUCAAAUCAUUAGCAAAACCUGUUUGGUGGAUGGACAUGCUACACUAGACACAGGGACAAUAACCGUUUGACAUUUACACAACAUCAAAAAUUUAUAAAUACUCCAAAAGGCAUGCCUGGGGUGGGGGUCUGGUUUUCUCUCAACAUAUUUUCUUCCUAUUUUCAUAAAUCAUUUGAUUUAAAACCUCAUUACUAAUUCUCACGCCGGAGGUACAAUGGUAGAGAAAUCCCCGACCUUUUUUGCAACUAUUUAAUUGCUUAUCAGAACAAUAGAAGCCCCUUGCUCUGCUAAAGAAGUCCAAAGGUCGUUUCAAUAUUAUUUCAAGAAUCAAUUUUUUUGUGCUUUAUAUAAGAGGCCAGUUGAUUUUGCUAAGUCAAACAAAUUGAAUUUAUUUAUUUCAUUGACAUAUACUCGAAUAAUAGAAUAUGGAGGUUAAUAGUACGAAUUAUUCUAGACGAACAUGGCCAAGUUGGCCCCGUCCCCAAAAAUCUAUCUUGCAUCGUCCUAAUGAUACAUACCUCUACAGAACUUCCUAUUUUUUUGUAGUUCUCAAAACCUCCAAAACAACACGCGAUAAGCCAUGCACCUUCGAGCCUGAAAUGACAUUUUUACAGGUUGAUAAAUGUAAGUGGAUGAUUGAAAAAUAAAAUCAUAUGAAUCAAAAUUUAUCUAUAACUUGCCAAACUUCUCAGCAUGUUCAAAAAUGCGACAUUUAACUGAAUUGAAGUCCUCGUAUUCUAGAGCAAAAGUUCUCGUUAAAGAGAUGAACUAGUGUCCCAUGACUGGAACAUAGAUCAAAAGUAUUCAUCAAUCCAAAAACAAUAAAUCUCAAAUUCUUUAAACAAGCAAUUUGAUUUUGGUAUUGCCCAAUCAUCAUUUUUGGUAAUGGCAAGUUAAAAUCACAUGUUCAUCUAUAUAGACAAUCAAAUAGUAGGUAAACAUACAGGUAAACACUCAUAUAAUGCAUCUACACAUGCAUACAAACUAAGAAAUGUAGAUACGUCAACAUGUGAUUUUUUAAAAAAAAUUAAGGAAUUGACAAGCUAGAAAUAAAGAAAUUCUUCUUAUCUUGGUUUUGUAGAGAAAUUUCCAUCUCUCUGCAGGUAUAGUUGCAUAAUUAAAUACAAACCAAUCCAUGGCAAUAAUCAUAUCAUAGUUUUUCACAUCUGUAAGAUGCAGAUUUUCUUCCCUCAAGGUUCAAUUUAACUCACUUAGCUAACUGAUCUUUAUUUAGCACAGAUAACGACAUAUAUUGUUAAGUUUUCAUUCGUUAAUACUUGUAUUUGUACGAUAAAUUGAUGCCUAAAUGUACUAAGUACCUUUAUAUUUUAAUUUAGAUUUCAAAUGGAUGAAUACGGUGGAAAAUAGAAGAAACAAGCGAAAAAGGACUAAAGUGGAAGAAAUUAAAAGUUCAGGGACCAAUUGCAAAUAAUCCAAAGAUGGGACGGGAAAUGGAAUGAUGAUUAGAGAAUGUUAGGGGUCAAUUGGGUGCAAUUAGAGGUCAAAAGAAGUGAAAUAUGACCAUAAUAUUUGCAAAAAUAAAUUUCCAACUGUAUAAGGAUGCUCCAGAUUUUUAGGUAGAAAUUAAGAUCCAUUUUUGACCUUGUAAACCUUCGAAUUAGAAAAGAGCUCUACCAAAAUUGUAGCUAUUUGUGUUAAAGCGCUUUGAAUCGCCUCAAUCGGAUAUCAUGAAAGAAAGUUAUAAUCAAAAUACUGAAAGUUGUUCGACGGAGAAAAAUGUUGAACCAUGCAGUCGCACGGUCGCAUGGUUACUUCCAGAGAUCUUCAAGUUUGAAAAUUGUUGUUAUAUGCGACCGCAAGCCUUUAAACAUACGGUCGCAUGGUUCAUUCCCGAGGCAAAAUGUUCAGUCUCCUUAUUUCUUUCAAACACUUAUGGAAACAAAUUUGGUACCCCAUAUAUAAGCCGUAAAUCUCGUCCAAGACCUUGAGAACGCCCCCAUACACUUUUCUCUCAUCUUUGGCACAAGAAACUCCAUGAAGAACUAAACUUUUUGGUGAAGCCAUGAAAGAACUCAUUGGAAUUGGUGAUUUCACGUCAUUAUUUCGUGUAAUUUGAUCUUUCUUCGCUUAAUUAUUUCAAGUUUUGGAUUUUCUAUUUAUUAACUGACAUUGAAAUUGGUUUAACUUUUAUUAAAUUUUUCAUAGUUUCAAUCAUACUUUUUCUAUUGAAUUAUUAAACUAUUUGUUGAAUUUCAAUUUCAUAGAUUUUAUUGGUGGAUUAUUUACUACUUUAUGCUUGAUGUAUAUGGUCGCUUCUUAAUCUUAUUCCAAUAAAAAGUGUGUAAAUGUAUCAUAGAAAAUCUAGAUUCUAGAAAUACGUUUGGAAAUAAAUUGAUUGUUAUUGUUAAAUCUUCCGAUUAAAGAGUUGUGAUGAAAACCUUUAAUUGAGUAAAAUGCAUAAAUUAUUGAUGUUGAUUGAUCCAACCCAAUAUGGGAAAUUCCGGCGCUUCAGCAUUUGAAAUAUUGACCUUAAUCUUAUUAUUUCAACCUUUGAUUUUAAUUGUUAUUCAAAUGACAAAUCCCACUACACAUUUCGAGAGAACACUCACAUCUUGAAUCUUUGAGCAAUUCAUCCAUCUACCUAUGGAAUCGACACCCUAAAGCUGUGCUACAAUUACCGCGUUAUUCUUUGGGCGCAAUCAAAUUUUGACGCCAUUGCCGGAAAGACAGUACAACAAGCUAAAGGAUUUUCUAGCAAAAUGGUGACUUCAUUAGCUUACUUUUUUUUAGUUAAUUUAUUUCUUCAUUGUUAUUUCUUAACUUUCUCACGUAGUUUCAUUUUUCUAUUUUAUGAGAAAGAAUCAAGACAACUGAGGAAGAUUCAUUGAAGGACCACCUACAAUGUUUGAAUCUCUUUCUAACCCUAUUUUCGAUACCGUAUCUAUUGGCACAAAUACUACACAGCACAACACCAUGAUUGAAAGUAAGCAUGAAGUACCUUACAAGACCCUUCAAGAUUACCCUCACCCCAUAUGCAUCUCCACACCAUCUUGCAUUAUGUUUCCACUCAAUAUGUAUGGACCUUAAAUCGGGAAUGAUUCAAUUUCUUCCCAUUUUUCACGAACUUGAAAAUGAAAAUCUACACGUGUAUAUUAGGAAAUUUGAGGAGGUGGUUGCAACCUUCCACAAUCAACAUGGUACAACGAAUUGCAGUCAGGCUUAGAUUUUUCCCAUUUUCGCUUAAAGAAAGAGAAAAAAAGCUGGCUGUACUUAUUGAGACCACGUUCGAUUGGGACCUGGGCAGAAAUGACUCGGGCAUUUUUUCAGCUAAUACUUUUCCCAUCAUAAGACUAGUGCCCUGAAGAAGUAAAUUUAUUCAUUUGCCCAAAAGGAUAAUGAUACUUUACUCCAAGCAUGGGAAAAAUUCAAGGAAUUGCAAGCCCUUUACCCCCACAGUGGUUAUGAGAGUUGGCACAUUGUGAGUUAUUUUUAUAAAAAAACUAAUACCUAGGGAGCGUCAAUUUGUUAAGAUGAUAUGUAAUGGUGACUUUUUGCAAAAGAUCCAGAUGAGGCUAUAGACUACUUGGAUGACCUAGCUAAGAAAGCACAUACUUGGACUAGACCUAGCGCCACUAAAAGUAGGUAUAUAUCAUCUUAGGGAGAAAGAUAGCCUUAGAUCCAAAGUAGAAGCCCUCACUAAAGAACUAGAAAUCCCAUGUGCUAAGGACUCAAAGCCUACACAAACUCUUUUUCGUGUUGAAACUCUAGGACCUUAUUUUGUUUGUGGUGGAGUUGAUCAUCCGACGUAAGGGUGUUCUACCUUAGUAGAGAUAAGGGAGGUUUAUGAUGAACAUUGUAAUAUCAAAUGUAUGUACAUGAUGAACACUGUAAUAUCAAAUGUAUGUACAAGAAACCCUAUACUCCCUUCUUUGAACCUACAAUUGGGAUGGCAAAAUCUCCCCAAUCUCAGCCGAAAAUCUAAAAAUCAGCAAACUGCCCAGCAAAAUAAAGCUUACACUGCACUUUCAUAUCAGCCCACAACUUCUAGGAACUCUUUAGAUGACACUUUACACAUUUUUAUGGAGGCACAAAGUAAAAUCAAUCAAAAGUUUGAGACGAUGAAUACCAAAGUUGUUGAGGAAAGCAAAGAAAUGAAAAAUCAUAUGCCCAAAUUUGACCAAUGCCUUAGCUGUAGUAGAACGUGGAAAAUUUUCAGCACAAGCUCAACCAAUUUUCCUAAGGGACAACACAUGAUACAAACCUCAGGCUCAGAAGAAAACAACCUUAAGGAAGUAAAUGCCAAAACCACUCAAUCUGGGAAGGUUAUAGAAACAAUCCCCAUGCAUAGGGAAAAUGAAAAGGACCCUAGUAAUUUAGAAGAGAGUAACCCUAGUAAAGAGAUAGUGGAAAACCCAACUAGAGUGCAUUUUUUCCUCGCUCUCAAGCCUACCCUGAAAGCUGCUGGUCAACACAAUGAGAUUUUAGAACAUCUUAAAUAAGUAAAAAUCAAUCUAUCUCUCAUACAUGUGAUUUCCCAGGUUUCCACAUAUACUAAAGUCCUUAAAGACUUGUGCACUGUGAAGAGGAAACACCAUAUUAAGAAAAUCGAUUUCUUAAUGAAGCAAGUGAGUUCUGUGAUUGAGGAAAGGAUCCCACCAAAGUAUAAUGACCCUGUUUGUCCAAAUGUUUCUUGUAUCAUUGGGAACCAUGAGUUUGCACAAACCUUUCUUGAUUUGGGGGCUAGUGUUAACUUCAUGCCUUAUGCUGUUUACUUGUUAUUAGGCCUAGGUGAAAUAAAAUUGACAUCUGUGGUUUUACAAUUAGCUGAUCGGUCCACUAUAAGACCAAGAAGAGUAGUUGAUGAUGUCUUAGUACAAAUUGAUAAAUUAUACUACCUGGUCGAUUUCUUGGUUUUGGACUUAAUGGUUUAUGUAAAUGUUAACUCUAAAAUUUCUAUCAUUCUCGGUAGACCUUUUCUUGCCAUAGCUAAUGUUCUUAUAAAUUGUAGGAAUGGUCUAAUGAAGCUAUCUUUUGGAAACAUGACUUUAGAAGUCAACAUUUUUCACAUCACUAAACAGCCUAAGGAAGAUGAUGAGUGUCAUUAAACAUACAUGAUUAAUGCACUCGCUCAGGAGGAGGCAUCUGCAACUAUUGGCUUCAACCCAUUGAACUCUUUCUUUUAAAUUCUAAAAUUCCAGAAAGUUAUAAUGAUCAGAAAUAUGCUAACAUUUGUGCUAUUUUUACAAAAUUGCAGGAUUAUGGGACAUCACCAUGACAACCCAACUUUGAAGCAUUUCCAGAAAGGAAUGAAGGACAGUAACCUUCAAGCAUUGAGAGCCCUAAAUCAAAGUUGAAACCACUGUCCCCAGGACUGAAACAUCUGUUUCUUGGACCAGGUGACACCUUUACUGUAAUUAUAUCUUCGAAAUUGAAUGCAUCACAAAGUAAGCAGCUUUUAAACAUUCUGAAUGAGCAUAAAUCUGUAUUAGGCUAGACCAUAGCUGAAAUUAAGGGUAUUAUUCCUUUAAUUUACUCAUAUAGGAUUCACUUAGAGGAAGGAACCAACCCUAGAAGAGACACAUAACGUAGGUUAAACCCCAAAAUGAAAGAAGUGGUGAAAAAUGAAGUGCUAAAAUUGUUAGACGUGGGUAUCAUUUACCCAAUUGCAGAAAGUAAAUGGUUAGUUCUACUAAAAUAGUCCCUAAAAAGUCAGGUGUCACAGUAGUAAAAAAUGAAGUAAGUAAAAUGAUUCCCACAAAAACAAUGGCUGGAUAGCGUAUGUUCAUUGAUUUUAGGAAGUUGAAUGCUUCCACGCACACAAGGAUCAUUUUUCCCUUCCCCUCUUAGACCAAAUUCUAGAGCGUGUAACUAGCCAUCCCUUUUACUGUGUCUUGGAUGGCUACUCUAGUGUGUAUCAAAUCGAAAUAGCCUUAGAAGACUAGGAAAAUACCACAUUUACAUGUCCUUUGGUAUUUAUGCAUUUAGUAGGAUGCCAUUUGAACUCUGUAACUCCCCUACCACAUUUCAAAGAUGCAUGAUGAGCAUAUUUAGUGACAUGGUAAAUGAUUGCAUGGAAGUUCUUAUAGAUAACCUGAUUGUUCUUGGAACUUCGUUUGAUGCAUGCCUGUUGAAUUGGAAAAGAGUUUUCACCCGAUGUGAGGGAAAUUGUUUAGUUCUAAAUUUGGAAAAGUGUCAUUUCAUGGUACCAUCAGGUAUUGCCUUAGGACAUGUAACUUCUUCUAAAAGGAUAGAAGUUAAUAAAUCCAAGAUUGAAUUAAUCUCUAAAUUGCCUACACGUAAGACAGUAAAAUAUAUUAUAUCAUUUCUUUGCCAUACAAGUUUUUAUAAGAGGUUUAUACACAACUUUUCAUCUAUUUCUAGACCAUUAUGUAAUCUCCUAAGUAAAGAUAUGACUUUUGAAUGGACCCCAAAAUGCCAAGAGGCGUUUAAAACUGAUUGGAAAACUAAUCUCAACACCCAUAAUGCAACCACCUGAUUGGACAACGCCAUUUGAAAUUAUGUGUGAUGUGAGUGAUUAUAUAGUAGGUGCUAUCCUUGGGCAACGAAGGGAAGGUAAGCCUUUUUGUAAUUUACUACGCUAGAUAGUGCUUAAAUGAACUAUUUUUGAACUACUAAAAAAGAGUUACUAGCUGUGGUCUUUGCGUUUGAUAAGUUUCAUUCUUAUUUGAUUGGCUCUCUUAUCACGAUUUUCACAGAUCAUGCAGCUUUUAAGUAUCUUUUUAGAAGAAAGAUGUUAGGGCACGUUUAAUACGGUGGAUUUUAUCCUUACAGGAAUUUGAUAUCACCAUAAAAGACAAAAAUAAGUGGAGAAUGUGGUAACAGACCAUUUAUCAAGACUAAAUUUCGACGACAGCAUAUAUCCUUUGCUGAUUAGAGAUGACUCUCUAGAUGAGUAUUUAUUUUCUAUUUCUUCGUUACCAUGGUUUGCUCACAUUGUAAAUUACUUGGCUACAGGUGAAAUCUUGACAGAGUGGAGUGUACAAGACAAGAGAAAGUUCAUGGUGGAGGUAUAUAAUUUUUAUUGGGAUGACCCAUGCCUAUUUAAAUACUGCCUUGAUCAAAUUUUGAGACAUUGUGUCCCCGAUGAGGAGAUAACCAGCGUGCUCGAUUUCUGCCACGCCAAAUCAUAUGGAGACCAUUUUUCUAUGUAAAAGACUUGCAAAAAUUUUAGAGUGCGGUUUUUACUAGCUUACUUUGUUUAAAAACACUAAUGCAUAUUGUAGAUCUUGUGAGAGGUGCCAAAAGCUUGGUCUCUCGACGUAAUAUGAUGUCUUUGAACCCCAACCAUAAAAGUAUUUGAUUGUUGGGAAAUUGAUUUUAUGGGACCCUUUUCACAUUCUUUUGGCUAUUUGUAUAUCCUUGUGGCAGUAGACUAUGUGUCUAAAUGUGUAGAUGUUGCUUGUAGAGCUAAUGACAAUAAAACAAUAGUUAAAUUUCUUAUAUAAAAAUGUCUUGUCUAGGUUUGGCACACUACGUGUUAUUAUUAGUGACAGAGGCUCACACUUUUGCAACCAUUAGUUUGAAGCAUUACUGAAAGAGUAUGGAAUUGUUCAUAAAAUUUCUACUGCCUAUCACCCCCAGACUAGUAGACAAGUGGAAUUGGCUUAUAGGAAGAAAAAAAUAAAUUUUGGAAAAAACGAUGAACCCCAAUCAUAAAGAUUGGUCUUUAAGACUAAAUGAUGCACUUUGGACUUAUCACAAGGUUUUAAGACUUUCUUAGGCAUGUCACCUUAUAGAAUCAUUUUUGGAAAGCCUUCUCAUUUACCUAUAGAGCUUGAGCACUGAGCCUGUAGGCCAUCAAGUAUUUUAAUUUUGACCUAGAAAAAGGAGAUAAGCUUAGGAAAUUUCAAUUCACUAAGUUGGAAGAGUUGAGAAAUGAUGCUUAUGAGAGUUCUAGAAUCUACAAGGUAAAAAUGAAAGCAUUUCAUGAUAAAAAUAUUUUGAGAAGAAUUUUGAACCAAAUCAGAAAGUAUAUUUGUAUGAUUCUAGACUCCACAAGUACCCAGGAAAAAAUUGCUCUAGGUGGACCGGCCUCUUUGUAGUGAAACAAACUUUUGAAAAUGGGGUAGUUGAAAUUGAGGACCCUACUGAUGGUAGGAUAUUCAAGGUGAAUGGACUCCAUCUCAAGAUAGUCUAUAGGCAACAGGUGCCGGCAGUGGAAUAAAUUUCUCUUGCACCCGGUUUACCACCCUUGACAUCAACCAGGUAUGUCUUUCACUUUGAUUCUGUAUAUUAGUUUUGAGAAUUUUCUUUUAGGUAUGUUUUUCAUUGCAUCAUGAAUUGCAUAAUCAUUAUGAAAUUUUGUUGUGAUUGAUUUUUUAAAAAAAAAAUUGUUUAAGUUUCUGAUUUGCUGCAUAAUUAUGUUCUUGAACGACGAAAUAUGCCACUAAUUUUGUUUAUGAGAAUCUAGAUGUCAAGACGCUUGCGAAAUUCUUUUAGUGCACACAAGCCUUGUAAUAAAAUGGUAGUUUGACAUGUGUAGCUAGGAGCCUUUUGCUGAAAUUUUCAUUUGAGAGAAUUGAAAAGAAUUGAAUGCUACCACACACUAAAAAAGGUAAUAAGCGUUCAUUGAUUUCUUGAAUUGGAACCUUCUCUUGAGAAUAACAUUACACGAUCUGUGUUAAGAUGGUGGAUUAUACUCAGAAUAUGAAAGCAGUCAAUUUAAAAUUUCAUUUGAGCCUGUAAAGCCAUUUUUUUUAUUGAACCCUCUAGUAGCCACUUUGAACCAAAACAUUAAUAUAGUAAUUUCUUUUCAUGCACCUAUGAUAUCCAUACCUCAUCACAUUGGAAAAUAGCCCAUAAACAUCUUUUUCAACAUUUAUGCUUCCAAGUGUAUAGUAGGUAUCAACUGUUCAUUUAAGAACAGUAAUGAAGAAAGGGAUACGAUUUGAUAAGUGCACAAGUGAAGCGAUAAAACAUAAAAAAGAAAGAAAAGAAGAAGAGCGGGAAUUUUAAAAAAAAAUAUUGAUGAAAAAAAAAAAAAAAGAAAAGAAUGAAUAAAUGAACAACAAUGAAAAGAAAAAGAGAAAAAUGAAGAAAAGAAAAAGAGGAUUGAUGUUGGGAAUCGAACGGUUAAGGAAUGCAUUGAGUAAAAGAUGUGAUAUAUAGAAAUGCUUGAUGAGAUGUUGAGCUAGAUACUUGAAAGUCUUGAAUCCCCUAUUUUCACAUAGCCCAACUUAACCCUCACUACAACUUUUGCAUUGGCUGUGUUGAUCCUAAGUAGAGUUGUGGUAAGAAGUUGGUGAACUCUCAAUUGAUAGUGUGCCUAUCAUAAGAUCAAUGUCUACUUGUUACUUGUUCAUGAAUAUUUUACGCCUCUAUGUUUUGAGUGUACAUCUUUCUCAACUCCAUAGAAAGAAAACCCGCAUUACACACACUGAUACCCAUGAGUUAUUGGGCUGAACCUUUAGCUCAAGAUAUACUUGAUGUUGCAUAUCUUAGGGUUGGUGGUAAGAUGGUCAUGGCUUGACACACACUCACAUAUUUUGUAAGUGUUUUUGAUGUCCUGAUGAUCAUAACACUGUUAGAUUCCUUGUAGUACUGAGUUUGAAAAGAGCAUGAAGUGUGGUUGAAUUGGAACUUAACAAUUUAAAUUGUAACAUAAACCAAUCAAUGAGUGUCUUAUUUUGCAUUAAAUUGCUAGGGACUAGCAAUAAGCAAGUUAGGGUGUGAAAACGACGUAAAUUGUUAAGUUUUCCGUCAUUAAUAUCUGUAUUUGUAUGAUAAAUUGACACCUAAAUGUGCUAAGUGCCCCUAUAUUUUGAUUUAAGUUGCAAAUUGAUGAAUCCAGUGGAAAAUAGAGUAAACAAGCAAAAAAUGAGUGAAUUGGAAGAAAUUGAAAGUUUAGGGACAGAGUUGCAAAUAAUUCAAAGAUGAGACGGGGGAUGGAAUGAUAAUUUCAGAAUGUUAGGGGUCAACUAGGUGCAAUUAGAAGUCAAAAGAAGUGAAAUAUGAUCAUAACGUUUGCACAAAUCAAUUUCCAACCACAUAAGGAUGCUCUAGAUUUUCAUGUGGAGAUUGAGAUCCAUUUGCGACCUAGUAAAUCUUCAAAUUGUAAAGGAUCUAAUUCUAUUAAAAUUGUAGCUCUUUAUGUUAGCUUUCCAACGCACUUUGAAUUGUCUCAAUCGGACAUUAGGAGAGAGUUAUGAUGAAAAUAUUGAAAGUUAUUCGACGGAGAAAAACUUUGAACAAUGUGGUCUCAUAGUAUAAAAUCCAUGCGGUUGCAAGUCGCAAGUUACUUCCAGAGAUCUUCAAGCUUGAAAAUUAUUGUUCUAUGUGACCUCAAGCCUUUUAACCAUGCAGUAGCAUGGUUCAUUCUUUAGGCAAGAUUUUCAGUCUCCCUAUUUCUUUCAACCACUUUUGGAAACAAAUUUGGUACCCCAUAUAUAAGCCCUAAAUCUCGUCCAAGACCUAGAGAAUGCCCCCAUACACAUGAAGAACUAAACUCUUUGGUGAAGUCAUAAAGAAACUCAUUGGAAUUGGUGAUUUCAAGUCAUUAUUUCAUGUAAUUUGAUCUUUCUUUGCUUAAUUACUUCAAGAUUUGGAUUUUCUCUUUUUGAAUUGACAUUGAAAUUGGUUUAACUUUUACUAAAUUUUUCAUAGAUUUAGUCAUGCUUUUUCUAUCAAAUGAUCAAACUAUUUGUUGAAUUUCAAUUUCAUUGAUUUUAUUGGUAGAUUAUUUACUGCUUUAUGUUUGAUGUAUAUGGUCGCUUCUUAAUCUUAUUCCAAUAAAAAGUGUGUGAAUGUGUUAUAGAAAAUCUAGAUUCUAAAUAUACAUUUGGAAUUAAAUUGAUCUUCAUUGUUAAAUCUUCAGAUUAGAGAGUUGGGAUGAAAGCUUCUAAUUGAGUAAAAUGCAUAAAUUAUUGAUGUUGAUUGAUACAACCCAAUUAGGAGAAUUCCGGCGCUUCACUAUUCUAAAUAUUGACCUUAAUCUUAUUAUUUCAACCUUUGAUUUUAAUUGUUAUUCAAACGACAAAUCCUACUACACAUUUCGAGAGAACACUCACCUUUUGAACCUUUGAGCAAUUCAUCCAUCUUCCCGUGGAAUUGACACUCAAAAACUAUGCUACAAUUAUCGCGUUAUUCUUUGGGCGUAAUCAAGCACUAUGUUUGAGAGAAUGCUAACUUCUAGUAUACUAUCCGACUUAUCAAAAGUUAUACCAUACUUAGCCCCUAUUUGAUAACCAUUAUUUGUAAACUCUUUUUUUAUACACUCAUUUUUUACCACACAUUCACACAAUCAAACAUUCUGCAAGUAAAUCCAAAACUUUUCUCUACUUUUUAAUACACAUUCUCCUUAAAAAUUACUAUUCAAAACAUUGUUAUUCCUAAAUAAUGGCCAUUAAAUAGGGCAUUAACAAUGAAAGAUCGUAAAACAAAAGGGUGAAUAGAGCUAGAAUCAAAUUUAUCUUAAAGAGUGUACUAGAUAUUAGUAGAAUACCUACUACGACAUUUGAGUUCUACUUUGCCUCUUGUUUAGUCGGUGAAAAACUUGAGCUUUCCCUUUGUUGUCAUGAUCCUGGUUAUCAUACUUCUUCUGGGUACAUGCUAGGUUUUCUUAGCAAUAUAUAUGGGCUUGCCACAUCUAAAAUAAGAAUUCUUAUCAUUCACCAUGAUGUGAUUUGCUACACUUGGACAUGUAGCAAUUAUUGAUUCUAUUGUUUGGUACUAGCUCCGACAUUAGACCCCUUGCUCUACCAUUUGAUUUUUGCUUUAUCCAGAUCAUUCCACUUUAUUUUCUUAUGCUUCUUUACCAUGUUAAUCGUACUGUUCAACAUUGGUCAUUUGAUACAAGAUAACAAGAGCUCAUUAUGACAUCUCGUGAUACGAUGUGAAGCAAUAAGACAUAAAAAACAUGCUAAGAUCUAGAAGAACCCUUGGUCAAUCUCAUGGCAUUUUUUGCUUUAGAGUCGACCAAGUGUAGGAAAAACCUUGAGAUUUUUUCAAACUUUUGCUCAUAAUUUGUUAGGAUGUGCUUCCCUAUUUGAGUUGAAGGUAGGAGUAGACGCAAUCUAGUUCAAUCCACUGCAAAGGAAAUCAAACUGAACUGAGUACCAAUAAAAUAAAGUGAGAAACCAUUGGCUCCAUAUUCAACUGGUCAACCAAAUCAAAAUCGAACUAGCCAGUUUUGAUCCAUUUUGAUUCUUUUUGUUGAAAAUUUUUGAAAAUAAAGUAGAAUACUACUUGUCAGAUUGAAAUUAGAUAAAAAUAAAAUAUGGAAUUGCUUGUUAUUCUUGUAAUCUAACAAUAUAAAAAAUCAAUUAAAAAAGGUAAUAACAAGGCUCUAAGAUCAACUUAUAAAGAUGGAAAAAAGGGUAAACAACUAAACAUUAGCAUAAACUCUAAAAUUUGGAUCGAAAGUUAAUUUUAAAGAACAUUCAUACAAUCAUAUAUAUUAAAAAUUUAUAGUAUUUAUAAUCUAAUUGAAUCUUGAUUCUUGAUGACCGGUUACUUUGGAAACAACUUGAAAUUUUUGUUUUUACGAAUGAUUGAACUAAAAUAUAUUUUUUCUAUUGGAGUUGCUUUAAACCUUUUCUUCUAUAAAGUAUUUAUAAAAAUAUUUAGAUUUGAAUUUUGAUCCCGUUAGGUUUGUUUAUGGGAAGUGAAAUUUUGAAGUGAGAUAAUUUUGGGGUGUAGUAUUCAAAUAUCUUGUGCAUCUUAGUAAAAUGCACCAACAAAAAGUGAAAUUGGCAUAACCGAAUUCACUAUCGGCUCUCAAGAUAGCUGAUAAGUGUAUUUUAUACACUUAUGUAAACCUACUUUUAAUAGUUCUUAAAAGUAAUUAUAGCCUAAUUUAUUGUAUAUUUCAUUUAUUAGGUAAAACUCGAAAGUUGGAAGUUAAAUUGAAAGAAAGAAGCAAAAAAUGGCGAAGUACAAAGUUGAGGACCAAAUCACAAAUAUUCAAUGGCUGAAUUGGACCAUAAGGGAUAUUUUAAAGAUUGAUGGGAGUCAAUUGGAUGUAAUUAGAAGUAAAAAAAAAAAGGAAUGGAAUAUCAUCAGAAUAUUACCACAAAUCGAUUUCCAAUCACAUGAUAUAUCUUUCAGACUUUUAGUCAAGGGUUGCGAUCAAUUUUUGGUAUAGUAAACGUCCGAAUCGAAAAAUAUCUAUCUCUAUAAAAAUUUUAUCCCUUUUAGUUAGAUUUCCAAUGCAUUUUGGAUCAAGUCAAUCGGAUAACGAAAAAAAAAAGUUAUGAUCAAAAUACUGACUGCUUUGCAGAGACAAAAAAUCCGUGCGCGAGUGUAACUUUCCUUAUUCGAUUGGAACUCUUUUGGAAACCAAUUUGGGCGUGAUCUUUCACGAAUUUUCGAUCACUACAAAUAUCCAAUAGGAGAAUACAUGAAUGGGGCUAUCAUACAUAACUCUUAUACAUAAUAUACUCAAAUAUUCAUCAAUUAUCAUCAUCAAAAGAGGAGAAUUCGUUGUUUUGUGAGAGAAUUGAAAGGAUUUACAAGAAUUCAAUCAAGUGAAAAUUCAAACUUAGUUUUGAACAAAGAAGAGAGAGCGCAAGUGGAGAUUCAUUAAGAAACCAUUGAAGAGAUUCAAAAUUUAUCUUCAUCUUCACAAUUUAUCAAAAAUCCGGGUCAUGUCUUUCCACUUAUAUAUGAUUUCUUGUAAUUUCAAUAUGUUAGGCUAAUUUUUAUAUUUACUAGGAUGUGAUGAACUUGUUAUGAAUUUUUAAUUUGAAUAAUUUAAUUGACGUUAAUUUGUUUAAUUGUUUGGAUGUUUAUUAUCGUUUUCAUGCUUUUCAAUUAAUUGGCCACUAGUUGAAUUGUUUGUGGAUUUUAUUGUUAUUGAAAGAGAUAACAGGAUCAUACGCACAAAAUAAUAAAUAUUGUGAGGUUCGAUAGAGGAUAGAGAUAUACAUCUAUACUUUAUAUGAUUUUUAUAAGAUGUUCUAGCUCGUUUAAUGCAUUUAUCAUGUUCGCAUCUUAGGGAUAGAAAUGUCGCAUGAGGGGAAUAGAUUUGAUAACUAUCGAGAGAGAUUUUCAAUUAAAAUAGGAACAUUGACCAACAAGCAUGAUUUCAAAUUGUCAAUUUCAAUUGUUGAACUAAAAAUGGAUUAGGAAGGAAGAUUCCACAUCUUAGCAAUAUUUCUCACGAAUUUGAUAAAUUUUUGCUUUUGCUUUCUAUUUAGUUGCCAGAUUUAAUAUUGUUUAGUCACAACUUGAUUUUGCUAUUCGAUUAAAGGUAUUAUUAAUUUUAACUAGAUCAAACACAUAGUUCUCGUGGGUUAGAAACUCUCCUGUUCACUUGCGGGUAAUCAAAAGAUCAACAGCAUCGAGAAUCGAUUCCAAAUCGGUCAAUUCUUGAUGCAUGAUCCUGAAACUGACCUAUAUGGUGGAGGGACCAGAACCAAACCAUCAUGAUCUGUUCAUGAAAUCUCUUAGUGAAGGAAUUCAGUUUCCUUGAAAUCUCUCAGUGAUUGAGAAAAUUCUCCAUCAUUUCCACUUUCAACUGAUACUUUCGCUCGGGGCUUAGUUCGAGACAUUGAAUCCAACCAAUGGCUUGCAUCGCCGAUUAACAUGAAUGCUACACACUGGACCUUUGUUCCAUCUUUGAUUGCCCCUAUAUCCUCCUCCUCUUCACUUGCAUUUACCUCUAUUGAUUGCGUAACUUCAUCAUUUGAGGUUGUUAGACAUUAUGUUGUCAAACGACCCCCGGGCGAUGAUGAGAACCAAUUUUAUCAGUCGACAUAAAUGACUGAACGAUAAUUCAACAUCGAAUAAUGGAUGAACAGACCAAACGUUGCCUUACCUAUUGGACGGCUAAUAUUCUUUGUGGCUUGUUGAUUUCUUCCAUUGGAAGUUAAUCCUAGUCGAGCCUACUUACCAUAUCCCGACUUACCUUAUGUUGGCCACUUGACUUACUAUAUAUAUUGGUGUUUUUGCCUUUGUUGGCCCCGUCCAAAAGUUGAACCCGUGAGUUGAAGAAACUGCCGUGUCCAAGCCGUGUCUUCUGUCUUCAUCUUCUUCGUGAUUUCUUCUCCACCCAAAUUGCUUGAGUCUUUGUGAACCUUACCUGAGUGGUAUCCAUCCUAAGUGUAUGGAUUGAAUCAACCAAGCAAGAGAAGAAAGCAACCAUAGGAAGAAGAGGCGCCGGCGGGUGGGUCAUUCCAGUUUUGAUGUUGAAUUCGGUUUUAAUGGUUAACUGAGCCCGGGAAUCAGCGUGAGCAGCAAGAGGAAGGUCCUAACAUCUGGUAUCAGAGCUUGGGUGGCAAAAAAGGCUCAAAAUCGGCUGAUUUUCACACUUUCAACUUAGAACUCGAAUCUGAAAAUUUGCAAUUACUCACAAACCAGAGCUCGGUUGGACAAACGGAGGCCAUACCCAUCAUCAGCAGGCCGAGGCACUCCGGGACAGGCGGCGCGUGGGCGGCGGCGGCGGCGCGUGGGCGGUUUUCCGACGACGCAGUCUUCAGGUAACUUGUUUGUUUCGAUCUCCUGAACGCGCUGAUAUACUUUGUUUUGUGUUUCAGGUUACACAGAAAAAGUUGGACGAUUUUGCCCUUUGGUACGACGCCGAUUGAAAUUCAACAGCAAGCUCGUUUUUCUCCACUUUACGGACUCAGAUAGGUCCGCUCUGGUAAAUUGGCUUAAUCCAUUUAAAUUCAGCAAUAGCAAGAUCAUCGUGUGGGAUGAUCGUUAGGUUUUGGGGUUACCGUGAAGGGGUAACCAUUGCNNNNNNNNNNNNNNNNNNNNNNNNNNNNNNNNNNNNNNNNNNNNNNNNNNNNNNNNNNNNNNNNNNNNNNNNNNNNNNNNNNNNNNNNNNNNNNNNNNNNNNNNNNNNNNNNNNNNNNNNNNNNNNNNNNNNNNNNNNNNNNNNNNNNNNNNNNNNNNNNNNNNNNNNNNNNNNNNNNNNNNNNNNNNNNNNNNNNNNNNNNNNNNNNNNNNNNNNNNNNNNNNNNNNNNNNNNNNNNNNNNNNNNNNNNNNNNNNNNNNNNNNNNNNNNNNNNNNNNNNNNNNNNNNNNNNNNNNNNNNNNNNNNNNNNNNNNNNNNNNNNNNNNNNNNNNNNNNNNNNNNNNNNNGAUAUUGUCAAUUGUGACGAAGCCGUGUCUGAAACCUAUAAGGCCAUUAUCUUGCUCAAUUCAAUCCCGGACUCUUAUAAAGAAGUUAAAAAUGCUAUUAAGUAUGGUAGGGACACGCUAACACCUGAAAUUGUCGUAGAUUCUCUUAGAAGUAAAGAGAUGGAAAUGAAGGCUGAAAAACAGGAUAGGAGGAGUGGAGAACUGCAUAUGAUGCGGGGUAGAACACAAUUUAGGCAAGCUAGUCAUGAUGGAUACCAAAGUAGUGGUGAAUCAAGUAGUAAUAAUUGGAAAAAGAAGGGGAAUGGUAGAACUAGAUCAAAGUCGAGAACUAAGGGUAGAAAAUGCUAUGGCUGUGGAGGCACAGGGCAUUUUAUAAAAGACUGUCAUAAAGAAAAAGGAAAACAGAAGAUUAAGGAAAGAGAUGAGGUAAAUGUGUUAUCCUCUACCUCCGAUACNNNNNNNNNNNNNNNNNNNNNNNNNNNNNNNNNNNNNNNNNNNNNNNNNNNNNNNNNNNNNNNNNNNNNNNNNNNNNNNNNNNNNNNNNNNNNNNNNNNNNNNNNNNNNNNNNNNNNNNNNNNNNNNNNNNNNNNNNNNNNNNNNNNNNNNNNNNNNNNNNNNNNNNNNNNNNNNNNNNNNNNNNNNNNNNNNNNNNNNNNNNNNNNNNNNNNNNNNNNNNNNNNNNNNNNNNNNNNNNNNNNNNNNNNNNNNNNNNNNNNNNNNNNNNNNNNNNNNNNNNNNNNNNNNNNNNNNNNNNNNNNNNNNNNNNNNNNNNNNNNNNNNNNNNNNNNNNNNNNNNNNNNNNNNNNNNNNNNNNNNNNNNNNNNNNNNNNNNNNNNNNNNNNNNNNNNNNNNNNNNNNNNNNNNNNNNNNNNNNNNNNNNNNNNNNNNNNNNNNNNNNNNNNNNNNNNNNNNNNNNNNNNNNNNNNNNNNNNNNNNNNNNNNNNNNNNNNNNNNNNNNNNNNNNNNNNNNNNNNNNNNNNNNNNNNNNNNNNNNNNNNNNNNNNNNNNNNNNNNNNNNNNNNNNNNNNNNNNNNNNNNNNNNNNNNNNNNNNNNNNNNNNNNNNNNNNNNNNNNNNNNNNNNNNNNNNNNNNNNNNNNNNNNNNNNNNNNNNNNNNNNNNNNNNNNNNNNNNNNNNNNNNNNNNNNNNNNNNNNNNNNNNNNNNNNNNNNNNNNNNNNNNNNNNNNNNNNNNNNNNNNNNNNNNNNNNNNNNNNNNNNNNNNNNNNNNNNNNNNNNNNNNNNNNNNNNNNNNNNNNNNNNNNNNNNNNNNNNNNNNNNNNNNNNNNNNNNNNNNNNNNNNNNNNNNNNNNNNNNNNNNNNNNNNNNNNNNNNNNNNNNNNNNNNNNNNNNNNNNNNNNNNNNNNNNNNNNNNNNNNNNNNNNNNNNNNNNNNNNNNNNNNNNNNNNNNNNNNNNNNNNNNNNNNNNNNNNNNNNNNNNNNNNNNNNNNNNNNNNNNNNNNNNNNNNNNNNNNNNNNNNNNNNNNNNNNNNNNNNNNNNNNNNNNNNNNNNNNNNNNNNNNNNNNNNNNNNNNNNNNNNNNNNNNNNNNNNNNNNNNNNNNNNNNNNNNNNNNNNNNNNNNNNNNNNNNNNNNNNNNNNNNNNNNNNNNNNNNNNNNNNNNNNNNNNNNNNNNNNNNNNNNNNNNNNNNNNNNNNNNNNNNNNNNNNNNNNNNNNNNNNNNNNNNNNNNNNNNNNNNNNNNNNNNNNNNNNNNNNNNNNNNNNNNNNNNNNNNNNNNNNNNNNNNNNNNNNNNNNNNNNNNNNNNNNNNNNNNNNNNNNNNNNNNNNNNNNNNNNNNNNNNNNNNNNNNNNNNNNNNNNNNNNNNNNNNNNNNNNNNNNNNNNNNNNNNNNNNNNNNNNNNNNNNNNNNNNNNNNNNNNNNNNNNNNNNNNNNNNNNNNNNNNNNNNNNNNNNNNNNNNNNNNNNNNNNNNNNNNNNNNNNNNNNNNNNNNNNNNNNNNNNNNNNNNNNNNNNNNNNNNNNNNNNNNNNNNNNNNNNNNNNNNNNNNNNNNNNNNNNNNNNNNNNNNNNNNNNNNNNNNNNNNNNNNNNNNNNNNNNNNNNNNNNNNNNNNNNNNNNNNNNNNNNNNNNNNNNNNNNNNNNNNNNNNNNNNNNNNNNNNNNNNNNNNNNNNNNNNNNNNNNNNNNNNNNNNNNNNNNNNNNNNNNNNNNNNNNNNNNNNNNNNNNNNNNNNNNNNNNNNNNNNNNNNNNNNNNNNNNNNNNNNNNNAGGCUAUGAAAGAAGAGAUGAGUUCUCUAGAAAAGAAUCAAACUUGGGAGUUAGUACCGAGAUCUAAGAAUAAAUCAAUCGUUGAUUACAAGUGGGUCUGUAAGGUUAAGGAAGGUACUAGGAGUACAGAACCCUUAAGAUUUAAGGCUAUGUUAGUAGCAAAGGGUUACACACAGAAAGAAGGUGUUGAUUAUAACGAGAUUUUCUCACCAGUUGUCAAGUACACUACUAUUAGGGUCAUGCUCACAUUGGUUGCGCUCUUUGACUGAGAACUUGAACAACUCGAUGUAAAAACCGCUUUUUUACAUGGAGAGCUUGAUGAACAAAUCUUUAUGAAUCAACCAAAAGGUUUUAAAAACAAGUUAAAACCUGAUUAUGUGUGUUUUCUGAAAAGAUCCCUAUACGGUCUGAAGCAAUCACCUAGACAGUGGUACAAGAGGUUUGAUUCCUUUGUACUCACUAUAGGAUUUCAAAGAAGUAAAUUCGAUCACUGCCUAUACUUUCAACACAACGAGACUGAUAACAAUUAUUUGUUUUUGUUGCUCUAUGUGGACGACAUGCUUUUAGUUGGAUCAUCUCCUAAGUGGAUAAACAAUAUAAAAGCAGAUCUUAGUGGAGAAUUUGACAUGAAAGACCUAGGAAAGGCUAAAAGGAUUCUAGGCAUGGAAAUAGAACGAAAUAGGUCAAAUUCCAUCGUAUUCUUACAUCAGUCCCCAUACAUAUCAAAAGUGUUGAAAAAGUUUAAUAUGAGUGACUGCAAACCUGUCACGUUGCCUCUUGCAAAUCAUUUUGUUCUAUCUAAGGAACAAGCUCCUUGCAAUGAACGUGAAUUGGAAUACAUGAGUAAAAUUCCAUACUCAAAUGUGAUUGGUUCCAUAAUGUAUUUGAUGGUUUGCACUAGACUGGACUUAGGAUUCGCUAUUAGUACUCUCAGUAGGUACAUGUCUAAUCCAGGUCCUGAACGUUGGGAAGCAUUAAAGUGGCUUUUAAGAUAUUUGAAGGGUACAAGUGACGUGGGUCUAAAAUUUAGUGCUAAUAAAGAAGGCGUGAAAUUAAAGGGUUUUGUAGAGCUAUUAGUACUCUCAGUAGGUACAUGUCUAAUCCAGGUCCUGAACGUUGGGAAGCAUUAAAGUGGCUUUUAAGAUAUUUGAAGGGUACAAGUGACGUGGGUCUAAAAUUUAGUGCUAAUAAAGAAGGCGUGAAAUUAAAGGAUUUUGUAGAUGCUCACUAUGCAGGAGAUAGGGUUGGUAGGAAAUCAACUUCCUCUUACGUAUUCAUCUUAUCAAAUUCGUGUGUUAGUUGGAAAUCACAGUUACAACACAUAGUUGCACUAUCCACUACAGAGUCAGAAUAUAUUGGCACCACUGAAGCAAUUAAAGAGGCUCUAUGGCUUAAAGGUCUACUUCAUGAACUGAGUGUCUUGAAUGAGUAUGUGGUUGUGUAUUCUGAUAGUCAAUCAUCCAUACAUUUGUGUAAGAAUCCUGUCUUUCACGAACGCACUAAACAUAUCGAUGUUAGGUUACACUUCAUUAGGGAUAUAAUAUCACAAGAAGUAGUAAGACUUGAAAAAAUUCACACACAGUACAAUCCUUCAGAUAUGGGCACGAAAGUGCUGCCACUGGUAAAGUUUAGAAGUUGCAAAGAGCUUCUAAACAUCGGUACAGGUAAAUGAUUUCAAUUUUAUCGAUUUUUCUGUUAGAGGUGUCACUAAUGGAAAAACGUUUUUUUCUUUGCAGGUCCUUUGAAACCAAGGUGGAGGUUGUUAGACAUUAUGUUGUCAAACAACCCCCGGGCGAUGAUGAGAACCAAUUUUAUCAGUCGACAUAAAUGACUGAACGAUAAUUCAACAUCGAAUAAUGGAUGAACCGACCAAACGUUGCCUUACCUAUUGGACGGCUAAUAUUCUUUGUGGCUUGUUGAUUUCUUCCAUUGGAAGUUAACCCUAGUCGAGCCUACUUACCAUAUCCCGACUUACCUUAUGUUAUCCACUUGACUUACUAUAUAUAUUGGUGUUUUUGCCUUUGUUGGCCCCGUCCAAAAGUUGAACCCGUGAGUUGAAGAAACUGCCGUGUCCAAGCCGUGUCUUCUGUCUUCAUCUUCUUCGUGAUUUCUUCUCCACCCAAAUUGCUUGAGUCUUUGUGAACCUUACCUGAGUGGUAUCCAUCCUAAGUGUGUGGAUUGAAUCAACCAAGCAAGAGAAGAAAGCAACCAUAGGAAGAAGAGGCGCCGACGGGUGGGUCAUUCCAGUUUUGAUGUUGAAUUCGGUUUUAAUGGUUAACUGAGCCCGGGAAUCAGCGUGAGCAGCAAGAGGAAGGUCCUAACAGAGGUCACCACAGAUCCCGAGUACGAGAAGAUAUCAGCAAAAUAUGUUUUCCAAUUUUUUAAGAAUAUUGCAGAAGUCCAUAAACAUGAUGUCCUUGAGUUCUCUAUCUGAAAUUUGGGUCAACAUUUCUUAUUGAAUGCUUUCCCCAAUGUUUACCACAUGGUGCUAAAGUCUCUAGUAUGUUUUCCUAUUGACUGAUGCUUGCUAAUCUUAUAGCAGCAUGCAUUCCUUGCUCUAGCCAAUGUUUAUGUGCACUUCAAAUGUGGUCGUCAAGGUUUAAGGAUUUGUCUAUUUUGAAGUCUAGAUAGGCUAAAAUAGCUACUUCCCUGUCACUAAUGGAAUCACUUCCAGUAUUUUGUCUUUCCAUUGUCAUCAGACAGCCAAAGUUUUAUAUUCUAGCCAAGAACAUGGAUUUAAGAAUGAUAUUUAGAACAUCUUCAUAUUUGCACAUAAAUUGUACAAAUACAAUGUAAAUACAAAAAUUUAUCCUAAAAUGAAAAUCAUAGCUGUAAAAAAAUAUGAUUUUUGCAUAAAAAAACUUUAAACUUUUGCAUAACUAAACAUACCUGGGUCGUAGGAUGGAGUCUAUUGUUGAAUGUGACUUGCUGGGAAGAGCUAGGACCAUUUUGUUCCUUUUUUAAUUCAUAUUUUUCUUAAAGAUAAUUGUGUCCUACAACCGUGAUUGGUGUACAAGUAGGGGUUACCGACACCUCACAUUUGGGGCGUGAGUGGGUAAUUUUUUGACAUUAUUUAUUCAUGCGGUACCCGUCUGUAUUUCAUCUGUAAAAAAUUUUUUCGUACACCAAGCAUUAAUCUUGUGUCCUGAACAUGCCACUAAAUUCUUAACUUAAAAUGAGAACAUAAGCGCAUAAACAUGGAAAUAAUACAAAGAGAAAGCAAAACUGACAUCUUCAAAUUUUAUUAAUUCAUAACAUUGACAAAUCUACAUAAUCCGUUGAACUUGUGGUCUGACACCACGCUUUAACACCCAACGCGUAGAGAUCAAAAUAUCCCUUGAACAUUCUUUACCGUAACCUGUCCUAGAAUAAUUUAGGAAAAAAAAAUUAUUUGUUGAUGUGACAUUUUCCACAACUAUAAACAAAGUUUCAAAUAGAGUUUUUCUUAAAAUUUUAAAUAUUUCUGGACCAAUUAACUUCACAAGCAUAAGAGAAGAAAAAAGCCUCGGUACGUGCUUUUUUCACAAACUUUUCACAGGGUGAUAUUGUAUCAGCACCUGCUGGCCUUUUUUUUUUUUUCCAUGGAAACCAACCAAGUGUUAUUUUUGUAAAAUUUUUGUACUUAUAACAUUGUUCAUAAGAGAAACCAGUUAACUCAUAUUAGAAAUUAGUUCCAAAGUAUAAACGAAACAGGUUUAGCUUAAAUGAAAACAUUACCUAUAACGUCGCAGGCUUGUUUUAUUGAAAUUAUCAUGUCUGUCUAUAUUAUAUAAUAAUGUUGUAUGUACUGCUUAUUUAAUAUAAUUAUUUAUCGUCAUCGUGACUAACCAGGUUUUGCAGUGAAAUGUACCUUGGAUGUCUAGAAUAAUUUAUUUAUUUUGCCAUGAUUUUUGUGAUUAACGUUAAAUUUAUGAUGUAAAUGGGCUCAUGGUUUUGUUUGAUAAUCGAUAUCAAUGCAUGUUCAUAAAUGAAUUUAAUCCUGUACGGGAAUUCUGAUUUCUGAUACAUGUUUGAAUUUCAUGUGUAAAUUAAGCUUAAGUUAUUGCUAUAUGGUAAUUUAUGCCAUCAAAGACAAAUGAAGGAUUAAGGAAAUAAAAGUAUCGUAUUAUUUAUUCAUUUAUGUUUUGAAAAUCACUGCACUUCUAUUUAAUCAUUGCAAAAUCUAUUUUAAUGUUCACGUACUCAUCACAUGUGAAUAUAUAUAUUAUACUACUUAUAAAUAAAAAUGGUACAUAAAGGAUGACAUAAAAUGAUAUGGAAUGAAAUAAUUGAAUAAAAAAGUUGAUUGUGUUUUAAACUAACAAAUGAUAAAGUAACAUAUAGCAUCAUGUAACCCAUUAUGUAAAAUUUAAUGUACGUGUAGCAAUGUCCUAUAUAUAUAUAUAUAUAUAUAUAUAUUUCAAUAAUAUCUUACUUUUCAUUUUUCAAUAUGUAUUAAUUUCCAAUUAAAAGUCCUCACACAUUCCUAAAUCAUUCGUAUACCCAAUAAUUAACAAUUAAUUUUCUAAUUAAAACAAUCACUACAACAAAAUUGUGAUUUCGCGACAAGUUUUUUUGCGACAUACGAAAAGCUGUUGCAAUAAGUGAUUUAGCGCGACACAAUCCGUGACUUGUAUAGUGCGACAAUGCCGGCAACAAACAUCUUGUGGUCGCUAAAUUAUUUUUGCAACAAAAGAUCAGUUUUUGCGACAACAAUUUUUUAUCGCAAAAUCAAUUAUUUUUUGUAGUGAAUCCACCAUAGCAUUUGCCUUGCACUAGCAAAUAUGUACGUAUGUAAUUGGUAGGUUUGGUGAAUAAGUUUCUCAAAAGAGAUUAAUUCUCCCAAGUUCAUGUACACUUUUAUAUAUUUUUGGGACUAUUCAAUGAAUCUAGGAGUAAAUAAAUUACUAAAGUUGAUGUACACUUAUUUAUUUUGAAAAUUAUUCGUUUAAUUUAUUAUACAGAUUAUUCUCCAAGUUUACGUACACUUUUGUCUAAAUUAAUUUUCAAGAUCACGAUUAUAUAAAUUAUUAUUUUUUGUUUAUUCAUUAGUUCAAAUUAAUUUAAAUUCAUAUUCAUGAAUAUAUUUGAAUGUUCUCAUUAGUAUUCGACGUAAAUAAACUAAUCUCUCAACUAUUUAAAUUUUCAAAAAUAAUUUAGACGUUUUUCUCAUCACAUUUUUUGGAAUUUAUUUGAUGGGCUUUUUCUUUUGAAGAUUUUUUUUUUAAUGGUUAUAAUUUUUUAUUUUUUAUUUUUUUUAAGUGGGCAAUAAUUUGAUUGUAUGAAUCAUAGAUAUUGCAGAUUUUGAAGGAGUUCAAGAACUUCAGAACAAUCCUUCUACUCACAGAAUACUAAAUAAGAAGCAAAAGAAGAUUAUUGGUGAUAUUUUGCUUGAUAUUCUAGACUUGUACGAUAGAGAUAUUAUACAACUAUUAUCAUCAUUUGUUGGAAGCUAUUAUUUUUUUAGUAUUGUGAAACUAAGUGCAAUAUAUGAUAUUCAAAAUUCCAUGCUAAUCGUGUGAUACGCCUGAAUUUUUUCACAUUAUGUUACUUGAUGAAUAAAAAGUUCAUUGCACAUAAACAAUUUGUAUUGAUUAUUUUUUAUAUUCAAACAUAUUCAAAUAUUACUUCUAUAACACUUAUAAAAUAUUUCAGAAUAACAUGCAAUGCACGCUCAACAUAAUUCAUUCAUGGAUUGUUCUUUGUCAAAUUAUUAAUAGUUGAAUAUUGUUCCAUUUUCUUGUUUUUGCGAUUUGGCCACUGUAGUAAUCUAUUUCAUCAAAUAGCUAAUGAUUGUGUAGUAACUUAACCACUAGAUAGAGAUAUAUUAAUGAAUUUGUGUCUUAAACUUGGUGAUAUGGAAAGGCGACAGAAAUUAAUUCUUGGAGUCUUUGAAAUCCUAACUUUUCCUUCACUGGUUCAAAAUUUAAAUGAAAUGUCUUGCCAGUAACUGUUGUUAUCUAUUAAUUGAUAAACUUUAUAAUGGUACUUAAGAUGAGUUAAUAUAUAUUUUGAUCUAAUAAGACCACAAUAAAUAAUAAAUAUGUAGAAGUCCUUUUAAUCAUGACAAUGAACUAGGAUUUCUGGCACGUUAAUUUCGUAGAUGGCUAAGGAUAUCUCCACUUGCCAUUCUAAAAAUAAAAUACUAAGGAUUUCAUUUAAGUAAACCUCCCCCCAUUUUUCAGGUGUAUGUCAUAUAGUUAAACAUAUAAAUGCAUUAUCAUAUUUGUCCUUAUGUUAACAUGAUAUUAUUUGAUUAUUAUGCUUUGUGUCAUUGAUGUUUUUCAUUUCAUAUUUAUACAUGUCAAUGCAUACAUGAUGUUUCAAGAAACAAAAUUUUUCAAAUGUCAAUGAGUCAAGAAAUGUUUUUAAAGAUAUGUAUCCUCUAAUGUUUUUAUUAUAAGGUGUAUGUCUAUGCCAUGAAAAGUGUGAGUGGAAAAUGAGGGGUAGAGGAUCAGUGCACCCGACCAAUGUUCGAUGAAAAUGUUAAUCUUAAUUGCUUUGCAGUACUACUGUUAGGACUCGGCUGAGUUCCAAAUACUAAUUGUCCACUGUACUCUAAUUGGUUAGAUGAUAUACCAAGUGAGCUAACGACAUCAAUGUUAAGUUUUUAAAGAAAUGAAAGAAAUGGAAUAUAUAUUGAAAAAUACUUUUAUUUUAAAGUAAUUCACAUGCAUAUCAUGAGCAUAUGCAUCAUAUACAUAAGGUUUGCUUAUUGAGGUUAACUCAUUUCACGUUAUCCCUUCCCAUUUUCAAAUGAUGAAAGCAAGAUGAUUCGAGAUGAUUACUUGUGGUGACAUAAACUCAGUACUCAUGAUAUUGGAUUAGUUUUGUAAAUAAGUUUUACAUACAAAUUAACUGUCUUAAGUUUUUAUUAAGUACAAAUUAUUUUAAAAUAAUAAGUCAUUGAUGUUUAUUAUAUUAAAGAAAAAUUGAAUCGUCUUUUCCACAUUUAUGAUUUCAAGAAAAUGAAAUGGUAAUACGUCUAAAUCUGGGGUAUCUAAAUUUGGAGGUGUUAUAUUACCACAUUUCUUGAACUAGGGUUAAGGGUUCGAUACACCACUCAUCACCCCCCAAAUAUCCUCUCUUUUUCUCUUUUUAGCAUAAGGCAAACACUACGGUUUUUAACCAUCUGGCAACCUGAAGCAGUUCUAUUUUUCGGUUCGGGAACAAAAUUUUUCAAAUUCUUUUUACAUAAUAAACGAUCUCCAAAAUACAUGAAAUUUAAAGAGAAGGUACAUGACUUGUGUGACAUAUCCACAAAUCAGUUCCUGCCAACGGCCAGGGGCGGAUGUAGCUUAUGGCCAGCUAGGGCAGCUGCCCUAGCUGGCUUCAUCGGAACCGCCACGCCGACUGCCGAAAAGUCAGUUUUUUUUUCCUUCAGAAUUGGGCUUCAUCGGAACCGCCACGCCGACUGCCGAAAAGUCAGUUUUUUUUUCCUUCAGAAUUCAGACGUUCAGUGGCUUGGGUGUUGGGCUGUUGGCUAUUGGGCUUCAAUUUUUUUUUUUUUUAAAUUCGGCCCAAUUAAAGAAGCCCAAAUGACCUGCAGCCUGCUCCACUCCAAUAUACCCAAAUUUUUACAAUUACAACCCGAAGCAGAGCCAAAGGCACAGACACAGUGACCAGAUUGAAGAUUCCCAGAUUUUUCCCCAAAUUGCCACCACCCACCAUUACCAUUUACCAAUCUAGGGCUCUCCCCAUCUUAGCCGUCAACCACCGGUCCACCAGUCCACCACUACCACAUGCCACAGCAGCCAGCAGACACUACAGCGCCACUCGCCAGGUCCGCCAGAUCGCCACCGAGUCCAGUGAAGCAGGCAGCCCACACAGGUCGCACUCUUCUUCAAAAAAUGCAAGAUUCUUUUAGACUUUUAGUUAUUUGAUGUUCGGUGAUUCAUGCAUGUGAUAUUGAUCUAAUUUUCCAAAAAUCUUGGAUUUCAUUUUGGCUACAAGUCUGCAACUCCAGGCUCCAACUCUAAAAUUUUUCUAAUAUUUUUCACAUUUUUAUAUAUUUUGCAAUACUUGUGGGAAUUUAUUAAAGUGAUUACUGAUUAUGUGAACUUCGAAGUAAAUCUAUGAAUGAGUUGAAAAUGUUAUUGUACUGCACUCUGCACUAUUGCAUCGGCAUCCAUUGGACAAUUUGGACCAGAUUUUAAUUUAUUUUCCUCUUUAAUGCUAUUGUAUUGGAUAAGAUUGGUCAAUAGAAUAGACAAGAAAAUAAUUUUUUAACUUAUUUUUGUGUUUACUAUUGUCUAAAUAUUGUGUAGUCCACCUAACCAAACACACAAUUGGUGUUUAGGAGUUGGGUCUUAACAAAAUAUCGAAUGAAAAAUGGGAAUAAAUUGUUGCAAUGUUAAAUUGGAGGUACAUAGGUUUGCUGUCAAUUCAGUCCGGAUGUUACUUUCUCUUUUGGGGUUCUCAUUUGAUUAGAUAUUUUAUUGUUUGUUUACUUGAUGGCUGCCUUCAUUUUGAAUGGCUAUUGAAGGAUUAGUGGUUUACACUUUUUUGUAUUUUCAAAAUUUAUCUCAUAAGUCAUAAGUCAUCAGUGGAGGAGAUCCUAUUGUAUUGUCUAUUGAGCAAAUGAAAAUGAAAAUUGUUGAAUUGUUGAUCAUCAGUGGAGGGGAUUUUUUUGUUGAAUUGUUGAUUUUUUAAUCAAUUGUAAUUGAAAAUUAAAUUGGGGCAUUUUGCAGAUUAUGGAACGAUUUUUUCAACUGAAACGAAAAUCUAUACCUAGUUCUCCUAGUUCUAGUUGUGCUUCUAGUCCUGCCACUGCUUCUAGCCGAGCACUCGAGUUGUUAAAUAGCACAAAGAAGUCUCGGGCUCAAUUCAAUGUAGAUGAUCUUAUAUCUGAUCCAGGAAAACGCCCCCCUAUCGAGUCAUAUGAUCUUAAUAUCAGAGAUGAUGUUAUGAUGGCAUAUUUGCAAAAAGGUCCUUGUCAACCACAUGGACAUGACUUGCCAAGAAGAUGGAUAGGAAAUGAUAAUAGGUGUUUUCGAAGAGAAUGGUUUUCUGAAUUUUAUUGGUUGGAGUACAGUAUAGAAAAUGAUACGGCUUAUUGUUUGCAUUGCUACUUAUUCAAACCAGAUAGAGGGGGUCAAGGGGGUGGACAUAUAUUCACUAAGACUGGCUUUAGGGAUUGGAAGCACAAAGGUACAUUGAAAGAUCAUGUCGAGCUCAUUGAUAGUGCUCAUAAUCAAGCUUUUGCAAAGUGUACCAAUUUGAUGAAUCAAAAGUAAAGUAUCUCCCAUGUUAUUUCUAGCCAAAGUAGUAGUCAACAAAAAAAUUAUAGGACAAGGUUGACUGUGGUGCUAGAUUGUACUAGAUUUCUCUUGAUGCAAGGAUUGUCAUCUCGUGGUUAUGAUGAAUCGAAAGAGUCUCUUAAUAAAGGAAAUCUGAUUGAGCUACUAAAUUGGUAUGCAACUUGUCGUAAGAAAAUUAAUGAAGUACUAUUUAGUAAUGCUCCUGGAAAUGACCAAAUGACUUCACCAAGCAUCCAUAAGGAUUUGGUUAAUUGUUGUGCUGUAGAGACGACAAGGUCUAUGAUCAAUGAGAUGGGUGGUUCCUUGUUUUCAAUUUUGGUUGAUGAGUCUCGUGAUAAUUCUAUAAAAGAAUAAAUGGCAGUUGUUUUGAGGUUUGUUAACAAAAGUGGACAAGUGAAGGAGUGUUUGUUGGGCAUUUACCACAUUGCUGAUACUUGUGCCCAAUCACUCAAUGAUGACAUUGAUGCAAUGUUUUCUACACAUAGGUUGAGCAUAUCUAGUCUGAGAGGUCAAUGUUAUGAUGGAGCAAGUAAUAUGUCAGGUGAGUUCAAUGGCUUAAAAACUUUAAUUUUAAGAGAGAACCCAUGUGCUAUGUAUAUUCAUUGCUUUGCUCACCAGCUUCAGUUGGCAGUUGUUUCUGUGGCACAUAGGAAUGUUAUGCUUAGUGAUUUAUUUAACCUGCUUGCUAUUAUUGUUAAUUUGGUUGGUGCAUCAUGUAAACGUGUAGAUGCUCUUCGAACAAGCUAUCAUGUUGAAAUUCUGGAGAAGCUUAAUAUUGAGGAACUUUCUGGUGGAACUGGUCAGUUUCAAGAAAUGAGUUUGGCACGCCCAGGUGAUACUAGAUGGGGCUCACAUCUAGAGACAGUUACUCGCUUUAUUAGUAUGUUUAAUGCAAUCAUAGAUGUUUUUGAGAAUAUAUCAAAAGACAGCAUAAGUUUACAGCAAAAAUCAAUGGCCAUAAGACAGAUGGACACUAUGCAAAAUUUUCAAUUUGUGUUCAGUCUCCAUUUUAUGUUUGAAAUUCUUGCAAUUACAAACGACUUUUCACAAGCCUUAUAGAAAAAGGAUCAGGAUAUUUAAAAUGCUAUGAGAUUAUUGAAGUUGUGUAAGUACGCAUUGCAGAACAUGAGAGACAAUGGUUGGGAUACUUUGUUGAGUAAGGUAAUUCAGUUUUGUGUUGAUAGACAUAUUUCAGUGCCCUAUAUGGAUGAUAUUGUAGUAUUGAAAGGUCGACCUAGGCGUGCAAGUCAGCAAAUGACUUAUUAUCAUUGCUUUUAUGUUGAUUUAUUUUGUUAUGUGAUAGAUUCAAUCUUGCAAGAGUUGAAUGAUCGUUUUCCAGAAACAACUACUGAGCUUUUUACUUGCAUUUCGUGUUUAAAUCCAAGAGAUUCAUUUGCAGCUUUUAAUGUAUGUAAAUUGGUACGACUUGCUCAGUUAUAUCCUAUGGAUUUCAAUAGUGAAGAGCUUUUAUUACUUAGACCUCAACUUGACAAAUUUUUUAUACUCAUGAGAAUGGAUGAAGCUUUCUUCAACCUCAAAAGCAUAUCUUGGGUAGCUCAAAAGUUGGUUGAAACUGGAAGUUCUUGAUAUUUUCCAAUGGUUUAUAGGCUGAUCAUAUUGGUUUUGAUAUUACCUGUGUCAAUUGCAAGUGUUGAAAGGGUAUUUUCUGCUAUGAAUCUAAUCAAGAAUGAUCUGCGUAACAAAAUGGGAGAUAAAUUGUUGAAUGACAAUUUGGUAGUUUACAUGGAGAGAGAUCUUUUGUGAAACUUGAGAAUGAGACAAUAUUGCAACGUUUUCAAAAUAUGCGACCUCGUAGAAUUCAGUUGUCUAAGCUUGCAAUUUCAGAGUAAGGUUGUAUUGUAUAUUUUUUUAACAUUUUGGGUUAUAUUAAACUAUAUUUUCAUAUAUAUAUAUUUUCUAGAUUUUAGUGCAUUUACAUAUAUAUUGAAUAAUUUUUAAUAUUAUUUAAUCUAAUUUUAAUAAACGAUCGGCCGCCGACCGGACUAGGCUUUUAUGAUCGUCGAUGGUCAAUGGUCAAAAUCAACCUCCGCCCUAGCUGAAUGUUGGUGCUGAAUUCGUCACUGUCAACGGCAUUUGAGGCACUAAAAUAUAUAUUUUUAAAACUCGUAUAGUCUCCAUUUCCCUGUAUAGCCUGACAAAGCUUACAAAAAAUGCUAUAACUAAUUUUGGAAGCAUCAAAAUGACCUGAUUCCAAGUUCGGCAAGUAGAUAACUCGUGAGGUUGUCUAAAGACUAAAGUCCAUUGAUUUCACUCAUAAAUUCCAAGUACCCAGUGUGCCACACAUUUUUCAAUGAGGGGCAGAAAGCAUGAAACAUAUUAUAAUGGAAAUACAUAUUAUAAUGGAAAUUAAUAUUUCAUUCCAUCAACUGAAGCAUAAAAAUUUCCAUUCUUUAAGUUUAUAAUAGAGGGCUAAACCCCGUGAGUUUAAAACAUGAAAGAAAUCAUAGUAGCAUCCCCGAUGUUAAAUGCAGAAAAUUCUAUGUAUAGCUUUUAUAUUGUCACAGGUAGUUGGAUUUUCAAAAAAGGUCCAGGUUUUGUCGAACUUUCAAAACACGUAGAGCCGAAAAGUGAUCAUUCACAAAAUGUCGUACCCAUACUAUUUCGUACAUGAAUUUCGAAAAUUAAAAAUUCAGCUACUAUGUAUACACGUGUACCUCAACCUACCCUAAUUAGCUGCUUUUGGAAAUGUUAAGGUAUAUACACGUGUACCUCAACCUACCCUAAUUAGCUGCUUUUGGAAAUGUUAAGUUGGAUGGUGAAAAUCGUGUAUGUCAUGUUGUGAUAAAAUAACAUUUUUUAAUAAAUAGAUUGUAAUUUUAUUUAUAAUAUUUAUUUAUUAACUAGCAUGUGAAUUAAAAUGACCAUGAUACUCACAAUAAUAUAAGUCGAGUGCUUGCAUCGAGAAGCACAAUGUGAUACAACUUAUAUUUUGAACAUAAAUAUUUAAUUCAUAAUCAAUAUACAAGGGUUGACAAUUUGUGCUAAAAUGUUGUAGUGUUAACUAAUUCACUAUUUUAAUAUGUGAUUUGUUCUAAUCGUGAAAAUAGUUAGAAAUGACACUAUUACACUUAAGAUAUAUUGAACAUAUAUGUCAAGUUUAUUUCUAUAUCAUGAUUUUGAUUCAUUUUGACUAUAUUAUUAUUUGUUGAUUUUUUGAUUUACUAAUGUGUGAGACAAUUUGAUUGAUUAAAUAAUUCAAUAAGUUAGGAAUUUGAGAAUGAACGAAGUAAAGAACUUGAAUUCAUGUUCAAAAUUACCGCCUUGAAUAUUAACUUAUUUAAUUUUAUAUAUUUCAAGAUUGCAGUUUUUGGUCUUUGGAGUAUAAAGCAAGACUAAUAAAUAGAUUGAGUGGUCUAGGAUCGACUAGACAUGUAUAAUUAUUGGAGCUUCCAUAAUACAUGUCCGAUUAGGUUUGUAUGGUAGCUCCAUAAAGUAUUUGAGAGCUUAAUUGCAAUUACUAUAAAGUUUUGAGCUUGCUUUAAAAGUUUUGGACUCAAUUAUAAUUGCUAGAAAUGUUGUAAACUUAAUUAUGUUUGUAGUUGAAAUUCGAGGACUACGCUUAUAAUUAAAGUUAUUGACUAAAAUUUUGACUUUCUUUGGAACUCCAAUUCAGAGAUUAUGCGAAAUUCUUAUUGCGCAUGGAUUAGAGCUCUUUCUGUAAUGACCUAAAUUUUGAAAUUUGAAAUUAGUACAAAAACAACAAUGUUUCUUUAAAAAAUUUGGGUUAAAUUAAAAUUUUCUUAAUUUUCUUUUAACUUUUAGUUACCUAUGCAUUCUAUUAUAUGUUCUAAAAUUUAUUGAUAACAAAUUAUUUAGGAUAUAUAACUUUGAUUUGUUAAAUAGCAAAACUAAAAUAGAAGGUUCUAAUGAAUGUUAGCAAGGAAUUAAAUUCAGGAAUGCACUAUCGAACGAUCAAGCUUAGUAGGACUAUUUAUUUGAUUUAUAAUUUUUAUGAAAUUUUUACAUUAGUUUCUUAUCUCGUUCACUCCAAUUGACUCUCAAAAAAAAAAAAAAAAAAAAUUCCUGUUCUCGGAUACACUGAACAUAGCACAUGAAAAAUGGCAUAACUUAUCCUACUGACCUUCAAUUGACUUCAUUCCAAAGCCAAUAGAUAGAGGACUCAUAGGACUUUCAAACUUUACUAGUUUUGUCAAAAAUUCAAAAAAUUCAGUCCGAAAUGACGUGACAAAAUUCAGAUAGGAAGUUGAAAAUUUUUGUUUACAAGUCUAACGUUUAACCUUAACUUCUUUAACAAAUUUAAUUAUAUGCGUACUUGAAUCAAGUAACAAUAUAAAUGUUCACAACAGGGAAAAGAACUAACAUCUUGUAAAAUUUAAACGUAAGUUGCGUAACUAGUAAGAACUAGAAACUUUUCAAAUGUGACAAACUAAACAAAUGAAGCGCCUUUUUCCCUUCGGAUCCUCCGCAAUCCACGUAAAUCUCACUUCCUCAACCAUUCUAUAAUUUGAAAAUUUUGUCAACAUAGGAGAUGUGAACUUUAAACUCGGUAAGACUAAUAUCACAUGGUGGUGCACCCUUCCAGUCUUAAAUAUAUAUACAUAUAUACAAAGUGAUAGGAAAAAAAUUUAUCAUUUCACGUAGAUGAAUACUAACAAAUUCAUGAUUCCAAAGAAUCCCUUGAGAUCAUAAAAACCAAUUAUGGCCGUACGUGAACUUCUUUGUUCAUAAGUUCAAAAAUUCUAACACAUAUCAAAAGUGUGUAUAUAUAUAUAUAUACAUAAUGAACAAAAAGGGUAAAUACUUAACACAACCUACCUUGAUUUUUUAGAAUAUAAAGGAACAAAAUGUGUAAAAGCUUUUUCUCUUUCACACACUCACUAUUCCUUUAAACUUAACUUAACAUAAAAGAUAUAUUUUAGAGAAAAUAAGAGUAAAUUCGGAUUUGAGGAGAGGUGUAGCGAAAAAGAGAUUUUCCUCUUCUUGUAACCUCAUUUUUUAGUGAAAAACUAAAUGGGAGAAUUAUAUUAUCAUUAUCCUUGCUAAAUUAAAUCUUUUGCUAAGAAUUUGAAGAGUUUUAAACCCAUAAAAAAUAAUUCUUAUAAAAAGUUUUACAAAAUAUUUAUAUAAUGAAAAAUAGAGGAAAAUGAACUAUUCAUAUGAUUUGUAACUUAUCUCUACGAAUGUCAACUAAUAAAAUAAUUAUUUCAUCCAAUUAACUUGAUAUAAUUAUUCUUAAUAUACAAAAUGAGGAGUUUUAAACUCAAAAAUCAUUUUAUAAGAAUAUUUUAUAAAAACAACUGCUUCGUGAUUCGAAUCUAGGUUGCCUAUGCAAAAUAACAUGCCAAUGAUCAUUGUGACAACCCAGCUAUUAGUUAAAUAUUUGUAAUCAAAUUUAUUUAAAUUUAAUGCCUUAAAUUGUUGGACUUUUAAAUAACUUAUGGCUUAGACUUUCAAAACCUUAAAUGGGCGGAACUUCCAUAGCUCGUUUCUUAAAUGAGCUACAUCAACCAACUUAAGAACAUAAAAUUCGGGACCUUACAGCUCUUUUAUGUUUAUAAAUAGAGAUUAUAGGGAACAAAAAUCGAUAACAUUAAUUCUUUCAUAGCAUUCAAAUUUAGAGAGAGCGAAAUGUUUUCUUCUUUUUUGAUAUGUUCAGUCUGAAAUUACUUUCUGAAUUUAAUUUAAAAAAGAUGUCCACAUGUUGGUGUAGUUUUGACUUUUAAAAAUAUCAUAAAAGAUUUGAAGUUUUGAAGAAUCAUGUUCUUGAAAUAAAAAAUUGGAGUUCGUGAUACAAAUCUUAUCAAAAUUUGAUUAGCGAAUUUAUGUAAAUUCUUAGUCUUUAAUUUGAUUACAACAUACAGAGGAAUGUCUCUAGUAACGAUUUUGAAUUCUUGAACAAAAGAAAGUCUUGUUGUUUAGGUAAUUUUUUUCCGCAUUUAAACAAUUUCUACGACACCUGUUCCUUUAGAAAUCUGACUUUUCUUUUUAUAAUUCAUGAAACAUAUCAUAAAUUUAUUCACUAAUUAAUCAGUAUUUCAUGUCACCAUGUGCUUAUGCUUAAGAGAUUUGUCUGUAUGUGUUUGUUUUGUUAAAAAAAAAUCAUAUUUUCAGUAAAUUUUCUAUUUUUUUACAAUUUAUUAAAUUUUAUUUUUUGAAUUUUGAAUUUUUGGAAUUUUUAUAUAAAUAAAAUUUUAUUUAAAUGCUUAUUUCCCAUAUUAUUGUGUUUCAACUUUUAUAUUAUAAGUUUAAAUGGUCUUCGAAAAUAUGCCCCUGUUUGGCCCCCAUUAUAAAUGGGUUUAUAAUGGAGAAAUAAUAUUUUUUUUUGAAAAAUAAAUGGUUGUAAAAGAAUGAAAAAUUUUCGAUUUGUAUGUAAUAUUAUUUUAUUGAAAGGUUGUGUAAUUGAAAAUAAGGGAGGGAGAAAUUUAAAUUAAACUGAAGAGUUUUAGAGGGGGCCAAACGGAUUUCAUAAAUACCAUAUCAAACAAGUUUAUAGCUAAAUUUAACAUUGACUAUAGGGAAAAAAAAAAAAUAUCCCAUUGUUUGUAGAUCAAAGUCUAAUUGGCGAUUGAUCUUGUAUUUAUACAACCCUAAUUAUUAUGACCGUUGUAUCUUUACUGCCAUAAUUAUUAUCUAUAAAUAUAUGAUUUUGAUUCUCAAUAAAAUACAAAAGUCUAUUAACUUCUCUACUUUCUUUAUAGUUUAUAACAAGCUAUCAGCACAACAUUCUAAUCAGCCGAAGUCGGAAAAGCAAUCUCUUCAAUCCAAAGAAAAAUACCAAAUUUUAUCCUAUUAAGUUCAUAAAGAAACUCUUCUUUCCUGUUAAAAAAAUGUGAUUUCUCCCUUCCAUUAUUGUCUCUUUAAGAAUGAUCUUAUUGCUCUGUUCCUAAAAAUGUUCUAGCGCGUUCAUUGCCUUCAAUAAUUACCUUCAUGCACAAUAAUCAUCAGUACAUCCAAUUGUGAUGUUCAAAGAAAUUCUCCUUUUUCCUUUUUUUUUUUUUUAAAUUGAUAUUAUCUUUAUUCUUGUGGAUAACCUCAAAUUACACAAAUAAAACAAUUUUAAUGCGGAAGCCAUGCCUCGUACCAUCCACCAAUUUGUAGCCAAUAUUUUAUAUGUGAAUUUAUAUUAUUAUUGUAAUUAUCGUGGUACACAAUUUAAUGUCUAUCUCAUUUUUUAUUAUGAGCAACAGAUUAUUGAUAUCGAAUUUGUUCUUAAUUAUAUCGCAGCCCUUAAAAAAGCAUGUCAUAUGUAUAAAUACUCCUGAAGAAUAUUUGUUAUCAUUCCCAAAUAAGUACAACUCUUCCAAUAUUAAUAUAAUAAGGAUAUUAAGCUAUAAUGCCCCAAAAUCUAUUUUUUUUUUUUAAAGAAAGACUUGAAAUGUUACCAAAAAUUCUCUUUUCCUAAUUUAAUCCAGUGGUGCAAAAGAUGGAAGUAAGAUAGUCUCGAUCUUGCUGGCAGACACAGUGUGAGGGUUCGAUUCCUGAAAUAUAAAAUUGGACUUUUUGUGGGCACCAGUGUACAGGCAAACUCUUAUUUUCUAACCUGUUGAGCCACAUCCCGCGAUUUACCUCUCUCACGAUACUUCAAGGAUGGGAUGAUGGGGGCCCUCAAUAUUAGGGUUCAACAAUUCAAGUGAAAAGUUUUUUUACAUCAAAUAAAAUUUUAAAGUACUACGAUUUCACACCGUCAAUUCAAAUCUAACAUAAAAUGUCAAAUGUUUGAAUAAAAAAAACUAUUAAAUACUGUGCACAAAAUUUAAUUUAAGGACUUUCUUCAACAAGAUAAAGGAAAUUUGCAAAUUUUCAUCUUUAAAAAUUUUACUUGACGAUCCAAUAAGCAUCAUUCAAUCAAUUUGCUAUAUGUCCACACGAUCCGUUCUAAUAUGAAAAGUUAUUGUAAGAGUGGAUAUUUUGAAAAAUACUGAGUAAGAAAUACAUGUAUAUUCAUGAUAUAAUAUAAAAUGACAUAGCAUACCGACAUUUAUUAGAUUUAGAGCAAACUGGUCGCAACAUUCAAUAACUCAAAAAUUUUUAUAAGAAUUCCUAUAUCUCAUAGGAUUUAACAUAUUUCAUCUAACGAUCCAUUCCGAAGAAUUUAACAUAAAAAUCGACCUAAAAACCUUAUAAUAUUUCAUUCCAAAUUUAUAUAAAUAUUAAGAAAUAAGAAUUUACCAUUUUGUACUUUGUACUCUUACCUUAACUUCUACUCAACGAAAUCUGAAGAUUCAACGAAAUCUGAAGAUGCAAAUGAUUAAGUUGCAUAUUUUUCUUAAUAGUUUACGUGUGAAAUGAAAUUGCACAGAAUGAAACGUCGUAAAAUUUUUGUUUUAAAUGGAAAUAACAUCCAAUUUAUAUAUACAUAAUGCAACAUCCAUCAACCCAAAAGCCAAAAACGUCUCCAAUCAAAACUGUAAGAAUUCAAAGAUUAAUUAAAUCAAUUUAUGGCCUCCAUCAAUCAAUCAAUCACACCUUCGUAACCAAAUAUGAAUUUAACAUUUUUUAUUAAUUAAUUUAAUAAUGAAAUUCAAUUUGAUAACGUGUAAACGUACCACAUUGUAUUAAAAUAUUAUUUUUAUUUAUAUUAUAUAUAUUAGUAAAAUAUUAAAAGAUAAUCGUUUUCUUUCUAUUAGAUUAACUCGGACAUAAUUAGUUCAAAAUUACUUUUUUUUGAACCCAAAUUAUAUUAUUUAACACGAGCUACAAAAUGAAUAGAAUAUUGAUACAUUUUUAUCAACUUCCGAAAUAAUUUAAUAUUCGAUCUAAAAAACUUACAAUAAAUUCUAAAAAGUAUACAUAAGUAAAUAAAUUAUUUGUACAAAUAAGUGAGCUGAGUUUAUUACUUCAACUUUUGAACUUUAAUGUGACAACAAGACUAGACAUGAACUAUUUCAUUUACUAAAUCACCAUUAUUAAAUUUAGCCCAUAUGAAAGUAUAAUUAAAAAAAAAAAAAAUCGAGGUGUUACAUAAUCUACAAUUUUUUAGUUAAUAAAACACAAGUUAUAUAUUACAGUAGUAUUUCAAUAGAAUAUACUUAUUCCUAUAUAGAAUAAUUUUAUAAGUCUUAUAUUUUAUAAAAUUUAUUAUGUUUUUACUCAUCACGAGUAAACCCUUACUUAAUUUAAUAUUUCUAAUGAAUAAUAUGUUGUUACUCCUAAAAUAACACUAUUAUAAAAAAGAUAUUAUUUUCUCUUGAUGAACAUGAAAUUACAAUGUCAAUAUUUCAAAAGAAUAUGGACUAUUGCUCCUAAAGAAGUGAUAGUCUAAGCAUAUUAUUAUUUAACAAAAAUUAAAAAAAAUAAUAAUACUUUAUUGUGCUCUAGAAGUAAUACAUGUCUAAAAAAAAUAUCAUAUCAUCAAAUAAAUAUAAAAUAAGUUAUCAUCUCUACAUGCGUAACUUUUGAACUAAUGCUUAUCCUUGAAGGAAAGAUUACAACUCUUGUUUUGUUGUCAUUGGUUAAUUUGGCUCUUUAAUUGGUUCUUAUAUGACUAUACAAUAUUUAAUUAUAUUUUUAAAAAUUAAUUGCAUUUUAUUUUGCUUCAUUAAAUAAUUGUUGAUGUUUUGUCUAGAAAUUAAAAUUUGUCAUGUAGCAAUUUUUUCCUUUCUAGGAACAUCUCGUCUACUGAUGUGAUUGUGUAAUGUAUAGAAAAGAAUUUGUUUUAUCAAACAAUUUUAAUUGCAUCCCAUAAAGAAAUAUUCUUAUGUCUUUUGUUUAAAGACACAUGUAACCGAUAUGUCUUGGAUCCUCAACUCAAAUAUGAUAACUAGAUAGUAUGUUCAAGCUGAAUAUUGUACAUUAUAUGCAUACAUAAACAUGAAUCAAAUAAUUUUGUGCAAAUAAUAUAUUGUCUUAUAACAUUAAUAAAAUAUUAUUAUUCAGUCAUAAAGCAGAUUGAAGAUGAACUGCCAAGAUAUUUCUUUAGUUGAUAGCAUAACUAUGCAUACAUAAACAUGAAUCAAAUAAUUUUUGUGCAAAUAAUAUAUUGGUUUUUAACAUUAAUAAAAUUUUAUUAUUCAGUCAUAAAGCAGAUUGAAAAUGAACUGCCAAGAUAUUUCUUUAGUUGAUAGCAUAACUAUGCAUACUAUUCUUCAAGACAAAAUUAUUUUUUCAUAGUUAUAUUAAUAGAAAAUAAUGUUAAUAUGAAUUAGAUGCAUUGAAUAUCAUUAUAGGCACCAAAAGAGCUAGUAUUAUUUUAUGACAUAAUACAAAACUAUAUGUUGACCAUGCACUUUUAGUCCAAAAAAAUCCAUAAAGAAUUUGCUUAGUUUUAUAUAUUUAUAUCAACUAUACUGGAUAUCAAAUUAAAAUGAUGCAAGAAAAUAAUACUAAAUAUCUUUGCAUAAUUUUUUAUUAUUUGACAAAAACCAUAUAAAAGAAAAACUGCUAUCACUCCUCUUUGGCAUGUACUAUACAUUUUCAAAAAUGAAUAAAUCGAACAUUAUCAUUAACUUAAAGUUCGUUGGCUCAAAAGUUCUAGACUUUAGCAUGAUUAAAUUGAACACUCAAAAGCAAUAAUGAUAUGUCAAAUAAUUAAAAACUCACAUGGACAUCCCUAAAAAUUAGAAGAUUCUUUUAACUAAUCCAUAUACUUCUUGUUCGCAAAAUAAGUUAGUCACCAGACCUUCCACUAUAAAUGUUAAUGUUGAAUCCCUAACUUUUUUUGAAAGAAUUCACGGAGGAAAGAAUUCAUAGAGAUAAAUUUAGGUCGAUACACCACUAUAUUGAUCAUUUUGUUAUUUUAUGAUUUUAAUUGAUUAUUCUAUUAAAUGGCAACAUAUCUGCUUACUUUUCAUUAGAAUAUUGUCCUAUGAGAAUAUCAAAUGUAUGAGAAUAUAAAUGAAUCUCAAAUACGUUGAAGCGUAGUGGACUAGUUGGUGCCAAAGACUGUGUACAUGAAAAAAAUAUAAAAUAAAAAUCAAUCAAAAACGUUAGAAGAAACAAUGAUAGGAUGAUUGAUUAAUCAAAAACUAAUUAUAUGAUUCCAGCGGAAUCACAAAUGUCCAUCAAUCAUAAGAUCAAUAAAUUACUUAUGAUCUCAAAAUAUGAGAAUGGAAUAAUAUUGUAAUUAAAAAUAUUUUUGCUUUUCACUUGACUUUUGAAAUUAUGCAAAACGAAGAUUUUGAACCACGGUCUAUGAAAAACUAUUAAAUGAUUGACCAAAAUAAAAAUAAGUUACAUAAACGGAUUAAAAUUCCUUAAAGAAAUGAAAAUGUGUUUGGACUUACAGUUUGAAGCCCAAAAAAUAUAAUCCAUGUGGAUUAAAAGUUGACUUUUGUAAAGAAGAUAAAUGAAAAUAAUGAAAUUACAAGUACAAAACCCAACUUGUAGUCCAAGGUUUCUCACAGACUUGUGAUGAAUUAUGAGAAAAUAUAUUCUCCCGUAGAGGAUAUCAUCGCUCGAAAUUUUUAAAAAUUUGAUUGUAUCACAUAAGCUGGGCAUAUGCUUAUAGCAUCUAUUUAUCUAUAUGGUUCAUUUAAUAUUGACACAUACAUGUGAAUGACUUAAAGUGCCAUAAACAAAUGACACUUGCCCCAAAACUAUGUUUUCAAAUAAAUUGCAAAGAUAGAUCGUUAUAAGGUCUGAAAUAAUUUGGAUACAUGUGAUAUAAUUGCCUUAGCAAAUAUUUGCUGGAGGAUUAUAAAAACGAAGAUAUUUGUCCAUUUAUUUCUAUACAAAAAACAAAUAAUGAAUUUGUAAUUUCGAUGAUUUAUGUUGAUGAUUUAAAUUUUAUUGAAACUCCUGAAAAUUUUAGCAAGACUGUAGAUUAUUUGAAAAAUAAAUUUGAGAUAAAGAUUUAGAAAAAACCUAAAUUUAUGCAAAUUUUGCUAGAGGCCUAGAGGAUCGCCCUUAAAGACUAGUUGUUAUUACAUGCAUAUAUUGAAUUCUAUGUAUAUAACAUGUCAUCCUAAUACUUCUAAGAGGUGGAUCUUGCAACCUUCUUUCUAUCAUAGUGAAAAUCUGCAGAUAUGAACACAACAUUCGUAUUGACGGUGAACUUAUGCAUAUCUUCAUUAUUCUAUUCUUCUUCUUUUUCUCUUUUCCCUUUGUAAUUAUAUUGCUUGCGAUAUUCACCACUGGGAACUUAGUCCAUUCUAAAAUAAUUUGUACGUCAUAUAAUAACAUAAGUACAUCUGUCACCCCCAAAAAAUAUAAUUUUCCAAAUGUCACGGGUUGAGUGGCAAUAAUCGACACUUUUCACGAUUCACCCAUUCUAACACCUCAACUAAUUACGGUUAUAUUUCCUUUUUAUUGUUGACGUACAAGAGAUACAAUACACUAAUUUAUCGUUGUAAUACUUGUACCACGUAUCAAAUAUUUGUUACCAAAAAUAUGUAUGACAGGAGAAUGGUUGACAGAAAUAUGUCAGGUCGAGCAACACCACAUAUCUUAUAGAUAAUACUUUGGCAUUUAAUGGUGACAGAGUAUAAGUCAUUUAUUAUAGCCCAACAACAUUAAUACUAUAUUUGGCACCAACCAAGAAUUGGAAUCUUUUUAAUGCAAAAUUCAUUCACAUUACACACGUCUCAUUAAAUUUACACCUUUCACGUUGUGUGCCUGGGAAUGAAACUCAGAAAAAGCCAAAUUCCCAUGUGUUGUCCACACAUUUGUCGUUCAAAUCUUUCCUCUUUCAUCAGCCCCAUAUUUAGUUUUUGCAGUUCCAUCUUCUGUUACUCUUUUUCCAUCUUUUGGGUAUGGCAUAAUUGCAUUAACGUGGCUGCCACUCAUCAGGACAAACCACCUGAUAUUAUACAUUAUUUUUUGUCCCCUCUUUAUUCAUGGUGGUUGAGCCCACUCGUCUGUAUCCUUUACAUAGAUUUAAGUGGUCGGUCGAUACGUGUAAAAAGGGUAAAUUAGAUGAAUGGGAUUCCUAACUUUUUGGGUUAUCAAGAAAAUGAAAUGAAGAUUAUCUGAGGUCGAGCAUUGAAAUCUUUCCAGCUACGUUUCACACUUCAUCCAACCUCGACCUCUGGUGGCCAUUGGCCGUUCAUUAGGAUUCAACUAGAAUGAAGCUACAAGAAAUGAUGCUAAAGUCCCUUCGACUGAGUCAACUCUAGUCUACACUCAUCUAAGAAAAGAAAGAAUCUAUCAGUCCUUAUUGAUCGAAGGAGCUUUGAAUUCGAAACGCAUGGACUCUUAAGUCAAUGACAGGAAAGUUAUGAUUCUUCAUUCACAUCAGUUAUUCCACCACUAAAAGGACCUUUCUUGACUACAUAUUGUUACAGACAAUGGCUUCAAACAGACGUACUUCCAAGUUCCAUGAACUCUUGGAACAUAUAGAAUAUUAGAUUAGAGUUAAUAUAUUUCGGUUUGCAAAUCAAUUCAGUGUAGAACUCAAUAAGAGAUAAAAGAGUUCUGCAACAGUGUCAAUGCAUAUGAGGUAGGGGACACACGUGCACAUAUCUGAAACUGGAAACAGAACAAUGUAUUCGUGCAAUAUAACAUUGACUUUUAGAAUGACUUUGGAAUGAAAAAUACGGCAAAUUACACGAUCAGAAGAAUGUCAAGUAUAUAGGAUACAAUGAAGAUGUUAGCAGUAACACAGGAAAAAUUUGAAAUGGCUAAGCAAUGCAGAUCCAAUAAAAAUUCACUAGGAGAUUACUGAUUUACUCAAAUAUGCAUUUAAGCUAAAUUGGCAGGUUCUGUACCAAAUCCUCUACUCCCUAGCAAAUAGAGAAUAAAGCUGAGUUUGUUAUUCUACAGUGUUCAGGUAAAUCAGGCCUUCCCCCAAGAUAAAAGUCAUUAUGAGAUCAUUGUGGAGAAAAAGAAAAGAAAAGAAAAGCUAUAAACAAGAUUAGAUUUCAACCGGAGAAUAUAUUGUAUCCGCCUAAUGUUUACUAAUCUAAACAAGCAACUAGCUACCGUUAACUUUUAGAAAGCUAUCAGCUGCAACGAAUGAACAUCAAUUGCUUCAGCAAAAUAUAGGAUUGUAAGCACAUAAUUCCUUGUUUCCUCUUUUCACACAAUAAAUUAGGUAAUAUACCAAAUAUACAUAUAUAUCACCAAAAUAAUGGAAAGAUCCUUUAAACUAUGAUGAACACACCCUUGAAGAUAAACAAAAACAUUAGCUCAAUUCCUGACUUCGUAGGCAGUAGGCACAGUUCCACCUCCAGAUUUCAGAGCAUAAGCAAUUCUGUAAAAGUGACAUCUAACAUCUCUAUAAUUUAUACAGGAACUUGAAGGUAAAAUGAAAACAAUAAAAUGAUGAUCCAGGAGAACCUGUAUCUGGAGAAUGGGAUGAAGCUGUAGGCCUGGGAGAAGGAAGGAUGAGCAAACCAAAUGCACACCUUUUAGAAUUCUUGGAUAGUUACAGUGAAAGAAACCAAAUCAUCCACAAAAUCCAUCUUCUCCGCAAAGAUACCUCUUCAUUUUUCGUGCUUUUCGAAACUUGAAUAUGUAUUUCGAACCAAUCUACUGUCCCGAUCCCUGAGAAUCAUCCUUGGGAGAUGGUUGCUGCUGAAGCUGAUGCUGCUGCUGUUGAGGGUGCAUCCUAGACUCUCCCAUCUGCUGGUAAAGCUGGUUCAUUGCUUGAGGAUUCAAAACCCCAAUAUGAGAAUCUUGGGAUAGCCCAAGCUCCAAUCCUGGAAGCUGCUGGUUUGUAGCACCCAAAAUUGAGGUAAAACUCAUUGGCCCCAUAUUGCUUGAUGGCAAAUCAAACCCUGGGAACCCAAUCUUCUGCAAGUAAUUAGAACCCUCACUACCCAGAUUAACUGUUGAUGGACCAGAAGAUGAUGAUGAUGAUGACUGAAAUCCAAAACCACUGACAGCAGGGGGCCAUAUCCCUGCACUUGCCAUAUGGGGUCUCCCCAAAUUUACCAUAGGCCAACUGGACCUAUUCCCACCCCCUCCCCCACCUGACCCCCCCAUAUGCCCACCAAAUUCAUCCAUCUUUUGGUGAAUCCCUGCUGAUAUAGAGUUCCCCUGCUGGGAAAUAGAAACCCCGGCUGCUGCUAAAGCCGAUGCCGGUAUAGUCCCCGUCCCUGUAGCAGCUAUUAUCGAUGGCUCCGCUUGCUGUAACAGCCACUGUAUAGUUUCUCCAUCAGAUUUGUGUCCCAAUUCUCUGGUCAGCUGAAAAAUUCUUGCAGCACAAAGGGCUGGCAUCCUUAUCCUCCUCCCUCUACCUUCAACUUUCGUGUGCCUAUCUUUACUCGAGCUUCUCUUGGGUGCCAGUGCCUGUUUCUUCCCUUCUUCUUUCUCUGCAACCACAAUCUGAAAAUCCUUCAUCUCUGCUGACUUAUUCUCGCUCAUCCCUGUGCUGUUAUUCAAGAAACUUGAUACCUCCUGCGGCUGCUUUGAGCCCUUGGGAUCCAUGAUUUUUACACAAGAAAUUACAAUAAAAUAGCAAAAAAAUCAGUAGGAAGAAAAGGGGUUAUGCGUUCUUUGUGUGUAUUGAAAAAGGUGACCUCAAAGAAAAGGAACAAGAGGAAUUCUAGUGAUGCUUGAAUUCGCAAGUUUUUGUCACUGUUUAUGGGUAAAAAGAAGAAUGUGAAAGAAAGGUAACUUGUUGAAAUCCCAAGACAAUGAGUUAAGGAUCUUUGUCAAAAAUAUUAAUAAAAUCUGCCUCUUUUUCACUGUUCCAGAUUUUGACUUUUGACUAUUUUUUUUGAUUUGACAUGGUUUCCCAAGUUUUCACUGGUACACAAACACGCGGCUUGUUCAAACCCAGAAUAAAGAUAAUAGAAAAACACGACAGAAUAGAUAUUACACCAUUCGUCUGGAUUUCACUGCUAAACACGGAACUUGAAAACACGACAGAAGACAAUCCAGCAAGAAAUCGACCAGUAUAAAUGGAUUUUAUCUAUGAUUUCAAUUGAGAGACAGCAAAGAGUAUGAUGCGAGAUUGAACUCAAGUAUACAUAUGGAUGUAUAUUAUAGGACGACACUUGGCAAACAAUAAGUGGGAUUCCUUCAAGCUCACUCUAAGUGCAUCCUUAAAAAAAGGAAAAACAAAGAUAAAGAAGCUUCUAAUAAAUUUCAUGGAAUCAAGCAGAGAUGGCCCAGAUAGAUAUGUCCUUUGAGUUGCUAAAGAAAAUGAUUAGGGUUUCACGAUGCUAAUUAUGUGGGGCCCAGAGCUCCAUCAUCCUUGUAAGAUGGAACUUUGGAGCUUACUCAACAUAGAUUUUAUUCAGUGGAGAGAAUAGUUUAAAAGCUUCGAGGUUGUUAUCAGAAUGUUAGUCUAUGUCCAAUCGAACUACUUUUCAUGAAAACACAAAAACAUUAAGGAUAAGAGUUUAAUGUCAAACUUUACCAUAACUCUUCUAUACAAAGCUUAAUCGUAAACUUCUUAUUUAUAAUCGUGAAUUGCAGUUCACUAGAUUUAUUAAAUCUCUUAUUAAAUGACAAUGAUUAUUGUCAUUUAAUAAGAGAUUUAAUAAAUCUAGUGAACUGCAAUUCACGAUUAUAAAUAAGAAGUUCAAGAUUAUUCUUCCAUGCAUCAACCUCAAUGGAAACAAGAAGUUGACUUCAGUUGGGAAUCAUCGUGGAUGGGUCGGAGCUCUCACUGAUCACAAGCUAUAAAAUUGUUAAAGCGAAUUGUCACGCUCCAAAAAUAUUGAUGUUUGAUUAUCUUGUGUUACGGAUACUCUUAAAUUUUUAAUAUAUAGUAGUUUACUGGAGUCUUAAAUCCAUGAAUCAAAGGAAUCUCUUAAAUAAAAUUGUGGAGGAAUAUUAUUACCAAUAAUGAGAAGGAAAGAAAACAAACAUGUUUGAGAGGAAAUGUGGAAAGUGGGGAAGAAGGUGACAUGAAUUUCCUUGAAUCACUCCUAUCACAAAGAUGCUUAAUCAUUAUUAGUUUUAAAAUGUAGGAUUAGUGCAGUUUUUUUAUAGUGCCACGGACUUUACAUACCUAAUACAUGUGGAAGAAGAAUCAUUUUCCAGGCUGGUUAUGUUUAGUCACCACCCAAACUUGGUCCUAGGGAUAUUUUUAGCUAGUGUGUGAUUAAUAUAUGUCAUCUAUCUUCGCCUCAACCACUUUUCACUCUAAAGUGUUGAGUACGCAUUCCAACACCUUGUCAACAACAAUAUCCGAGGCAAAGUAACUCCAUGCAGACUUGUCACCUUUCGAGGCGAUAGGCCGGGACCCAACCCUUUGCGACAUUGGAGGAGAAUCUUGACGGUUAAGGUCUGAAGCCUGAUUUUUUAUGCUAGUUAUAUUCUAAUACUUUAAAUCACGUGUGAUGUCCCUUAUUUCUCGAUUUGGAUAGUGUUUGGAGGUCACGAUCUAUGAUACCUAAAAUGCAAGAUGGUGACAGAGAUGAGUUUAACCAAUGAGUCAUUGGAAUGAAACUACAUUUCAAACAAUCGGAGAACUUCAAUUCAUAUCAUUUGCCUAUAAAUACUCAUACUUGGUGAAAUUUGAAGGACACUCGAAAAUGAUAUUCUCACUCUUAGGAAUAUAAACCCUGACUCUAGUUUUUCUUCUCUGUUCAUGUCAUUCUCGCAUUCAAUACAUUUGAUAAUCUAUUUCAUUGACUUGAGUAUCAGAGUACAUACAACAUCUUUCCUGCCUUUGUUUAGAUAGGCUUCAAUUUUGUGCCUUUAACGUGUAUAUUCUAAGUGACAAGUAACUUAUACAUAGAGAAAAGUGGAGAAGGAAUCAACGGCGAGCUGGGUCCCAUCCAUUUUGGAGGUUAACGUAUGGAUGCGUUUGUGGAAAAUAUCACUUUAACCAAGAUACAUGUGAGUAAAAAGCUAAUCAAGAAGCCUACAUUUUACCCAAGUUGCCCUUUUUCCAAAAGACUAGCCGUAGGAGAAAGGAUGAAGGAAUUGAAGGAGAUGCCAACCUCAGAAGGACCGCAAUAAAGAUGCAAAAAUGACAAUGGGGAGUAGGCCCUCUGUCUUAGACGUGGCAAGGAAACCCAUAGGAGUUGCUAUUAAAAACAGGAUCCGAAAAAUAUUCAAGAUAACAUGAAACUGCAGAUUACAACAUAAAUCCUAAACCACAAAAUCAAGGUUUAGAUCUUUCAAUUGUAGGCACAGACCACGAUCCUUUUACCAUCACAGAGGCACCGAGACUCAAACACAAGCCCUCACAACCCAACACAUCAAAGUCGCUUCACUGAAAACCAAAACAAGGACUGCCUACCUUCAAUCGAUUACUCAUAUAAAGGAGAAUCACACAAGAAUACAAUUAUCACAAAGAUAAUCAACCAGAAAUCUCACAAAGAGAAGAAGGAAGAGUCACAAAGACGAAGAACACGAAGGUUCCAGAAGGCAGAGAGAGAAAAAAUGACAAUCUAAAUGCCAAAUAGGAGCUAAGGAUAUUAUUUAUAGAUAAUAUCAUCAACCGUUGAUCAGCGGGUCAAUCCAACGGUCCAAGAGCGACUAAGAUGNNNNNNNNNNNNNNNNNNNNNNNNNNNNNNNNNNNNNNNNNNNNNNNNNNNNNNNNNNNNNNNNNNNNNNNNNNNNNNNNNNNNNNNNNNNNNNNNNNNNNNNNNNNNNNNNNNNNNNNNNNNNNNNNNNNNNNNNNNNNNNNNNNNNNNNNNNNNNNNNNNNNNNNNNNNNNNNNNNNNNNNNNNNNNNNNNNNNNNNNNNNNNNNNNNNNNNNNNNNNNNNNNNNNNNNNNNNNNNNNNNNNNNNNNNNNNNNNNNNNNNNNNNNNNNNNNNNNNNNNNNNNNNNNNNNNNNNNNNNNNNNNNNNNNNNNNNNNNNNNNNNNNNNNNNNNNNNNNNNNNNNNNNNNNNNNNNNNNNNNNNNNNNNNNNNNNNNNNNNNNNNNNNNNNNNNNNNNNNNNNNNNNNNNNNNNNNNNNNNNNNNNNNNNNNNNNNNNNNNNNNNNNNNNNNNNNNNNNNNNNNNNNNNNNNNNNNNNNNNNNNNNNNNNNNNNNNNNNNNNNNNNNNNNNNNNNNNNNNNNNNNNNNNNNNNNNNNNNNNNNNNNNNNNNNNNNNNNNNNNNNNNNNNNNNNNNNNNNNNNNNNNNNNNNNNNNNNNNNNNNNNNNNNNNNNNNNNNNNNNNNNNNNNNNNNNNNNNNNNNNNNNNNNNNNNNNNNNNNNNNNNNNNNNNNNNNNNNNNNNNNNNNNNNNNNNNNNNNNNNNNNNNNNNNNNNNNNNNNNNNNNNNNNNNNNNNNNNNNNNNNNNNNNNNNNNNNNNNNNNNNNNNNNNNNNNNNNNNNNNNNNNNNNNNNNNNNNNNNNNNNNNNNNNNNNNNNNNNNNNNNNNNNNNNNNNNNNNNNNNNNNNNNNNNNNNNNNNNNNNNNNNNNNNNNNNNNNNNNNNNNNNNNNNNNNNNNNNNNNNNNNNNNNNNNNNNNNNNNNNNNNNNNNNNNNNNNNNNNNNNNNNNNNNNNNNNNNNNNNNNNNNNNNNNNNNNNNNNNNNNNNNNNNNNNNNNNNNNNNNNNNNNNNNNNNNNNNNNNNNNNNNNNNNNNNNNNNNNNNNNNNNNNNNNNNNNNNNNNNNNNNNNNNNNNNNNNNNNNNNNNNNNNNNNNNNNNNNNNNNNNNNNNNNNNNNNNNNNNNNNNNNNNNNNNNNNNNNNNNNNNNNNNNNNNNNNNNNNNNNNNNNNNNNNNNNNNNNNNNNNNNNNNNNNNNNNNNNNNNNNNNNNNNNNNNNNNNNNNNNNNNNNNNNNNNNNNNNNNNNNNNNNNNNNNNNNNNNNNNNNNNNNNNNNNNNNNNNNNNNNNNNNNNNNNNNNNNNNNNNNNNNNNNNNNNNNNNNNNNNNNNNNNNNNNNNNNNNNNNNNNNNNNNNNNNNNNNNNNNNNNNNNNNNNNNNNNNNNNNNNNNNNNNNNNNNNNNNNNNNNNNNNNNNNNNNNNNNNNNNNNNNNNNNNNNNNNNNNNNNNNNNNNNNNNNNNNNNNNNNNNNNNNNNNNNNNNNNNNNNNNNNNNNNNNNNNNNNNNNNNNNNNNNNNNNNNNNNNNNNNNNNNNNNNNNNNNNNNNNNNNNNNNNNNNNNNNNNNNNNNNNNNNNNNNNNNNNNNNNNNNNNNNNNNNNNNNNNNNNNNNNNNNNNNNNNNNNNNNNNNNNNNNNNNNNNNNNNNNNNNNNNNNNNNNNNNNNNNNNNNNNNNNNNNNNNNNNNNNNNNNNNNNNNNNNNNNNNNNNNNNNNNNNNNNNNNNNNNNNNNNNNNNNNNNNNNNNNNNNNNNNNNNNNNNNNNNNNNNNNNNNNNNNNNNNNNNNNNNNNNNNNNNNNNNNNNNNNNNNNNNNNNNNNNNNNNNNNNNNNNNNNNNNNNNNNNNNNNNNNNNNNNNNNNNNNNNNNNNNNNNNNNNNNNNNNNNNNNNNNNNNNNNNNNNNNNNNNNNNNNNNNNNNNNNNNNNNNNNNNNNNNNNNNNNNNNNNNNNNNNNNNNNNNNNNNNNNNNNNNNNNNNNNNNNNNNNNNNNNNNNNNNNNNNNNNNNNNNNNNNNNNNNNNNNNNNNNNNNNNNNNNNNNNNNNNNNNNNNNNNNNNNNNNNNNNNNNNNNNNNNNNNNNNNNNNNNNNNNNNNNNNNNNNNNNNNNNNNNNNNNNNNNNNNNNNNNNNNNNNNNNNNNNNNNNNNNNNNNNNNNNNNNNNNNNNNNNNNNNNNNNNNNNNNNNGGAUGUGUAGGCCCUUUUCACCUACAUGGGCCAAUCUCUUGUGCCACUUUAAGGUAGCAUCAACUUCUACACUAGAAGACUCAUCUAUGUGAUCAAACACUGUACUAGCUUUGAUCACAUAAAUCUCAUUUCUUUUAAUACCUUUAAAAAUAACAAGUGAUCCUUUUAUCACUUUCAAGAAGCCAUCUCCUAUUUUUCCUUGCAAUCCCAUAUCAUCUAGAUUUCCCAUGGAAAUCAAAUUCCUAUUCAAUUCAGGAACAUAUCUCACCCUUUCAAGAGUGUAAAUGUAUCCAUUAUCGAAUUUCAAAGUGACAUUCCCAACUCCCUCAACUCUGCAGGCUACAUUAUUGCCCAUAACUACUUCUCCUCCAUCAAUUUUCUUAAAAUUGUCUAAAUAUGCCCUUUUAAAGGUCAUAUGGAAGGUUCAACCAGAACCCAAGAUCCAUUCUUGGUUCUGAUUCUCAUCAACAACAUUUGCAGAGCUAGGUAAAUUUUCAGUCAUAGCAUAUACAUCAACUGUGGCAGAACCUUCAGAUUCUACCACAUUACCUUCAUCGACACCCUUUUGUUUCUGUUCAUUUUUCUUCUUAUAACAGUCUUUAAUAAAAUGUCCAGAUUUCCCACACCCAUAACACUUUUUAGUCCUAGUCCUUGACUUAGACCUGCCUCUACUUUUAAACUUUCUCCUACUGUUAUUUCCCUGAUUAUUAUGGCUUUCCUGAGUACCACUAGACCUACUUAAAGUCCUCCCUCUAGCAAACAAGUUCUCAUGGCCACUAUUACCUCUCUCAUACUUAAGUUCAAGUUCCUUACUCCUUAAAGAAUCUAUGACAAUAUCAGGUGUAAGAGUAUCUCUACCAUACUUAAUGGUGGCUUUAACCUCUUUGUAGGCUUCAGGUAUAGCAUUAAGUAGUACUAUAGCCUUAUACUCAUCAGAAAAUUUCUCACCUGUAUUAAUAAUGUCUUGAACUAACUUAUUAAAAAUGUCUAAACUGUCUUCUAAGUCUCUAGUUGGAUCUAUCCUAAAACUAAAAAAUUUCUCUAAUAGAAACAACUUAUUAGGCAAAGACUUAGGUAGGUAAAGCUUCUCUAAUUCAUCCCAUAAGGCUUUAGCAGUAUCAUGUUUGCCUACUUUUCUUAAAACUUGAUCAGAUAAAUGCAAAAUAAUGGAGGUAUAAGCAAGUUCAUCAGAUUCUUCCUUUUGAUCAUCGUCAUGGUAUCAAAAAAUUCAUCUGUUAUUGCUUUAGAAACUUUUUGCUGAACUAAAACACUUCGCAUUUUUUGUUGCCAAAUGGGAAAAUUCCCUUUUCCAUCAAAAACACCAAGUUCAAAAGAUUUUGUCAUGUUUUAUUGUGAAAAACUAACACACAGUAUUUUUCACAAAUUAUAACAAAACAGAAGAUCAACUUUUGAAAAACUGUUGAAUUUGACCUUCGCAAAAAAUUUAUGUUUUAAAUCACAUAAAGUAAUAUGCAGUCAAAUAAAUGAGCCACAAUUAUUUUAUUCACAAAUAGUUUCAAUCAAUAACAGGAUCAUUAGAUAUUCUAAUGUAAACACCACAAGAACCAAAAAAAUACAACAAUGCAGGCAAAAAACUAUAUCUCAGGAUUAAAGAAUCAAUAUCUGCAGGACCUAGGGUUGAUCAAAUUCACCAGGAUUCCGUGAGAAUCAAGUUCUCAGGUCAAGGCUCAAUUUGAAUCACCCAAACUUAAUUGAUCACAGGCAAAUAUAACAAGAUAUCACAAACUAAUGUAACAGGUUACAAUAGACAGUAAUUGAACAUAUCAACAUAGAGGCAUAUAUACAUAAAAGCAGUGUUUAGUGAGUGUGCAGUCAUAUAGGGUUCAAAAAGUACAAACCGAGGGUGGUUAAUCAAUUUAACCACUAGCUGAAAUCAGGAACAAAUUAUUGCAGCAAGGAUGAAUUCACUACAGGUCACUAAGGCACAAAUCGUGCCCUUACAGAUUCAAGUUCUUCCAGUUUCGAGGCCUUGCAGCUCCAAACAAUUAGGGUUCCAGCACAAAACAAACCCACAUGAUCUCGGUCUUAUGGUUCUUUUACAGAUCACAUCGAGGGAUCGUGAUCUACAGUCGAACACCUAGAAAUUAAUUUUCCAGUGUUCAACCUUCAAUCGAAGACUCAAGAAUGAGCGCAAAUGGCUCUGAUACCACUAUUAAAAACAGGAUCCGAAAAAUAUUCAAGAUAACAUGAAACUGCAGAUUACAACAUAAAUCCUAAACCACAACAUCAAGGUUUAGAUCUUUCAAUUGUAGGCUCAGACCACGCUCCUUUUACCAUCACAGAGGCACCGAGACUCAAACACAAGCCCUCACAACCCAACACAUCAAGGUCGCUUCACUGGAAACCAAAACAAGGACUGCCUACCUUCAAUCGAUUACUCACACAAAGGAGAAUCAUACAAGAAUACAAUUAUCACAAAGAUAAUCAACCAGAAAUCUCACAAAGAGAAGAAGGAAGAGUCACAAAGACGAAGAACACGAAGGUUCCAGAAGGCAGAGAGAGAGAAAAUGACGAUCCAAAUGCCAAACAGGAGCUAAGGAUAUUAUUUAUAGCUAAUAUCAUCAACCGUUGAUCAGCGGGUCAAUCCAACGGUCCAAGAGCGACUAAGAUGUGUGGGCUGGGUAUUGGGCUCGGUUAAGUGGGCCUUCUAGGUAACUGAUUAAUGGACCAAGUAUUGAAUCCAUAUUUUGGGCCUUUUCAUCAUUGCCUAAUUGUUGGACUGGAUCAAAUGGCAUCACAGCCCAACAGUUGCCAACUGCAUUUCCUGAGAAAUGAACAGCAUUGUCGCAAACAUGAGGUAAAUGACGGAGCAAACUACUGCUUACCAAGUCAUCAUGCGAACCUUCCCAUAACAAAUGCACUUUCAUGGGAUGCAAAUGGCAUUUCUUAUGGGCAUGUGUCAAACAAACCAACCUCUUAGAAUUUAUUAAUUGAGAAAACACUCCAUAAUAGGAGGAAGACAAACCUCCAUAGGAGGGAUUGGAGAAUAUAAUCCAAUGAUUUAUUAAUGAAUAUAAUGACUCUAUUUAUAGAGGAAAAGACAAGUAAUUAACUGACUAAUUUGCUUAUUAAUAGGCUAAUAACUAACUAAUUAACAAAUGAACAUGAGCUGUAAUAGUCUGGAAUUAACUGGAAUGUAUUUCUAACAACCAUAUCAACGUCCUUGGAAGUAAUCACUAGUUGAAGAUGAGAUAAAAUUGUGCCCCACAAGAAGAGAAUGUAGAAAUAAGAAAGACAAAUAAUAAGUGUAAUUUACAUACUUAUUCGGAGAUUCUAAACUUUGUUAUUUAUUAGUAAUUGAUCGGAUAUCUAUUUAAUUCAGUUUGAUAAUCAUUUUAAGAAAAUCUCAACAUGGAUACAAUUUACAUUAAGAAAGAUGAAUUGAGUAUAAUUUGAGGUGACUCAAAGCAAUUAUCGGAUCGCACAUGACCAAUUGGAAGAACUAAGAGAGCAAUCAGAAGAAAUUCCCAAUUUAUAGUAGUUAAAUUUGACAUUUGAAAAGUUUAGAGACUCAAUUUUUAAACAUUCAGAAAUUAAAGCGGCUCAAAUACAGACGAUUGUUCAUGAUAAGGAUCCAAGUAUAAAGAAUAAAAGACGAAAGACCCAUGGUGUAAAUAAGAAAGAGACUCAAAAAAAUUUCAGGGACCAACUUGUUUGAAAAUGUGGAGCUUGCGAUCGCAAGCUUAGAUUGUUGAAAUCGCAAUGCUAUUAAGCUUUGCUCCUGCAAUUUAAAUUCUUGUACCAUGAGAUUACAGAUAGAUUGCAUGGGUAUUUCGGCUAGCAAAGAUUUGAUUUCCUAAUUUGAUUCUACCUCUUCUUGAAAAGCAAUAGAGGUAGAAGUUUUUUGACCUAAUUUUUUGACUGAAAAUAUUUUACUUCAUCUACAAUCCAAAGAGAGAAGCUAGAGAGACUCUUGGAAAACAAAAUACAUAACUCUUACAAAGAAGAGAGCAAGAAGAAAGCCUAAAGAUAGAACAUAGAUAUAUUCAUUCAAGCAUAAAAGAAGCAUUUUGUUACACAAUGCCUAUUUCAACAUAAAUUCAUACAUCUUUAUGUGGGUUGAAGAAGACAAAUAUAUUCAAGAAGAUUCAUUGGAGGAAUUCAAGAUUCAAGAUUGUUUUCCAUCAUUCUUUUCAAACUUCAAUUUCGGCUAAUCUUGUAUUAAUUUAAUAUGUGUUUUAGUAUUUAUAUGAUGCUCGGCUAGAUAUAUAGAUGCAUAGACAACUUUGAAUCCUAUUUUUGAAGUUUUGUAUUAAUUUUUAGACUUUGACACUUAUGUUUGUUUGGUUUUGAAUAUUUGUUAUGAUCUUAAUUUUCUUCAAUUACUUGGCAUGAAUUGAAUUGACGGGUUAUUUUCUAUUAAUAUUUUGGAUAAGUAAUAGAAAAGAUAGCUUGUGGUAAUGAUCAUUAUAAGGUCCUAUAGACAUUAGGAAUAAUUAUCUGUACUUUGUAUAAUAUCAUUGAUUGUUCUCAUGAAUUAAUGCAUCUUUACAUGUUCGCAUUUGAGAUAUAUAUUUCGGGUCACAUUUGAGGAUAGAUUUAAUAUUUUACUUGAGAGAUAUUAUUAAAUGAGAUAGGAACAUUGAUUUUCAAGUUGAAAUAUAUAUUGUUAAAUUAUGAAAUUGAUAUUGAGAUGGACCAAUAUAAGGGGAUCCAGGGUCUUAGUGCUUUGUCUAUUAAUUAAGUAUUCAUAAACACUUCCCAAUCACUUAUUUAGUUUAGAAAUUAGAUUAGUUAGCUAGUUUUAGCUUUAGUUAGUAAAUAUUAUCCAUCUCAACUUAAUUGUGCUCUUUGAUUAGAGUGAGGUUAAUUAGAAACCAGAAUAAAUAUUAGUCCUUUGGAUUCACAUUCAUUUCAUUACUUAUUUACAAUACCGUCCACUUGCAAGAUUUUAGCGCAACAAUAACCCUCCAAUAAAAGAGUUACAUAUGGAUACGUCCCAAGCUCACACCAAAGGCCUUCGAAUAGAGGACACACAAAAUGAAGAACCAAGUUUCCAUCAACUUAUAAGUGAUAGCAUAGCCGACGAGAUCCACAAGUGUUUUUGAUAGAUUGAGAUAUCCAUCUAGAAACAAGCUCCAAAACGAGAUGCCUAGAGAUAAGAACCAAGUUCCUAGAAAUCAGUUCUUAUGUCCAAGUAUGCACCACACGAAGAAGAGUGAAGAUAGGAUCAGUUGAUGAGUUAGGUCACAUCCAAAGGUCAACAAUAAUAGUUAUGGAUGGUCGCAAAUGUAGCAACUUCAUAUCAACUUCACAGAGUGUUGAAUUUUCAGGAUCUGCAAAAUGAACAUUUUGUUAAUCUCAUAAGGCGGUCAAGCUGGGAAGUUGAGCAUUGUUCAAGCUUCGAUGCUAAAGUCGGAAUGGUAAUUUUUUAAUAAAUAUUAAGAUUAAGUGUGUACAAUUUUUAGGGGUGUGAUUGUUUCAAUUAGAGAUUGUCCCCUUUCUAUAGUGAAAGUGAAUGGAGAAUAUAAUGCUUAAUUAUAAGUUCCAAGGCCAUUUAACUCAAUUCUAAACUUUUUAGCACCUCUGAAGUUAUCAGAUUGGUAGAUUUUUAGAUGGUAGCAAAGUUCGGCGCUAACAAAUCAUUUAUUUAUUUAUGACAUUUGUCAAUUGUACUGUUAUCAUCGAGCUUUGAGUUAUGGUCGAGUUGACAUUAACGAGCUCAACGAUGUUAACUUGUUGUUGAGCUGUGAUGCCAGAUCUGGCCCAAUAAGUAAGACAAUGAUGAUACAGACUUGGCCCAUGUUUCGGUAUUAUGGCCCAAAUGAUAAAAAAAGAAGGAAGAAGAAGAAACCCAGUUGAAAACCUAAGUCCACUUACUGACCUUGAUAAGAAUGGAUUCGUCAAAUGCGACUUCGGUUGUUUUGCCUUAUAUCAAAAGCGCAAGUUUCUCUAGACUGUUGGAUGAUCUGAUGCUUCAAUCUCGAUGUAUAUAUACAUUGGUGAAAAAUGGAUGGCCAGGGUCUUUUCACAUACUUCAUUCUUUUGAGGGUUUUCUAGAGGGUUAUGUUUUCUUUCUCUUUCAUCUUCAACAUUAGUGUUGAUGUUUGUUUUCUCUUUACUCAGUUUAGAGAGUGUGUGUUUCUUUGUGAAAUCAAUUGAAAGAGUAUCGAGAUUAAUGGUAACCUUAAGUCAUUCUGGUCCAUAGAAUAUAUUGCGCGUUCUUGUGGAUUUUUGGGUGAAUCUGAGUGUUCUAUGUUGAAUAUAAAGGGUUUCUUGGUUUUUGAGCCUUCAAUUGAUGAUAUAUGGAUUUAUAGUAGUUAAGGUGUUGAAUUGUUGUAUAGAUCGUGUAAAUUUGUUGUUGUAAUCUUGUUUUUGAAUAAUAGUGGUAUCAGAGCCAUUUAUAGUUGUUCUUGAUGCUUCGAUCAAAGUUUAGACCCUGAAAAAUUGAUUCUCAAUGGUCUUUCUGCGAUCGAUUCAAAAUUUUUGGAACCCUAGAUCUAGAUAUGGUUUGAUCUAGGGAUUGUACAAACGGAUUUGUAUUUUGUCAUGAAACUCAAAGGCUUUGGUGAUUCUAGGGUUUUGAUCUAGCCAAGGAAUCCCAAACGUAAUAUCGGUUGAUGGUUGACUUGUGAGGUUGAGAUUACUGGCCAGGUCUAUAGCAAUACUAUUUGAUUCCAUGGUGGUUUAGUUUUUUUUUAAAAAAUUACCAUCCUCUAGUUUGCAUUUUUUGAUCUCAAUAUUCCCACCCCAAUUAUUUAUUUAUUUAUUUUUUGUCUUCGCUACUGGUUCUUUAAUAUUGUGGUUUCUUGAAUUACCGUUCAUAAUCAUUAAUCUACUAUGACCUACCAUACUGGUUUGUGUACUUAUCCAGAUGCUUUCAAAUUGAGCAUUGACUUGGGAACUUGAUUUUCAAGGAAUCCUAGUGAAUUUGAUCCUGUUUUGGGCUAUUGCUAUGAAUAGUUCAUUCAUUCUGUUUUUGAUAUAUUAGUUGAAUUUGUUUUAACUAAUUAGGUUUCUUGAGGUGUUUAUAUUAUACAAUCAAUUAUUGUGAUAUCCUUUGGAUCAUUUUUUGUAAUUGGAAAAUAAUAGUGAUCAACUUUCUUAAUUGCUAAUUAUUUUUCUGUGAUCUAAGGUUUUAAUUUUUUGUAAAGGUCAAGAAUCUAUAAGUUUCGAAAGUUGAUCAGUUGUCUAGUUUCAAAUUGUUUUUGAAAUACUGUGUUGUUCCUUAACAAUAAAACAUGACAAAUACUACUUUUGAAUUUGGUGUUUUUGAUGGAAAAUGGGAUUUUCCCAUUUGACAACAAAAAAUGAGAAGUGUCUUAGUUCAACAAAAAAGUUUCCAAAGCAGUAACACAAGAAUUUUCUGAAACCAUGGCAAAUGAUCAAAAGAAUGAAGCUGAUGAACUUGCUUACACCACCAUUAUUUUACAUUUAUUUGACCAAGUCUUGAGGAAAGUAGGAAAGCAUGAUAAUGCUAAGGCUUUAUGGGAUGAACUAGAGAAACUUUACCUAAUCAAGUCUUCACCUAAUAAGCUAUUUUUAUUAGAGAAUUUUUUUAGCUUUAGGAUAGACCCCGCUAGGGAUCUAGAGGACAACCUUGAUACUUUUAAUAAACUAGUUCAAGAUAUCACCAAUACUGGUGAUAAAGUUUCAGAGGAAUAUAAAGCUAAGGUGUUAUUGUGUGUCAUUCUUGAGAUUUAUAAGGAAGUCAAAGCUACCAUAAAAUAUGGCAGGGACACCUUUACCCCUGACAUGGUGAUAAACUCUUUAAGGAGUAAGGAACUUAAACUCAAAACUAAAAGAUGCAAUAGUGGACCUGAAUAUCUAUUUGUCAGAGGGAAGAUCCUAAAUAGGUUUGAUAGUAGUAUUCAAGAAAAUCAAAGUAAUCGGGGAAACAAUCAUAGAAAGAAAUUUAAGAGUAGGGACAACUCCAAAUCAAAGACUAGAAAUAAAAUAAAAUAAAAAAUGCUUUAGGUGUGGGGAAAUUGGACAUUUUAUUAAAGAUUGUUAUAAGAAAAGAAAUGAACCUAAAGGAAAAGGUAUAGAUGAAGGAAAUGUUAUAGAACCUGCAAAACCUUCAACAGUUGAUGUAUAUGCUAUGAUUGAACAAACAUAUGAUCCCAACUCUGCAAAUGUAGCAGACCAGGGAAAUUAGAUCCAAGAAUAUAUCUUGGACUUUGGUUGUACCUUCUAUAUGUCCUUUAAGAAAAGCUAGCUAGAUUACUUUAAGAAAAUUAGUUGAGGGAAAAUUGUAAUGGGAAAUAAUAUAGCCUGCAGGUUGAGUAGAUAGGAAAUGUUACAUUGAAAUUUGAUAAUUGAUAUAUCUAUACCCUUGAGAAGGUUAGAUAUGUUCUUGAAUUAAAUAAGAACCUGAUUUCAAUGGGAAACCUUGAUGAUAUGGGUUUACAAUGUAGGAUUGGAGUUGGAAAGGUAAGGUAACAAAAGGAUCUCUUUUUAUCUUUAAAGGGAGCACAAGAGAUUAGCCCAUGUGAGUGAAAAAUAGGGUACAUAUCCGUUAUAGUAAGGGUGUUCUUGGAAAAGAUACUAUAUCUAAAGUGCCAUUUUGUGAAAAUUCCACUUUAGGUAAGCACCACGGGUUGUAUUUUAAUACUGGUAGGCAUAUAACCACCUCGAUUUUGGAGUAUAUACAUUCUAACCUAUGGGGACCUUCAUCUAUUAUCACUCAAGGAUAAAAUAGAUAUUUCUUAUCAUUGAUUGAUGAUUACUCUAGAAAGGUUUGGGUAUAUUUGUUGAAACACGAAUCUAAAACUUUUGAGAAGUUUAAAAUCUAGAAAAACCUAAUGAAAAAUCAAACUGGGAAACGGAUCAAGAUAUUUAGAACAGACAAUAGUCUAGAGUUUUGCAAUAAUGAGUUUGACCAAUUCUGCAAUAACAUUGGAAUUAAAAGGCAUAAAGUUGUCCCCUAUACCCAUAGCAAAAUGGAGUUGCUGAGAGGAUGAAUAGAACCUUGUUAAGCAAGGUUAGAUGUAUGCUAGUUAGUUCAAGUAUUCCUAAAGUGUUAUGGAAUGAAGCUAUGAUGACAGCCUCAUAUAUUGUGAAUAGAACUCCGUUAGAAUAUUGGAAAAUUGGAAUCUAGGGCCCAAAAAUAUGUCUUCCUAGGAUACCCUGAUAGGGUUAAAGAAGAUAGGCUGUUGAAUAGAAGGUCAAAAGAUUUUAAGAUCAUCACCAGCAGGGAUGUUAUUUUUGAUGAGUCUAAUAUGCCCUAUCUGGAAAAUAAAAAUUCAAAUAGACUGCCUGAGACUAAAGAAAGAAAUAAAACUGGGCUACAGGUAGAGCUAAAACAAUCACAUGAUCUUGUUGAAUCUAAUCUGGUGGAGGAAAAAGCAGAAACUACUUCUAGUCUUCCAGAUUUAGAAGAGAGUAGUGCCCAAGGAAAUAUUGAAGGUCAGCCUGAAGAUGUGAGAAAUUACCAACUAAGUAGAGACAAGCCUAAGAGAGAAAUAAGAUAACCCAUUAGGUAUAAGACUACCUUUCACUUGUUAUCUAUUCUUAUCAUGACCUAUUUUUUAAAGAAUCAAAAUCUUAUGAUGAAGCUAUGAGCAGUCAGAAAUAUGAGAAUUGGCAGGCUACCAUGGUUGAUGAGAUGAACUCUCUACUAAAAAAUCAGACUUGGAUCUUAGUUCCUAGGCCUGCUGGAAAGGCACUUGUUGACUGCAAGUGGAUAUUUAGUGUUAAGGAGGGAAAUGUUGAGAAACAACCUAUAAGAUUUAAGGCUUGACUUGUGGCUAUGGGAUUUACACAAAAAGAAGACAUAGAUUAGAGUGAAAUUUUUUCUCCUAUGGUUAAGUACACUAUAAUUAGAGAUAUGCUUGCUCUUAUUGCUCAUUAUAGUCUUGAACUUGAACAAAUGAAUGUAAAAAUUGCCUUCUUGCAUGAUGACUUGGAUGAAGUGAUUUAUAUGAGACCACCACCUGGUUUCAUUAAUGAAUCUAAACAUGAACAUGUGUGCUUAUUAAAAAGAUCUUUGUAUGGGUUGAAGCAAUUUCCAAAACAGUGAUAAAAGGUUUGACAAUUUUGUAUCCACUGUUGGUUUUAUAAGAAGUGAAUUUGAUCAUCGCCUUUAUUUUAAAAGAGGUGAUGAAAACGCUAUUAAUGCUUUUUUACUCUUACAUGUGGAUGAUAUGCUGCUAGUUGGACAGAAUAUGUAUGUUUUUAAUGAGUUAAAGAGAUCUUUGAGUGCUAAAUUUGAAAUGAAAGAUCUAGAUCAUGCUAAGAAAAUUUUAGGGAUGGAAAUCAUGAGAAAAAGGCAUAAAAAGCUGCUAAGUUUAAAACAAACUGCAUAUGUAGAAAAAAAUGAUAGCUAGAUUUGCUAUGCACAACUCAAAACCUAUCACACUUCCCUUAGCUAGUCAUUUUAAGUUGAGUAAAGACCAAUGUCCUGUAGAUGAAUUUGAUAUAAAGCAGAUGGAAAGAUUACUUAUGCAAAUGCAGUAGGACCAGAUAUGUACACUAUGAUAUACACCAGACCUGAUGUUGCUCAUUCCAUUAGUACACUUAGUAGAUUUAUCUAUAACCCGGGACCUGAACAUUGGGUUGCUUUAAAAUGGUUGUUGAAAUAUUUGAAAGGAUCUUCACGAUUAGGAUUAACUUUUAGUGCCUAUAAUGAAGGUGUAGUACUUAAAGGUUUUGUAAAUUCAGACUUCGCUGGAGAUAGGGACAUUAGAAAUCCACAACAUCUUAUAUUUUCACUUUGUGUAGAACAUGUAUUAGUUGGAAAUCCCAACUUCAACUUGUU